rnacentral:lncRNA from 1 species
UGUAAUAUAAAUAAGUUGGCAUGGAAAGCACCUCGAUUCCAUUGAUGAAAGCGUAGGAGUUUGGAUUGGAGGGAGUGAAGGUGAGGAUAAGCCUCUCACCGUCGUUGACGUUGACCACGUAUUCUCUGAAGAUAGUGGUGGUGGCUUGAGCGUCGGCGUUAAGAGAGGCGUUGAAAACGUUGAGGAGAGUGAAUUGGUUGGAUUGAAGGGUGAAAGAAGCUUGGUUGCGGGGAAAGUUAGGGUAGUCGGCAGGGUAGAAGAAGAGGCGAAGGAAUUUAGGGCCUGAGGAGACGGGGAAGGAGUAGUUGAAUUGGGAACGGGACAAGCGUGCAGUGGAAUAGGGGAUUUCAUUGGUGGAAGGAGGCUGUGUUGUUGCCUUCUCUGAAACGGUGCCGUCUUGGAAAGAUAAGUACUUUUGACCGUCGGAUGAUUUGCCGGUGGUGCCGCAACUGAUGGUGAAUAUUUCCUCCGGGAUGUAAGCCAGAAGGUGUACGGAUAAGUGUAGAAGCAAGAAGAAAAGUGUUAAGGAAGUGAAGAUGGUCAUGGUUUGCAGUGAGAGAAAAAAGGGAAGAAAGUGAAGAUGGUCAUGGUCAUAGUUAUUACGUUGAUUGGUGAGUGAGGUAGUUGCUAGGAAACACGAAAGAUAGUGUUGGUAGUGGAAGCCAUGAUUUGUAGUGACAGGGAACAGAAGUGAAUGAAGUCGCGAAGACUUAUCAUGAGUGUUAGGUUAGAAUUGCAUGGAAGGUAAGGAGAACGUUGUUUGUUAGCGAAAGACCACUGCGUGUCUAUUCACUUGACACUUUAUUAAGAAAUUUCCACCACUUAUAUAAUAUAAAAUUCAAUGUAAUAUUCUAAUUUAGUGAAUGUGUAAUCUCGAACACGGUUUCUUCUUUAGUACAGAAAAAAACGAAAGUGCAAAAGAAAAAGGAACAAAACCUGCUAAUGUUUUAUUGGAGAGUUAAAACAAAAGUUAAAGAAAACUAGGAGGGUAAAAUAUACAGAUAACCACUAAAUUUAUAAAUUUUAAUUUUUCAUUAAAUUUAAUUACAUUUUACCACUCUUAUAAAAUUAAAAUUUCGAGUACCGAUAAAAUGAAUGAUAUAAAUUGUAAGAUGGUAAAUUUAUAUCAUUCUCAUUCGAAUUUGGGCUACUUAUACUUCAAAUAACACAUGACUGUUUUUUCACCUAAAUAUUUUCCUCCAUUGAAUUUAAAUUAGUGUGAAUAAAUAAUUGUCGUUUCCUUGAACGCUUUUUGUUAUUUUUUAUUGUUUUCAAGUCAGGUGCUUUUUUAAUAUCAAAGAUUUCAUUUUUUAUUUAUAUUUUCAUAUUUUUUAGUUAAAUGUAAUUUGUAUUUUAAUUUCUGUACCGGUCCGCACGAGGACUUGGCAUCCGAUCCAAACUGACUAACAUGACCAACGACGAGCUGAUUAAUAAUCCAACGCUUGUUAAUCUCCUUUUAUUAGGCCCAUUAAUGACCAUGGACCCACAAUAAUUGUAUAAAUUAGAAUAGAUCCCAAAUGAUAAGGUACACAAUCAUCUAAUCAUAAAUACUAAGUACUAAAUACUGGAGUCUAACUUGAGUAUCAGAGUACCUUUUGCAGGUACCAUCCGAGCCAACAGUUAGCUAGGAUGAGGAGUGGAAGAGUGAGUGUGAGAGUUCAGCCGAGAAAAGGGAGUGAGGUGCAGACCGACCGACCGACCGAAGGAGUAGUUCAAAUCGUUCUCUUGGUUCUAACCUUGUUCGAGAACAAUUGACGCUCAUUGUGGGGCCGAGAGAACCAGAAUGAAGAAGAAAGUAAAAGGUGUCGAUUAGAAGCAUGGUGAACGAGAAGAUGUCUGAUGCUGAGUAGAUGACGCUCUUGAUGUCUCUGUAGAGAGAGAUGACUGAGAUAAAAAGAAGGAUUGAGAAGAUGCAACGGAAGAGUGAAAAAGAGAUUCUUGCUCUCCGGAGAUAGAAUGAGGAGAUGAAAAGGAAGUGGAUGGAAGGAGGUCCAUUUGUGGGACCAAGCAAUCUAGCUGGGAAGUCCUUCAUCCACCCUACUGGCCCUAGAACUAUUGAGGAGCCAAGGGCAAUCCACACCCAAGAAACUGAGGGUGAGUUCUAUCUGAACAAGUCUGUCCCCACUGUUGGGUUUAUUAAUGUCUAAGUUCAACGGAGGGGGGGAGGUGAAUUGGACUUAUUGGGAAAACUGUUUUAAGAAAUCCUGACAGAAAAGAACAUAUUGUUUUAGAGAAAAACAAAUUUAUUUUCUGAUUCCAAGUAGUAGUUUCAGAAAUACAACAGAUUGGUUUAGAAACAACAAAUUUAAUUUCUAACUUAACAAUUCUAAACACACGCAAAUUGAAAUGAUUAGUAACAAAGACAUCAAGUGUAGACCUUAAUUCUAGAAAACAAUUUUCAAAACCAUUUGAAAGCAAUUUAAAAAAGGUAAGGAUCCUGAACAAGAUUGCUUACUUGAAUUUUAACACUUGUAUUACUCAGUAAAAAAUUACAGAUACAGUUAAUUUUAAACAAGAUAAAGACCUUAUCAGAAUCUUGAAAAACAGUAUAUGAUUUAACCCAACAAAAGUUAAAACAACAAAUUCAAUUUUUAAAACAUCAUAUUCAUUUUAUUGCAGAUUAUCAGAUUUCAUAUUUAAAGAAAUGAUCAAGGAAAGAGAAAGGCACAUCUUCAUCUUCUGCAUGUGGAGCAUCAUCAUCUUCAUUUGCAUAGCCUCGAUUUGAUGCUUCAUGUUCCAUUCUUGAAGCAACAUUCCUUCUGUACACCCAUGCAUUUUCCUCCUUUUGAAAAUCCAUCUUGGUAAAAGUUGCAUUGUUUAUCUCACUAAUAGCCUUGAUAGUCUCAUUUCUCUCAUUAGUGUUGUCAACCUUAAAACAAUCAAUUAAUUUGGAGACAAAAAUAACAUAUGAAAAUUUAUAAUCUGUGAGCCUUCUGGAUUUUAGUAUAUGUUCUACCAUGAUGCUGACCCAAUUAAUUUUAAUUAUGUUCAUUAUACAAUAAAGUAUAAUUAAAUCUUCUUCAUGAAGGACGACAUGGUUACUACUUUGAGGUGUGAGUUUCCAUGCAAUCACAUAGGCAAAAUGCGUGGGGUUAAAUUCAGAUUACCUGCUUGAAACCGAUUCACAGGCUGAGCUAGAUGGCUUACACAACUUCUGUAGAACUGGAUUUUGUUGAAUUCCUGAAUCCCAGCUGUGUUUCCUGCUCACCUCCAGUCCAAAAUAUUUAAUCCUAGCUAUGUUGUUCCAAACUUCAUUUGUAAUGGUCAGCUUGACCCCCUUCACAUAUGAGACAAGAUUUCUUCCUUCAAGAGUAAGGUUAGUAUAGAAAACCUUUAUCAAAUCUAGAUAUAUAUUCCAGUCAUUUCCAAAAAAUGUUUCAGCCUUUGAUGUUUAAGCACUACUCUUGGUUCUUCCAAAUUUUCGCUUUUCAGCCAAUAAAAUUCUAACACCUUCGGAACGUUGAUUUGCUUCCUGCUCCUUUCAUGCAAGAAGGUUGUCAUGGCUUCAAUAUCUCCAGCAAACCAGUUUUCAAUAUACCAUGGUUACUAUUGGGUUGCUCUCGGGCUCCCCUCCUUUUGUGUCAUGAGGAUGUCAUUUUUUGUGUUGCUUUAACUUAAUGUUAGUCAAUGGUCAAAAGAAAAGAAUUUGUUUUUCUUUCCUAGUCAUACAUGUGAUCCUGAAACAAAAAAACAACACGUUAAAUAGAUUAAUAUGUUAUAAUUUUACUGCAGAGAACAAUUCAUGCUUAUUAUGCCUAAUUCGUUUUGCAAAAAAUUAAACCUAUCUUCAGCAAGAGAUUUUGUGAAAAGAUAAACUAGUUGCAGUUUAGUUCCAAUUAGGUUAAUUUCAUAAUUUCCAUUAGCAAUAUGUUCACGUAAAAAAUAGUGUCUUAUCUAAAUAUGCUUAGUUCUAUAAUGCAUAACAGAUUUUUUAGUCAAGUUAAUGGCACUAGUGUUAUCACAUAAGAGAGGUAUUCUACUUAACACAAUACCAAGUCACUUAGUUGUUGUUUUAACCAUAAAGUUUGAGAACAACAACUUCCUAUUGCAAUGUAUUCUACCUUUGCUGUGGAAAGAGCAACACACGCAUUUUUUUGCAGUGCCAAGAGAUUUAGCUUAACCCAAGCAUAUGACAAGUUCCACUUGUGCUUUUCCUAUCUAUUUUACAACUUGAAAAAUCUGAAUAAGGCAAUUAAAUUUAAGGAUACAUUACAUGGAUACCAUAAGCCAACUUCUUUGGUUCCUUGUAAGUAUUUCAGAAUCCUUUUAGCAGCACAAAAUUGUGAUUCCUUGGGAGCAGAUUAGAACAUGGCACAUAUACACACAACAAACAUGAUAUCAGGUCUAUUAGCUAUUAGAUACAAUAAAGAACCGAUUAAACCUCAGUAUUUGGUUUGAUCAACAGGUUUUCCAGCAGGGUCUUGAUCAAGGUGACAACUUGUAGAAAUGGGUGUGCUGAUUGCCUUGCACUGUUCCAUCUCAAACUUUCUUAGCAAAUCUUUGCAAUAUUUAGCUUGAUUUAUAAAGAUCCCAUCUUUUAGCUAUUUGACUUGUAAACUACGGAAAUAAUUCAGCUCCCUCAUCAUAGACAUCUCAAAUUCGCUCUUUAUAACCUCUACAAAUGCUUCACAUACCUUCAUUUGUUGAAUCGAAAAUGAUAUCAUCCAUAUAUACCUGCACAAGUAUAAUGUCUUCAUCCUUUUUCUUAAUCAACAAUGUCUUGUCAGAUGUACCACGGUUAUAACUCUGAGACAGUAUGAAAUCACUAAAUCUUUCAUACCAUUGUCUAGGAGCUUGUUUAAGUCCAUAUAGAGCCUUUUUGAGCUUGAAUACACGAUCAAGAAAUUUGUGAUCCUCAAAACUUGGGGGUUGUGAAACAAAGACCUCUUCAUUUAUGUAACCAUUCAGGAAGGCACUCUUGACAUCCAUUUGAAAUAGUUUAAAUCCUUUUAUGUAGAAGAAGGCUAGGAGAAGUCUGACAGCUUCAAGUCUUGCCACUGGUGCAUAUGUUUCAUCAUAAUCGAUUCCCUCUUCCUGGUUAUGUAACCUUUGGCCACCAGCCUUUCUUUGUUCCUUGUGAUUAUCCAAUGCUCAUUCAUCUUGUUUCUGUAUACCCACUUAGUACCUAUGAUAUUCAUAUCAGAUGUUCUUGAAACUAGAGACCAUGCCUCAUUUCUUGUAAACUGAUUCAACUAUUCUUGCAUAGCAAAGAUCCAGUUGCUGUCUUGUAGAGCUUCAUUCAUAAUUUUGGGCUCCACUUGUGAUGGAGAUCAAGCUCAAGUGGACAUGGAGGCCAAUCAAAAAGAUCAAGAAGAGGUAGAGGCACAAAUGGAGGACGCCCAUGGAGGUCAAAGCCCACCUCAAAGGCUUACAAGAAGCAUGUUCAAAGCUUUAGGAGCUAGGGGACAAUUAUUUUCUCUUUUUGUAAUUUCUUUGGUUGAAGGUGCUUAGAGGGAAACAUUAGAAACCUCUUUUGUUAUAGCAUCUUGUAGGAUUUAAUUAGGAGCUUUAGGAGGGGGGGUACGUUAGUAGAUAGGUGUAGGAGUAGAAUAGGAGGUGCCAAAGUGAAGGAAGAGGUCACACCUUCCUCAUGCCUUGUAAUUGGCGCCGAUUCUAGAACUUUUUUAGGAGGGAAUUUUUGAAUUUAUGUAGCUUGCAUUUCAGCACCUUAGGCUAUAAAUAGAGGUGCUCCCUUUGUAAAAUUCAGAUUUGAAUUUUAAUUAGAGAAACUAUACUCAAAUUUUGAGAGAGCAUUGGAGAGCUUUGAGCCUUCUUCUCUUGUCUUAUCUUGAUGGUUCCAUGGUUACCUCAAGUGGCGGCUUGCACACUCAUCUAGGAGCAUCCAUCCUUCUAGUGGCGUGAUCAUCCAACCAUACAUCCAUCUUCAUGAGCUUUCUCCUCUCCUUUCUUCUUUCUCUUUUGUUAUUCAUGUUUUAAGCUUGUGUUCUUGAGUUUUGGUUCAGUUAUUUGCUUUUUCCAGCAGCUGUUCUUCUUCUUCUUUGUGUUUGGUUCGGUGCCUUUUAAUUUCCAGCACUCCUUUUCAGUUUUCUUGCCUUUUAAUUCAGUUUGUUCGGUUCAUAGUUGUUCUUAUUCAAUUCUAUUCGGUGCUUUUGCUUUUUAUCUCUUUUUGGUGGUUCAAUUUGACAAUAUGUGGAACUUCCAUAUGAGUUUGGAUUUGGUGCUAGUUUUGGUGAGUUCUUGACUUAGAACAUUGAUCCAAUUCUAAGAAAAAGUGCCUAACUAUUGUCCAGCUCAAGUUGAUUCCUAAGAAUGUCAAGAAUCAUUCUCUUCUUUGUUAUUGGAAUCACAUCAACUUGUGACACAAAUGCCAUUGUUUCCCAUAAAUUAUUUAGAGACUUCCUGGUUGAGACCCCUUUUUCAAUGUUGUCACAUUCUCAAGGGUUAAGUCUCUAGGAGUUUUCCACUCUUUGGGCAAAUCUGCAGUAACAACAAGUUCUUUGACCGGACAUGAAUCAGUUGUAUUUAAAUCAAUUAAUUGAUUAUAUUGAAGUACAGUUCUCAAAGUUCAUCAACAAUAGGUUUAGGCAAAUAAUUAUCAGAUUCAUCAAACACCACAUGUAUAGAUUCUUCCAUUGUAAGCAAUCUUUUGUUCUACACCCUGUAAGCAUGCCCAUUAAUAGCGUAGCCAAUAUGUAUCCCCUCAUUAGAUUUACGAUCAAAUUUACCCAGAUUAUAUUUCCCAUUAUUCAGAAUAAAACAUUUGCACCUACAAAACUCUAAGAUGGCUUAUGCUAGGCUUUCUACCUUUAUAGAGUUCAUAAGGAGUUUUCUUAAGAAUUGGCUUAAUUAAGGUUUUGUUUAGCACAUAUGAAGCAGUGUAUACAACAUCUUUCCAUAAGUAUUUUAGAAGAUUAGAUUCAUUUAACAUGGUCCUAACAAGCUCCUCAAGUGAUCUAUUUUUCCUUUCUACUACAUCGUUUUGUUGAGGAGUCCUAGGGGUUGAAUAGCUAUGUUUGAUCUCAUGUUUUUCACAAAAUCUAUCAAAUCUAGCAUUUUGAAAAUUUCUCCCAUGAUCACUAUGAAUUGAUUUUAUGCUACAACCAUUUUCAUCUUGCAAUAUUUUAGCCAAUUUCUUGAAAGCAUCAUUCUUAGAAACAAGAAAGAGAGUCCAAGUAUAUCUUGAGAAAUCAUCCAUAAUCACAAAAGCAUAAUAGUUUCCAACUAAGCUAGCAUUUCUGGAAGGCCCACACAGAUCCAUAUGUAAAACAUCCAAAGGUUUAUUUGAAGAAAUUAUAUCCUUUAUUUUAAAGGAGACUCUUGUUUGUUUACCCUUCACAUAUGCAUCACACAAUCUGUUAUUUUGGAGUUUUAUAUUUCGUAAGCCAAAAACAAGCUCCUUAGAUUUCAAUUUGUUUAAAUGAUUUGGAAGGAUGUGGGCUAACCUCCUUUGCCAUAGCCAUGACUCAUCAUCCUUUGAUAAAAAGACAUUCAUUUACAGAGCAAUUAUGUAUGAUAUCUAGGAGAUAGAUAUUAUUUACCCUUUUACCUAUGAACAACACCUUACCAGAAGUUUAAUUUGAAAUUAUGCACUUGUUGGAUUCAAAGUUAACUUUGUAUCCCUUCUCACAUAAUUGGUUGAUGCUUAGAAGGCUAAUCCUUCCACAUAUAACACAUUCUCUAUUAAUGUUGAUCCUUUGGUUCCAACAUUUGAGUAAUAUCACCGAUCAGGUGUUUUGAGUAGCCACCGUCCAAAUAUCACUGGUUUGGUUUUCUAUUGUUUUUCGAAUAAGAGCUUGAAUAUUCAUUAUUCACCAUGAAGCACAUGUUUGCUUCUUCACUCUCAGUUGAUGACUAAAGCUUUUAUCUUGUUCUUUUAAUAAGCUUCUGGAUGAAGUGAAUGAGACUCGAAACCAAGUUCCUUCAAUGACAAAGAAACUUUAACCACUACACCGGACAAAUUCUUUUGUAUUAUUAUGAUUUUUAUUAUAUUUAUUAUUAAUAAUAAUAUGAAUAUAAUAUUAAUAACAUGAAUAUAGUAUUAAUAAUAUGAAUAUAAUAUUAAUAAUAUAUAAUUUUUAUAAUAAUUAUUAUUAUUAAUAUAAUUUAUAUUAUUAUUAUUAUUAUUAUUAUAAUUAAUAUUAUUAUUAUUAAUAUAAUUUAUAUUAUUAUUAUUAUUAUUAUUAUUAAUAUAAUUUAUAUUAUUAUUAAUAUAAUUAUUAUUAUUAAUAAUAAAUAUAAAUUAUAUUAGUAAUAAGAAGUAUAAUAAAAAUCAUAACUUGUUGGAAUAAUCUUUAAUGCUUUGAGUCUUGCAUAUUUAUAAUGUGCUUCGUGUGUAUUUCUGUUGAUUUGUCCUUUCCAUUAGUUGUUUUACACUUUCUCUUCGCUCUCGUCGACUCUCUUGCAGUUUUAAUGCGGACUCCAUCAUCAAAACGACAUCGUUCAUGGAUGGCCUCUGCAUCCCUUUUGUGACAAACAACUCACUCCAAUCUGGCAAAACAAGGCCAAACACUGGGGAGAGAUCUUCCCCUUUAAUAUGGGAUCCACAAUCUAAUUUGUACAUAAUUUUUUUAUCUAGUUUUAGAGAGAAUUAUAAAAGUUAAUCCUUUAAAAAAUAUAAUUAGUUUUUUCAAUUUAAAAAAUUCUACAGUAAUAUAAAGAAAUUAUCUUGAUCCCAUUCUAUUUAUUCCCGUAGAAUUGUUUCCUUGUGACAGUUUUUACUCUUUCUUUGCUUGUUGACACUGGUCACACUACUUCUCCAUUGAGAAUAGCAACAUUUUCACGUUGCUCUGCACUUUCUUGUAGCUGCAGCGUAAACUCCAGCAUCCCAGCCACAUCCUUCAUGGACGGCCUCAGCGAUCCAUCUUCCGACAAACAACUCAUCCCAAUCUCACAAAACUUCUUCAAACACUCUUCUGCAAUCUUCUUCUUCAACGUGGGCUCCACAAUCUCUGCUAUGCUCCCACUUUCGUAACAAUGUCUCACCCAAUUAGCAAGCGACACCUGUUUCGUCUCCGCAGUGUGAAUCAAAGGUGGACGACCACACAGUAUCUCAAACAACACAACCCCCAAAGAGUACACGUCAGACUUCUCCGUCAAACGGUACCGUUUAUAAUACUCCGGAUCCAAAUAUCCGAAGCUGCCUCUCACAUCGGUGCUGACGUGCGCCUUCGAAGUUCCAAUUGGCCCAAGCCUUGAAAGCCCGAAGUCCGAAACCUUGGCCUCCCACUUAUCAUCCAACAAGAUGUUCGUGCUCUUCACAUCCCGGUGGAUAAUCAUGUGCUUCGCGCCUGUGUGGAGAUAGUGCAGUCCACGCGCCGCCUCGAUGCAUAUCUGCAGCCGCUGCUUCCACGAGAUAGCGGGGUUGUCCGUGUUGUACAGAUGGUCACGGAGGUUGCCACGUGUCAUGAAAUCGUAGACCAAGAUCAUUUCCCUAUUAUCGUUGCAGUAGCCGAUGAGGGACACGAUAUUGCGGUGGCGUAGUUGCGAGAGCAUCUUGAUUUCGUUUAGGAACUCGCGACCCCCCUGCUGCGAAUCCGGUUUAAGGCGCUUGAUGGCGACCGGGGUGGAACCGCCGUCAAUGUAGCCCUUGUACACGUGGCCGAAUCCCCCGGUGCCGAUGAUAAAGACUUCGUCGAAGUUUAGGGUGGCCGUUCUCAUCUCGUCGAGGGAGAAGCGGCGGCAGAGUUCUGUCGACGCGGAGGAAUUCUGUUGCAUUUUUGACUUGGAUUCGUUAUUCUGGUUCUUAGUAUAAGUGAUAUUCUCAUAUUGUAAUAAUGCUACAAAGAAAACGGCAAGAGAAAUCAGAACGACGGCGGAUAUCAUCCACGGGACGGCACAUACCAACCACGGGAUGUCAAUUAUCAUGGAACCACUUCUGCUGCGGGUCUUCCCGUUUUGGCCGGGAAUGCUGUUGAGUGGAGUUUGAACCGGGUCCGGGUUGGGCCCGGCGAGGUUGUUUGAGCCGGCUUCGCUGAUUUUGAAGAUCUCGAGACCGUUCAGGAAGGCACUGUUGUAUCUCGUAUACGCACUAUUUUCGUCAGGGUGCAUUUGAAGCGAGAAAUUAAACUUUUUCUGACAAUCAUUCUUUGGAAUCAAAACGGCGUAGUCUCUGUGCACAGCUAGACCUUUUUGUUUCUGACUCCAUUUCAUUACAUCAGCACGAUCUUCAGCGCACUGGCUAUUUAUGUAAAUGAAGAAUCUCCUGUCACUGAUGUCAUUAAUAUGAGGAUCAAUCUCGCAAAAGUGGAGCCUGAGAACGUAAGUGAAGCCACAAUCAACGGGGAACAUCCAAGUGAGGUUGGUUAUUUUGUUCAGAGUAUUGUUUGUGCCCUGGCUACGCGCUGUUCUGAACAGUUCCUUUGGUGCCACGUAAUCAGGAUUCACGGUUAUCAUCUUACCACUCCAGUCACCUGGUAGAUCAUCAUUCUUUGGAUUUUCUUUAAUAAAAUAAGGAUGUUCGUCAGUCCAUUCCCUGAACAAACCGGUGUCGUUUUGUGGCGGGAUUUCUUGGCCUCCAGAGUUGAUUCUAUACUCAGUCUGGAGCGCAUAGCUGGUUCCAACGCUGUAGAGCGUGCUGGUUCCGACUUGCGUGAAGCCUAUCUCAUUUUGUUGGGUGUAAUAUAAAUCGGCUGGCAUGGAAAGAACCUCGAUUCCAUUGAUGAAAGCGUAGGAGUUUGGAUGGGAGGGAGUGAAGGUGAGGAUAAGCCUCUCACCGUCGUUGACGUUGACCACGUAUUCUCUGAAGAUAGUAGUGGUGGCUUGAUCGUCAGCGUGAAGAGAGGCGUUGAAAGCGUUGAGGAGAGUGAAUUGGUUGGAUUGAAGGGUGAAAGAAGCUUGGUUGCGGGGAAAGGAAGGGUAGUCGGAAGGGUAGAAGAAGAGGCGAAGGAAUUUGGGGCCUGGGGAGACGGGGAAGGAGUAGUUGAAUUGGGAACGGGACAAUCGUGCAGUGGAGUAGGGGAUUUCAUUGAUGGAAAAAGACUGUGUUGUUGCCUUCUCUGAAACGGUGCCGUCUUGAGAAGAUAAGUACUCUUCGUCGCCGGUCCACCUUCUUUGACCAUCGGAGGAAUUCCCAGUGGUGCCGCAACUGAUGGUGAAAAUAUCCUCCGGGGUGUAGGCCUGGAGAUGUACGGAGAAGUGUAGAAGGAGGAAGAAGAGUGUUAAGGAGGUGAUGAAGGUGAUAGCCAUGAUUUAUGGAGGGAACAGAAGUGAUUGAAGUCGCGAAGACUUAUCAUAACUUUCAAUGUAUCAUUUUCCAAGUAAGAAUUGCAUGGAAGGCAGGGAGAAAAGAACAUGCAGCGUUGUUUGUUAGCGACGGACCACUGCCUGUCUAUUCAGUUGAAGGUUUCUUCUUCUUCAGUAUAAAUCAAAACCGAAAGUCCAAAAGCAAAAACCAAAAAAAACAUGUUAAUGUUUUAUUGAAAAGUUAAAAAAAAAAAAAUUAAAGAAAAUUGAGAGGGUAAAAUAUACAGAUAACCAUUAAUUUUAUAAAUUUUAAUUUUUAUUAAAUUUAAUUACAUUUUAUCACUUUUUUAAAAUUAAAAUUUUGAUUACCGAUAAAAUGAGUGAUAUAAAUUGUAAGAUGGUAAAUUUAUAACAUUAUUCUCAUUUGAAUUUGGGCUAGUUAUACUUCACACACAUGACUUUUUUUUAACCUAAAUAUUAUCCUCCAUUGAAUUUAAAUUAGUGUGAAUAAAUAAUUGUUAUUUUCUUCAACGUUUUAGUUAUUUUUUUUUUUAUUUUUUUCAAGUCAGGUGCUUUUUGUAUAUCAAAUAUUUAGUUAAAUUUAAUUUGUAUCUUCAUUUAACAUUAUAUUUUGAAUAUUGAUAUAAUAUUAAAUUAAAGAUACUCUCUUUUAGAUAAUCAAGCUUCUAGAUAAUAAUUAAUCGUAAUUUAAAUUUUUGAAUUUUAACACCCUAUGUUAUAAAAAUACUGUCUUUAAAUUUAAUUUUAUCUUCAUUUACCUAUAUUUUGAAAAUUGAUAUAAUACUAGUUUAAAGAUACGGUCCCAUGCUAUAAAAAUAUUGUGUCUCAAAUCUUAAUUUAAUCAAGUAGUUUUGAUAAUCUCUUCCUAGAUAUUAAAAUACUAUACUUCUAAUAUAUUUAUAUUUAAUACAAAAAUAUAUUUACUAUUACUACAAGAAAAACGAAAUUUAGAUGUUAAACUUAAGUGUUGAUUAAGCAUAGGACAUAAAUAGAGUGGACCAACAGAUGUUAGAUGAUGUAAAAUAAGUAGUGUAGGUUAAACCAUUAUAAUGAAAGGACUUACUUGAAAAUAAAAUAAAAUAAUUAAAAUAAAAAUGCAUUGCAUAAGUCAAGUCGAUGUUGAUGUUGAUAACAUUAAUUCUUUAACUAUGGGUUGGACCAAUACAUAUUUAUUAUUCUCUUUUUACAAUUUUGUUAAAAUUUAUUUUAUGUACUAGUGCGACUGGACGACUAAGUGAGUUGGCCAAAACUCGGAUCGAAUCGCUACCUAGGCCAUCGUAGGAGGGUUAUGUGACGGCAUAUGGCCGAUCGAUCCUUGACACUGAUUCAAUGAUUGACCAAGUUAGCAGGAUUAACCCGUGGUUAAGGGUUGUUUAGCGCAACCCUAAAUCAAACCCACCAAUGAAGGCUCAUUAAGGUAAUAUAAAUAACACACAUUUCAAGAAGAAAGGUACGUUAUUAUCUACCGUACUCUGACACCUGAGUGCUGACACCCUGACUGACUUGAGCGUUGGAGUGUCUUCUGCAGGUACCAUCCCCGCCUGUGAAGCCAGACGACCGAGAGGAGGAAGGUGUAACAAAGAGCUUAGAGCAUUGUAGACCGACCGAAGGUGGAAGAAGGAGCAAUCAUUCUCCAGGUCCCAAACCCGUUCGAGAACAUUUUAUAACUAUGUUGAUUAGGACAUUAGGUGUUAACUUUUAUUUCUUUUAGAUAAUAUCAUUUAAUUUUUUGUUGAUGACAAGUAUAUGUAAUUAAAAUGAUUUAAUUGUUAAACUAUUUAUAAUUGUUAAAAGUAAGGCUCACAUAUCAUAUUGUUGACAAAAUAAAUUAUAAUGUUGGUGCUGUUGAAAGUAGGAUUCACAUUGUUGCAAAAGCUACUCAUAAAACUGUGAAUGUGAAUGUUGCUUCAAAUAUGAGGCACAUGCGUCUCAAAAUUGUAAAUUUGUUCAGUUAAUUUUCUUUCAAUUUUAGAAUUAAAAACUGGACAGAUAUGUAAUAAAAAAUGAUUAGACAUUCUAUUAGUAGACCGUUUAUUUUGAAAAUAUGUUUCUUUUUUUAUAAUAUGAUCACAGUGGAAAUGGAAAACUAUAAGAAUGAAAAAAAAGGUAUAUAUGCAGCACAAAUAAAAACAUGAAUUAUGCAGAUACAUAAAAAAUAUUUUUAAAAAAAUAUUUGUUUUUAAGAAAAAUAUUGAAAGUUUACCAAGUAAACUCCCAUGUAAGAGAUGUGGAUCACAAUUGGACACUCUUAAGUACCAAGCCUUUCCUGCCAGAGUUCUUCUUAGAUCACUUGAACAAAUUUCCUUAAAAGUUUUUGUUGAGACUUAGAAAUUAAAAGGGGAAAAAACUUAAGUUUAAGUUGAGAACAAAAAUAAGAAUAAAAUUGUUAAAAUAAUCAGGAAAAAAUAUAUAAAAAUUGAAAAAAAUAGAAAUUAAGAAUAAAAAAAUAAAAACAAAAAUAAACAAAAUAAUGGGAAUAAAAAUAAUUAAUAACAUAAAAAGAAAUAACAUAAUAUAUAUUGAAUUAAAAUAAAAUAAAGAUAUUUGUUUCCUCUAGUUUGGUUAAAAUUAAUAUUGUUGGUGUUGUUAGGGAUUCUCUUGGUCACUUGCUGCUUGUGGUAGUAUUUUUCGUGGGAGUAUGGGGGAGUUCAUUGGUGAUUUCUCUACUUAUCUUGAUAUCUAGAUGGGAGGAUGGGGAAUUCCAAGAUGAGUGGUGGAGAGUCACCACUUAGAGCAUGCUCUCAUAAGAUAAGGCCCAAAACUUUAGGAGAAAAUACUCACUAAACACUCAAACAGGGUUUCUUUACUUCAAAAUUCAAUGUGAAAUAUAUGAGGCAAGACACCCUAUUUAUAGGAGGGGUGCCUUGAUGGGCAAGAGUAAGAGGAGAAAGGAAAGGGGAGAGGCGAGGGGCGGUUAGGGUUGACUCUAGGUCAAUGCCACCCCUUUUAGGCUUCCUUCUAAAGGGUAGGUCAACAAAACCCUAACUUAGGUGCACAUGUCAUGAAAGUUGGGCUUGGAAAAAGCCCACUUUACGCUAUGUUCACCCUAAUUUGAGGAAUGAUAGGUUCUGAGGCACUGGUUGUAGAAUGAUCUUGAGCUAGUCCUGGGUCCUGUAUCAUGAUCCUAGUCAUCCUUCUGAAAGGUUGAGCUAGCUCAUUGGAUGCUCUAUCUCUCAGGACUUCAUCAUCUAUUGUGUGAACCUCUGACUUUCCGACUUUACCGCCAUGUCAUCGACAUAUGCUUGAACAUUAUGUCCCAACAUGGGUUGUAAAAUCCAAUCCAUAAGUCUUUACUAGGUCGCCCCUGCGUAACAAUAGUUGGCUACUUUGGCCAUGGACACUGUUUUUUCUUCAUCCCUCGGUUGCAUUCGAAUUUGAUUAUACCCUGAAAAAACAUCCAUGAAGCUGAGCAAACUACAAUAGGAUGCGUUGUUCACCAAGGAUUCUAUGUUAGGUAGGGGACAAGAAUCCUUGAGACAAACAUUGUUGAGAUCGAUAAAUCUACGCACAUCCUCCACUUUUUGUUUGGUUUUUUCACCAUCACAACAUUUGCUAGCCAUUUGAGAUAUUGAAUUUCCUGCAACAUGACCAGCUGUAAGGAGCUUUUGAGUCUCAUCCUUUAUAUCCAAGCUCUUUUCUUCAUUGAAUUUUCUUCAUCUUUGUACAAUAGGCUUUACGUUCUCGUCCAUUGUAAGAUGAUGACAUAAGAAGUCUAGGUCAAUGCCAGGCACGUCAGCGGACGACUAUGCGAAUGCAUUCAUGUUCUUUGAAAUAAUCUCCUUGAUCUUUUCCUCUAACUCUUCUCCUGGGGGCUCGGGACGUCUUUCCUCAAAGUGGGGAUGCUCCAUGUCUACAUCUGGUCUCCCUAAGCGAGUUCUAAUCGUGUGCGUACCUUUUCUGCUCCUCAAACUAUUCUUGUAACAUUUGCAAGCUACCUUUGGAUCCACCCUCAUGGUUAUUACUUUGCCUUCGGGCGAGGGCAGUUUCAACUUCAUAUGCAAAGUGGAAACCACUGCGCCUUGCCUGUUCAAUGAUGGUCGUCCCAGGAGCAAAUUGUAAGAAGAAGGGGCGUUCACCAUAAUGUACUUGAUCAUUAUGGUGUUUAUUGCAUUCUCAUCCAAAAAGGUUGUCCUCAGCUUGACAUACCCUCGAACUUCCACUUUGUUGCUGUGAAGGUAACAAGACAACCAUCAAAGAGCUUGAGUUGGUCGGGGAAAAUUUAUAGGGCCAAAUAAGUAUCCCAAAACAUGAUGUCGACUGAACUUUCCUGAUUAAUCAGGACUCGAUGCACAUUUUGUCCCAUAGUGAUAACCGAUAGCACCACAAGGUCAUCUUCAUGAGGAAAAACAUCCUCAGAAUCUUUGGUUGUAAAGCAGAGAAAAGGAAUCAAGAGUCGCUUGGGUUCUUGAGUUUCCAAUAUCACGGCUAUGAAGUAACGUUUUCGGCUAGAUGUUGACGAUCCUUCGCCAGAGAACCCCCUGCUAUGGCAUUAAAAUCUCCUAGAAUUGGGGCUUCAUGGCUUCGUCCUAAUAACUAUUCAAUGCUUUUCUUAAUGGUCUAAGUCCAACCAAACUUAUAAAUAGGUGAUGGCUCUCUCAGUAAAGGAAGACACUAACUAUAUUCUAUACUCUUAACUUUCGUAUUGUUAAGAACUUAUCAUCAUCUUUGUGCUUCUAUUGACUUGAGCAUUGGAUAGUCUUUUUUAGGUGGGUCUCCCUCUUUCAUUUAAGACCAACUAAAAGCUCGUUCUCUGAGGAACACGUAGUCCUCACUGAGGUACCCUCCAAGUUCAUUUCCGGUAGGAACUUUUGGUGCCCAUCGUGGGACCCUGGUAAAAUUUUUCCCUAGGACCACCAUAACAAGUAGACGCACCUUAAAAACAUAUGUUUUUCACAAAACAACAUGACCACCCAGCUUGAUGCUAUCCUCCGAAAGAACGAGGAAAGCAUGCAAAAGGCAAUGGAGAAAGUCCUUGAACAAAUGUAAGAUAAGAUUGAAAGGGAUAUAGCAUCCCUGAAAGAGCAACACAGGGUGGAAGCUGAAAAAAACCAAGCUGAGAUAUAAGCUUUACAAGAUCAAUUGAUGACAAGAAAUAACGAUCAUACUCAGACUGGUAGGAAUCCUACCCAGUAUGCAAAAAAGUCCCAACAGUUAUCGCUUGAACCAUCUAUUUAGUAAGAACAUAUUUCUCCUUACACAUAUACUCCAAGUUCAUCCUAGAGGGAGAUUUGUUAUGCUCUAACUCCAAGAUCAUCCUGGAGGGAGACUCGUUAUGCUCUGACUCCAAGAUCAUCGUGGAGGGAAACUUGGGGACACGAGUAGAUACCAUUCAAGGAAGUACCCAAUCAUCCUCUCAAUUAAGCAAUGAAAGCCAAUCUAAAAGGUUUCCACCCUUUUACCUCUGAGGUCAUGAGUGCUCAACUACCCCAAAAAUGGAAAUAGGCGAGCUUUAAAAAAUACAAUGGGACUUCAGACCCCGAUGCUCAUAUCAAAGCAUGCAUGACCCAGGUGAACCUGUUCUCAGGGAACAUGGUCGUACAUUGCAUACUCUUUCCAACCACGUUGGUGAAGCUGGUCUUGGAAUAGUACUAUUCCUAGCCUAGAAAUUCCAUUGACUCCUUUAACACACAAUGUGCACAGUUUUUACCCAUAUUUGAUGAUUGCAAACCAAUAGUUGCGAUGUUCGCUUUGUUGCACAAUGUGGUCCAAGGUGACAAAGAAAGCAUGCGACAAUAUAUGGCACAAUUUGCAAAAGCAACAUCAAACAUUCUUGACCUCCAUUCGGUUGUAGCCAUGGACGCCUUACAGAUAGGAUUUCAUUCAGGGAAGUUCUUAGACACCCUUUACGCAAAUUCUCUCGCCAACAUGGAUGAACUUCGCAGCCGAGUUGCCCGAUACAUCAACAUUGAGGAGAAUUUGAUACAAGAAGGACAAUAAUGAAAACCUCGAAAGUUGCCACUUCGGAAAAAUAAUUCAAAACAAAGCUAACAAAAAGAUUUGAAGAUUAUACUCCUUUGAAUACAAGUCGGGACGUGAUUUUGCACGAAGCGUGCAACCUCGGGUUGGUACAACUUUCGCCUCCACCAACUAGUCAUCCAUCAGUUGACUCGACCAAGAAGUGCUAUUAUCAUCAAAACAUGGGUCUUCUCCCUCGUAUCUUCUUUUUGUGAUUUUUUUAUUGACGUGCCUCCUUACCUGGGUGCAAACAACAUAUGAAAGUACUUGUCUGAAUUUUUUCAGCUCAAUAUGGACUCAGAAUAAAAUUUUAGAAAGUAGCGCGAAAUUUCACAAGUUUUGGUAGAGGAUAGCCUUGGUUUGCACAAAAUAUCUGAAAAAUUCUCCCAAAAUAGUUUCUUCCUGAAAUUCCACGUAAGAAUCUCCACUGAAUUUGGGACAAACACACGAAAAUUUCAGGUCAAACGGAUGAGUACUCACCCACGAAAAAAAUCAAACAGUUUCACACACAAACGAACCUUCCUUUUGGCCCUGGCAUUGAUGAAUAAAAAAUUUAUUGCCAAUCUUGUGGGACGAAUCCGGGGCUUAAAUCUCAGUAGACACAGUGACGAACGUCUGGUAAAAAUUUCAGACCAAAAUACCCAAGGAGUAAGGCGUAGUAAGUCCCAGACCGAGAGUGAACAAAACUAGUUUUCCGAAAACAAAACGUCCUGGCUUUUCUCCCCCGUAUCUUCUUUUUGUGAUUUAUUUAUGGAUGUGCCUCCUUACCUGGGUGUAAACAACAUAUGAAAGUACUUGUCUGAAUUUUUUCAGCGCAAUACGGACCCAGAAUUAAAUUUCAGAAAGUAGGGCGAAAUUUCACAAGUUUUGGUAGAGGAUAGCCUUGGUUUACACAAAAUUUCUGAAAAAUUCUCCCGAAAUAGUUGUUAGAAUGGAUGGCUUUAAACUAGAGGGGGGUGAAUUGUUUAAAGAGGGUUUUCGCAAACUUUUAAAACAAGAAUGAAAUUAUCUCAAGAAAUAAUUGAUAAGAAAUUCAGUUUGCCAAAACAGCAAUAAAAAACAGCAGUACCAGAAAAACAAUCGGUUGUUUCACAGAAACAAUCGGUUGUUUAUACCAGCAAACAACAAACAAAACUGAAUUUAAAGAGUUUAAGGAUAGAGAGAUUGCACACUGAUGUUUAUACUGGUUCACUCCAAAUCCAAAGCUACAUCCAGUCUUAGAAACCCUGAGGAAAUCCACUAAGCAAUCACACCUUGAUCACUUACACCACAACCAAGAAAGUGACCUUGAACACCUCAAGACACACACUCUUCUUGGCCAACACACCAACACUAAGAUUGCUGAUCUUGAUCCCCUUAAGAACACACAACAAAUCUCAGCAAACACAGAAAUGAAACUUGUUCAGUAGAGUACAAGGAUUACACUUGUUACAGAAGAUAAUAUGAAAUCAAUACAAGCAGAAUCCUAUUCCACUCACUUUGAUCAAUCACAAACUCUAAGCAAUCUUAGCUCUUUGAAAAACUAAAAAAAUCUUUUCAAAAUCUUGUAAAAGAUUGUUACUCAAAUAUGUUAUUCUGAAUUUAUUCAAAGAUGUUGUUUGUUAUCAAAUCUUAACAAACUCUUAAAUUGCAUUAAAAGAUUGGUCAAAGCUUUUAAUGACUGGAGCGUAAGCAGUUAAAUCAUUUAAAGCUCAAUCAAAGAUAAAACAGUUUUUCUGUUAUGGUCCCAAAACAAAAAAUCGGUUGUUUCCUCGAAUCAAUCGGUUGUUUUGGUUUUAACAGCUCAACCAUUUGAAAAAUAGUUUUCAAUCUUUUCUCAAAACAUCUAAGUAUAAACAAUCGGUUGUUUCAACAAAACAAUCGGUUGUUUUAACUUAGUUUGAAAAACAUUUUACUUUCACAAAGAUUGAGAAUGCCUAUGCUUUAGAUUUAAUCAAAUGGUGGAUUACAACACUCAAACUACCCCAAAACUAAACUAAACCAGCACAGUAACAACAAGCACAACCAAGGCUUCAACAUCCUUCAAAGGAUUUGGAUUCUUCAAAGCUUGAACACCACAUGGUUCAACAAUCUCCCCCUAUUUGAUGAAGACAAAUCCCUGAUGCUUGUGUUGUACCUGAUUGAAUCUGAAGCAGUUCCUGCAAGAUACAAUUUUGAACAAAGCAUAGAACUUCUAAUAUUUGGUUAGCACAAAUAUAAGAAUUAAAGUCCAGAGCUAAAUAUCAUAAACAAAUAUUACUCAUCCAAACUUGUUUUAACAACUAAAAAACAGAAAUUUAAACACAACAUAUAUAUCUCCCCCUAUUUGUCUUCACAAAUAGACAAAGAGAAGAGAUAAAACAAGAUAUAAUUGUUUUGAUUACAUCAGAAUUAAAGCAGUAACAACAGAAGGAAAAAAAAAUUGAAAAACAGAUAUAACCACAAAAAACAAUCGGUUGUUUCGAUACAUCAACCUGUUGUUUUUCCUCAUUCAUCAUCAUUUGCAAACUGAAGAUCAAAGAUUUGGUUCUGGACAGCUUCAAUCUGUUCAUCUAGAGUCAUGAAGCGUGCAUCCAUGUUGUCAAACCUGUUGUCAAUCCUCUGGAAAUUACUAACACAGAGAUCAUGGAGGUUUCUUUGAUUCUCCCCAAAGCUAUCAAGCCUAUUCAUCAUGAGUCUUUCAAAAGAAGACAUGGUUUGCAUCCCUUCUUCUUGAUUUCCAGCACCAGCACUAGGUCCAACAUCUUGAUAAUCUUCAGGUGGAUCUUCAUGUUGAACAUCCAUAUCAGCAGGCUCAUCUUGUUCAAGAUCAGCAGCACCACUAGAUGAGGCACCAAGAUCACCAUCCUUGCUAAUCCAUUUGCCAUCUACUUUGGUAAAACCCAUUUUGCUGAGUGAUCCAUUGUUCAACUCUUGAGUUGACUUGACCAACUCAGAUGUUUCAUCUUCAAGGUUCACUUCAAAAUAGAGUAGAAAUUUAGAUACCAAAACAACAUAUGGAUAGUGAUAGUCACAUAACCUCAUAGCCUUUUGCAUGUGCUAUUUGAUGAUGUGAAUCCAAUUGAUUUUGAUCUUCUUCAUGAUGCAGAAAAUAUAUACCAGAUCUUCUUCAGUAAGAACAAAAUGAUUACUCCCCCUUGGAGUUAAAGUCCAAGUCACAAUGAGAGUAAGCAAUCUUUCAUCAAGCUUUAGACCUCCAACCGAGCAUGUUCUCACUUGAGCAUGUUGAUUCUUCAAGCAACUCUUGUAGUAUUGGAUUUUGUUAAAAUCCUCCACUACACCAAGAUUUCCCUUGUUGAUUCUAAGCCCAGAGAACUUGAGACCAGCAACAACAGUCCAUACUUCAUGAGUUAUCUCCAUUUCUACACCUUUCACAUGAGAAACUAGAUUGUUUCCCUCAAACUUUAGGUUUGUGUAGAACACCCUUACCAAAUCUGGGUAAAUGUUUCCCUUCAUCUCCAGAAACUUUCUGAGAGAUUGAUCUUUGAGCAGCCUCCUUACAUUCUCAAGCUUUUGACUUUUCAGCCAAUCAAAGCACAACCUUGGGGUUGUUUAUCUUUUUGAUACUUGUUUCAUACCUAUACCUCUCAAUAAGAUCAUUGUCUCCAGAAAACCAGCCUUCUAGCCUUCCUCCUAACCUUACAACUCUGGUUUUGACUCUCUUUGAGGUGGGAGGAGUUGAUUCCAUGAUGGCAGAGAAGAAAACAGAUAAGAACUCACUUCACAGGUUUUUGCAAGAGAUGUUGCAAUAGAUGUUGCAAUUGGUUGUUCUUGUGGAAGAGAUUAGCUGCACCAGAUUUUAUAGCAGAAAAAGAAUAAAUUAGCAUUCAAUGUUAUGAGUGGGUACCUGAUUUUCAGAGAGAGAGGACUUGACUCUGCCCUGCACAGAAAACGUCAGAAAAAGCUGAAAAUCACAUGGUCUUCACAUGUGAUCUUUGAGCAGUGAUUAAGGCUCUUGAAUUUCUAAGAUUUUGGAAUAUAUUCCUUUAUGACUGUUGUAACUUCUCUCUGAACGUGAUCAACUUUCAACACAGAUUCUUUGACCAAGAUUCUCUCUUUGAAUUGAUCUGCAACGGAUAGAAAUUCAAAAUAACAAUUAAAAAGAUUUCUUCACAGUGCUGUCAGACCUAAAACAAUCGGUUGUUUUUCUGCAGCAGUUAAAACUGAUUUUGAAUUUUAACUAUGAGCAGAAAGAGUUCAAAGCAGAUGACAUUAAGCAUAUUAAAAAGAUUUUUUACCAUGAGAAAGAAAUUUGUACCGAUCUGGUAAUCGGAAGUGAUGACGUGGCAGCAAGCGAUAAUAUAGGCAUGUUGAACGGGACACCUGGCUGACAGAAGGGAAGCACAUUGGGAAGUUUGUGUAGUCGCCAAUUGUCAGCUUGGCGUUCUCCGAUCUCUAGUAUGUAUAACCGGCGGUCACCAGGCUCGCGUCAUAGUCGCCAUAUGUGAGUUCUAGGAGAUCAGGUGGUUAGAGACCGCCGAGUGGGGCACAUCGCCGAGAGAUCAGGAAGGCUUGCUUAAGGCUUUCGAGAGGUACAAGCACGAAGGAUGAGGUUAUCAGAUGAUCAUUCCCUAACCAGAAGUCGGGACAAGGGAACAGUUUCCCAGAACAUGCAUGAUGUGCAAGUGAAGCAGAUCGUGAUAGCGGCAGGCGAGACCACAGAGCAGGUGUGCAUGGUGACACCCCGUACUCGCCACUUAGAAGAGAUCGCACUCCAAGGAAGCUAUGCACCGAGUUACUCCUUGCAUGGGUAACUUAGUCGAAUAGCUUGAAGAGUAGAGGUGACGCUUAAGUAGAAGGGGGCUUCAGAUGGUGACACGUGUACAACUGGAUGCGAGCCACGUGUCCAGAGGUGUAACCGUCAGGAGAGAGAAAGUGCUCAGGUAUAUAAGGAACUCUAACGAACUUCUGAGGUACGCGCGUUUAGAACACUUCUUUACGCUUUCUGAGAACACUAGAGUACGCUUUUCAGAACACUGAGAUUCACUGCGCACGGUUCCUUGAGUUUGAUAUUCUCUCUGAGUAUUUGGUGAUUCCGUCACUGACUUGAGCGUUGGAGCGCGAUCGGCCGCAGCGGCGCCACUCUGUUUCUUUGUUUUCUUCAGGUUCUUACGAGGAAUAGAGACGUGAAGAUCGAAGGCUAACGUGGUGCGAAGCUGAUCGAGAGAAGAUACCUUUGACGUGGCAAGACUCUUGCACUCGAGUCAACCGGUAGGAUCAUCAGGCGCCCACCGUGGGGCCGUGUAAAACGUGUUUCCCAUCCACAGCGUGAGUUCUUGAAGUUUCUGUGAUUCUUGUGUGGUUGUGUGCUGGUGCAACCAUUUUCAGCGUUUUCACCGUUUGUUUGAGCUUUUGUUCGGUGAAUUGAAGUUCUCCACUGUUCAUUUGGGUUUUUAAUCGGUAGUUUGAAGUUUUCCACCGUUUGUUCGAGCUUUCGAUCGGUUUCUUGAAGUUUCUUACCAUUUGUGCGGGUUUCAAUCGGUAAAUCGAAUUCUUUACCGUUCGUUCGUGUUUCUGACCGGCGAAUCAGGAGUUUUAGUGGAGAAGUGGUAGGUUCGUGUUAAGAUUGCAAGUUUCUGUGGAGGUUUUGGCAUCCGAAUCUGUCGGCGUGCUGUUGUGGUUGCGUUCUUGGAAGUUCUUUGGAGUUUGAGAGUUUUUGACCGAUUGAUUGCUGGAUCGAUCGUUUCGCUGGUGAAGGUUUUGUUUGCUGAAGUUUGAUUUGCUGAUUUUUCAUGAGAAAGAUGAGAAGUACGCGUUCAAGUCCCGUUGUGCCGACCGCUACCGAAGGCGCCAUGACCAUGGCGCAGAUGAUGGAGAUCAUGUGUGCGUUGGAAGCAAAUCUGGAGGCAUCGCACGUAGAGUAGGCGAAGAUGCAUGAAGACCUGGUCGCCUCUCAGGCCAGAAAUGAGGAGCUCAGCAAAGUCACUGAGGAGUUGCGUCAAACUCUUCAUGAGUAGAGAGGAUGCACAACCGUGGAAGAAGUUGCGUCGUCAUCAUCACCGCGCGUGUUUCCGAUGCCUUUUGCUCAGGCGAUCACGGACACACCGAUCCUUGCGAGCGUGGUACCUGUGAAAGCUUCCUUCACCGGUGUGGAGGAUCCUGAAGCACAUCUCACUGUGUUCCACACGCAGAUGAUGCUGUCAGGAGGCUCAGAUGCUGUCUAUUGCAAGAUGUUUAUGAGCACGCUCCAGGGAACAGCGCUGGAAUGGUUUGUUAGCCUGCCUACAGGUCACAUAACCAAUUUCCAGCAGUUUUCGAAGCUUUUCGUCGACCAGUACAUUCUGAACAAGGCGCCACCGAGGGUGUCUUACGACUUGUUCGACGUGAGGCAGUAUCAGGGAGAGUCCCUCAAGGACUAUCUGAACCGAUUUGGAGCACAGAUGGUCCGCUCGCCUGCCAAAGACGAGGAGAUGUUGGUAUAUGCCUUCAAAAAGGGCGUGCUGCCGGGACCUUUUUGUGAGGCGCUGAUUAGGGGCCACCCCGCCACGUUUGCUGAAGUUCGACGACUUGUUGUGGCCCACAUCGCCGACGAGAGUGAGGUCGCCGAGAAGAGAUGGAGCGUGGCUCCUGCUAGGCCACGAGCCCAGACUAGAAUGCAGCCGUAGAGGGUGCUGGAGACGGCGGUGGCUAAAAUGGAUCAAAGGACUCGCCAUCCUUAUGAUCCAAAGAAAAACAAGGGAAGGGGCCCAGGGCGCCCUAGGGAGUUCAAUCGCCCACCCAGGUACAAGUUCGUCAUGGGAUUGGCAGACCUGAUUGCCAUUCCCAACAUAGCAGCCAGGCUUAAAGCGCCUGAGAAAGUUGGCGACAAGGUGUUAGGGCCAAAACCAAACGCAUGGUGUGAGUUCCACCAGAGUUUUGGUCACACCCUUGACUCGUGCUUGGCCCUGGGUUACCAGCUCAACGAUCUGGUCAAGAGCGGCUUCUUGAAUGAUUACCUGUUGGACAAGAGGACGGGGGGUGCGUCGAGCUCUCAGCCGGCGAGCGGUGAAGGCCAACAGCAUGAAGUGCCCACCCAUGGCGAGAUCCACACCAUUGCUGGAGGCUUCUCAGGUGGUGGAUGCACUGCAUCACAGCGGAAGAAGUAUGCAAGGUCUGUGAUGGCAGUGGAUGUCUUCGAAGAUCACUCGCCAUAUGUGGACAUUACGUUCACAAAGGAGGAUCUCAGGGACGUUGUGCCUCAUGACAACGAUCCCAUAGUUGUCUCGCUGAUCACGGCGGGAAGGUCCACCGAGUACUGGUGGACCAAGGAAGCUCGGCAGAUGUAAUGUUCUGGCCGACUUUCACCAAGCUACAACUACCCCUUGACCAGCUAAGGCCCUAUGGAGGAUGCUUAUAUGGGUUCGCUGGCGACCAGGUGGAGGUCAGGGGGUACAUUGAGUUGAGAACUACGUACACAGACGAGGCGGCCUCGAGGAUGGAGAAGAUCAAGUACCUCGUCGUGAAUGCCCCCUCAGCGUAUAACAUUCUGUUGGGAAGGCCAACCCUCAACAGAAUAGGAGCUGUGCCCUCAACCAGGCACAUGAAGGUUAAGUUGCCAUCGAUGGAAGGGGUGGUGAUCACCAUCAGAUCUGACCAGAAGGAGGUGAAGAAAUGCUACGAGAAUAGCCUCAAGAAUAAGAGGUCAGUAAGCUACAUCACAACGACACCGCCUCCCGGUGUGGAGCCCAGGCCACCAGAGGGACGAGUUGUUGAUUCGGCGAUGGAGGUGACCGCCGACGGCAAUGUCGUCAUGAUAGAUGCUGAAGCAAGGGGAGAGAACGCUGAUCGGGGGAAGAAGCGAGAAACCGCCCAGAGGAGGCUAGGGAGUCGGGAAUUGCCAGGGCGGUGAUCGCUAGGGAAACUAGGCCCAAACCCGUCGAGGAGUGGCUCGAGAGGGAGAUCGGGGGUAAGGUCUUCAAGUUGGGAAGAUCUUUGGAAGGUGAGCUCCAAGACCAGAUCGCCAAGGUGAUAGAACGACAUCUGGAUGGUUUUGCAUGGUCUGCUUCAGACAUGCCGGGAAUCGAUCCCGAUUUCUUGUUUCACCAUCUGGCAAUGGACACACAGGUAAGACCAAUGUGACAGAGAAGAAGGAAGUUUAACGAGGAGAGGAGACAGACGAUUAGGGAUGAAACGCAAAAGCUCCUCACCGCAGGCCAUAUCAGGGAGGUCCAGUACCCUGAAUGGUUAGCUAAUGUCAUGCUGGUAAAGAAGAGCAACGGGAAGUGGCGCAUGUGCGUCGACUUCACAGACCUAAACAAGGCUUGUCCAAAGGAUUCAUACCCUUUGCCAAGUAUAGAUGCCCUGGUCGACAGCGCAGCAGGGUGCAAGUUGUUGAGUUUUCUGGACGCCUUCUCAGGGUACAACCAAAUAAAGAUGCAUCCCAUGGAUGAAGAGAAGACCGCCUUCAUGACUGAGAGAUCGUGCUACUGCUACAAGGUGAUGCCCUUCGGGCUGAAGAACGCGGGGGCCACGUACCAAAGGUUGAUGGAUAAGGUACUUGCAUGAUGCUGGGAAGGAACGUGCAAGCGUACGUAGAUGAUAUGGUCGUGACCUCGUUAGAGAAAAGCAAGCACGUCUCAGAUCUGGAGGAGCUGUUUACCACGAUCGCCAAGUUCAGAUUAAAGCUAAACCCCGAGAAGUGCAUUUUCGGCGUGGAGGCGGGGAAGUUCUUGAGUUUCCUCUUAACUGAAAGAGGAAUAGAGGCAAAUCCUGAUAAGUGUGCUGCCAUUUUGGCGAUGAGGAGCCCGGCUACCGUGAAGGAAGUGCAGCAGCUUAUAAGUCGGAUGACUGCCUUGUCUCGUUUCGUAUCAGCUAGUGGAGAGAAAGGCCAUCCGUAUUUUCAAUGCUUGAGGCGAAACAAUAAGUUUGUCUGGUCGAAGGAAUGCGAAGAAGCUUUCGUGAAGCUUAAAGAAUAUCUGGCGAGCCCGCCGGUUUUGUGCAAACCUUUGGUGGGAACCCCUUUCAGGUUGUAUUUUGUUGUAACUGAGAGGGCGGUGAGUGCGGUGCUCGCCCAAGAUCAAGACCAGGCUCAGAAACCUAUUUACUUCGUCAGCAAGGUGUUGCAAGGCCCAGAAGUCAGGUAUCAGGCCUUGGAGAAAGCUGCACUGGCGGUCGUGUUUUCGGCGAGGAGGUUGCGCCACUAUUUUCACAGUUUUACAGUGCUGGUGAUGACCGACUUGCCUAUCCAGAAAGUCUUGAAGAAGCCCGAUGUAGUUGGGAGGAUGGUGAAAUGGGCGGUGGAGCUGUCGGAGUUCGACAUCAAGUACAAGCCCCAAGGACCGAUCAAGGGGCAAAUUUUCGCUGAUUUCGUGGUCGAGCUCUCGUUGGAAGCAGCACGAGUUGAGGGGGACGAUUUUCGUUGGGUACUUUCAGUGGACAAAUCGUCUAACCAGCAGGGUGCGAUGCUGAAGUCAUUCUAGAAGGGCCCAACGGCGUGCUGAUAGAACAGUCCCUAAGGUUUGCUUUUAAAGCCAGCAAUAAUCAAGCAGAAUAUGAGGCGUUGAUCGCAGGCAUCUUGUUGGCUAAGGAGAUGGGGGCUAGGGUGUUGAUGGCCAAGAAUGACUCAUUGUUGGUCACGGGACAAGUAACAUGCGAGUUCCAGGCCAAGGAUCCACAAAUGGCGGCUUACUUGGAGUAUGUGCAGGAGUUGAAGGGUUCUUUUGCCUCGUUUGAGGUGGUGCAUGUACCCAGAGAGCAAAAUGCCCGAGCUGACUUGCUAGCCAAGCUCGCCAGUUCGGGCAAGGGGGGUAGGCAGAGGACAGUUAUUCAAGAAACUCUGAAGACGCCCAGGGCGUUUGUGGCAGACCACCUGGUUCUUUAAAUAAGCAAGUCGACGGAGAAGGCGGCGAGGAGUCACAGGUCCUUGACCCAGGAGACCUUGAGAUCGCCGAGAAUAAGAGCAUGUCGAGGGGAGAGGGUGAACGUGGCGUAGGUCUGCGCUACGCAUAAGCCAGACACAUGGAUAACGCAAUACCAGCGCUGCCUGGCAGAUGGCGUUCUCCCGCUGGAUCCGACGGAGGCUAGNNNNNNNNNNNNNNNNNNNNNNNNNNNNNNNNNNNNNNNNNNNNNNNNNNNNNNNNNNNNNNNNNNNNNNNNNNNNNNNNNNNNNNNNNNNNNNNNNNNNNNNNNNNNNNNNNNNNNNNNNNNNNNNNNNNNNNNNNNNNNNNNNNNNNNNNNNNNNNNNNNNNNNNNNNNNNNNNNNNNNNNNNNNNNNNNNNNNNNNNNNNNNNNNNNNNNNNNNNNNNNNNNNNNNNNNNNNNNNNNNNNNNNNNNNNNNNNNNNNNNNNNNNNNNNNNNNNNNNNNNNNNNNNNNNNNNNNNNNNNNNNNNNNNNNNNNNNNNNNNNNNNNNNNNNNNNNNNNNNNNNNNNNNNNNNNNNNNNNNNNNNNNNNNNNNNNNNNNNNNNNNNNNNNNNNNNNNNNNNNNNNNNNNNNNNNNNNNNNNNNGAGCCAGUAGCCCAGAUCACCGCACAUAAGAUCGAGAGCUUUGUAUGGAAGAACAUCGUGUGCCGGUUUGGUGUGCCUAAGCGCCUGGUGUCGGACAAUGGGACUCAGUUUGCAAGUCACCUAUUGAAGAAGCUGUGCGAAGAGGUGGGAAUACAGCAGGUGUUUGCAUGUGUCGAGCACCCACAGACAAAUGGCCAAGUAGAGUCUCCAAAUCGGGUGUUGCUGAGAGGUUUAAAGAGAAGGCUAGAGAAAGCUAAGGGAUCGUGGGCUGAAGAGGUACUGCGCAUAGUUUGGGCGUACCAUACCACUGAGCAGUCAGGAACCCACGAGACCCCGUUUAGCUUGGUUUAUGGAUGCGAUGCAAUGAUUCCAGUUGAAAUCCAGGAGAGCUCGCCGAGAUUCCAGAACUUUGUGGCGGAAGACUCAAACGAAGAAAGAAGGUUGAAUCUGGAUUUACUGGAUGAGGUCAGGGAGGAGGCAAGAGUAAAGGCCGAGGCAGUAAAAAGGAGGAUUGAGCGAAGGUAUAACUCCAAGGUAAUGCCAAGGCAGUUUAGAGAGAGCGACCUGGUGAUGAGGAAGGCCCAUCAGUACGAGAUGGAGAACAAGUUAUCGCCUAAGUGGACGGGAUCGUUCAGGAUAACCGAGGUGCUCGGGAACGGCGCCUACUGCUUAGAGACGUUAGAAGGAGGGGCGAUUCCUCGCACUUGGAACGCCACACAUCUCAAAUUGUAUUACAGUUAAAGCUUUGUAAGUAAAACGAACAUGAAGAGAUUUACAUGCUUUCUGUUAAAACAGUUUGAAAGGGGGCACUCUUUUUUCCCUAAGGAGGGUUUUUAAUGAGGCCACCCAAUAAAGAAGAGUUUUCAAGCUUAAGUUUUCUGAGAUUGCAUGCUUUGUGUUUUGAAAGUUUUUAGAAAAAAGACCUUAUCACCCGUACGUGAUUUAAGGCAAGUUCGAAGUUAUAUUGCUUGCUUUCAGUUAAAAGUUUUGAAGUCCCCAUCGUUUUUCGGCGAUUGGCAGCACCAGUUAAAAGUUUUAAAGUCCCCAUUGUUUUUCGGCGAUGGGCGGCAUCAGUUAAAAGUUUAAAGUCCCCAUCGUUUUUCGACGAUAGGCAGCAUCAGUUAAAAGUUUUAAAAGUCCUCAUCGUCUUUCGGCGAUCGGAGGCACCAAUGAUGAUUAAAGACCUCAAACGCUCUCAUGCGUCUUGAGGCAAGAAGAGAAAAAGACCUCCUCGCCUUUCAGCGAGUGCAGGCGAGAAAGAGAAAAGUCCUCCUUGCCUUUGAGCAAGUGCAGGCAAGAAAAAGACCUCAUCGCCUUUGAGCGAGUGCAGGCGAGAAAGAGAAAAGUCCUCCUUGCCUUUGAGCAAGUGCAGGCAAGAAAAAGACCUCCUCGUCUUUGAGUGAGUGCAGGCAAGAAAAAGUCCUCCUUGCCUUUGAGCAAGUGCAGGCAAGAAAAAGUCCUCCUCGACUUUGAGCGAGUGUAGGCAAGAGAAAGUCCUCCUUGCCUUUGAGUAAGUGCAGGUGAGAAGAAGUCCUCCUUGCCUUUGAGCAAGUGCAGGCGAGAAGAAGUCCUCCUCGCCUUUGAGCGAGUGUAGGCAAGAACAGAUCGAAAGACCUCUCUGCGCAAGCAGAUAGAGGCAAGAUUGAAAGUCCUCAGCACGUCCAGGAAGGAGGAGAUGCACACCCUGGGCAAACUGAGGCACCAAAAAAAGUCCUUCUCACCUCAGAGUGAGUUCAGGCAAGAUAAAUUGAAAAGUCAGGGGUGUUCGUGACCUUAAACGGGGGGAAGGGAAGGAAAACGCCUUUUCCCCUUUAAGUGAAACAUCAAUAUUGACCCAGUAAGACUAGAUCAUUGUUCUGACACUCAGGGAGGUAGAGAAGGAUCCGAAAGGCGCCUCUACCCCCGGAUGAGGGAACAAUGGUCAAGUUAUGAAGUAAGAAAGAUCACAUCGCCAGAACCCUACGACGAUCAGAAGAAUUCUAGGCGAUGACAGGAGUAAGGGCUCACUUCAUUGGGCAGAUCAGGUGAACUGUGUCUUAAAUACCAGUUUGAGUUAAAACUUGCUGUUUAGUAAGUAGUUUUGUUGCCUUAAGUUCACAAGUUAUAUUAAGUGCCAUCGCGUGAAAGUUAAUAGUUGCUCAAGUUUACUUUGAGUUAACAGUUUGAUGAGUUGUUACAAGGUUAACAGUUUAUUCAAGUUAACAGUUUGAUAAGUUGUUACAAGGUUAACAGUUUAUUCAUGUUCGAAGCAGUGUGUGAAAGCAAAUAAAGGCAAAGGCGUGCAAAGUAAGUAGAAAGACGAUGUUGAAGAAAUGAAAAUUAUAUAAAGCGAUGUCAAUACAAAUCUAUACACAAACAACUAUUACAAACAAAAGAUGAAGGGCAAGUUUCAAAAACAAGGUGAUGGAGGGAGGCAGCUAGUCUUCGGAGGGUACAAUCUUCCCAUCCACCACCUCGUUGCAGAUUGACACCAUGGAAAGGUCGAGCUCGGGGUAUUGACAUGCUACUUGCUCCAGAGCGGCGUCAAACCCGGCGGUGAGGACUUGGGCAGUGCUCUGCUCGAGCUCUUGUGUUUGUUUCUUCAGCUCUUCGAUUUCCUCGCGAGCUCGAGCAAGUUCUUCAGCAGCCUUUUUUCCUUCGUCCCGGGCCUGGGCCAGCUCUGCAGCAGUCUUUGUGGCCUCCUCUCGAGCUUUGGCGAGCUCAGCAAGAGCAUCGUCCCUUUCCUUUUCGACCUUUCCAAGCAGAACCUCCUGAUCUGUUGACCUUUUCUCAAGGUUUUCCACCUUGGUCGCAUCCGUCUUUUUUGCAGCCUCCAAGUUUGCCACUUUGAGCCUGUAAGGGACCAACUUGCUUUCCAAGUCGAUCUUCUCUUGGACUUGGAGAUGCAGUUUCUGGCGCAGGUUGGAGGCUUCCUUGCGCAUGCUCCUUAGCUCAGCAACCAUGGCGUCCUCUAGCCUUGAGUGCUCCAACUCAGCCAUCAGCAGGUUGCACGUGAGCUUUUCAGCCUCAGCCCUUGUCAUCAGAUUUGACUCCUUGAGCGCUGAGUUCUCUUCUUGGAGCUUCUUGAGGGAGUCCUUCAGGGCUUUCGAUACGAUCAAUGGGAGAUCCUCCGCCAUCAUCUUCAGUUUGGCUGUGAAGGGUCCCAAGAUCUCUUCGAAGGAGGUUGGGAGGCUUGAGGUUGUUGCUGGUGGAGGUGCUGAAGGAGUUUGGUGCUGACUUUCACCACCACCCUCUUGGGUUUGAAGGGCAAGGGGGGCUUCUUAGCGUGGUGGUGAGGUCAGAGAUUCCGUUAUGAGUAUCGGCGAGUUAUGAGCACCCUCAUCUUCGCCUAAUGCGGCCCCAGCAAUAGACGUGGUGGAAGGAGGACCCUCUCCAACAGAUACGAACGGUGUGGAGGCGCUUGGAGGGUUCUCUAUGAAGUUGGGGUCGCUGCUUUUACCCACGGGGAGUGCGGCGGCCAAGGGUGUUGCUUGGACUGGUUGUAAUGGAGCUGGAGGUGAGGGCGGUGUUGGGAGUGCGGGUGGUGAAGAGGGAGCCGCCCUUUUUCUCUUGGUAACGAGCCCAUCCUCAGUCUCCUCAUCAUCCUCUUCUUCCUCUUGCACCACUUGAGGAGCUUUUCUCUUGGGUUUCCUCAAGACCAGUUUCUUCCUUUGGGGGGCGGGCAGUACCCCAGAGGAAGUUGGACCUCGGGGAGGAGUCUUGCCUUGAGCAGCGGCGAUCUCCACCACCGAGUUGGGCACGGUUUGGGAGCCCGCCGCGAGCUUGUGAGAUCGGGCAAUCGCCCUCAGUUCUGCCAGUUUUCCUUUCCCCAGCAUGUUAUCUGCACAAGGUAAAGGGUAGAUGAGCAACAAAAACAAAAGCAGAAAAUACAAAGUAUAUUUAUGAAGAGACAACACAAGCAGUACAUGGAUGAAAGAUCAGAGUCAACACAGAAUAAUGGAAUGCCAAAAUAGAGUGGUGAAGACGCUAAGUUAGUGUUAACUCGAAGUGAAAGACUUGGUGCUGAGGCAGGAGCUAACCUAUGUGAGCUUCGAGUUGGUCCUCAAGGAACUCGAAGGAGAUUAUUGAGGCGGUGGGGAGGGUGAUGUUGGCAGCAGCCACACUCUUCCAGAAGAGGCAGAGAUCUUUGUCUAACUCCCCCAUGUUGUCGGGACUUCUUGGCCUCCUGAAGCUUUCUUUAGAGUCUUUGUUCCCCUUGUGUACCCAGUACAAGGGGAAGCCGUCGAGCAGGGAAGGGUCUUGGUCGUUUUGGCACACCUUGACGAACUUCCCCUUCCAGUCUUUGUAAGAUUGCUGGAAGAUCGAGAGGAUUGACCUCCCAGCAAUCCCGUUCAAGCUAAUCCAGAGGCGAUCUCCGGGAUUCUUAGCCUCGAACAGGAAAAGAAAGACAUCCACCGAAGCCGGCAGCCCCAAGUGUGCACAGAUGAUUUGGAACGCCCUCACGAACGCCCAGCUAUUGGGAUGAAGCUGGGCAGGGGCGACGUUGAGCUCAGUCAGUAGCUCUCUCUCGAAGCGGGUGAAAGGAAACCUAAGCUUCACCUUCUUGAAGAAUGUCGCGUAGAUAAAGCAGAACAACUCGCCGUUGUUCCCCUUAUUAUCCGCGCAAAUCGGUUCUCCUGAGAGGCAGGGCAACACAGUCAUUUUGCUAUCGUGCUCCUUGUGGAAUGAGAGGUCGGAUUGGUCUCCUUUCCUCAGUCGGUGCACGCCCAAAUCAGUAUUUAUCGAAGAGGUCUCUUUCAGCAGAGUUGGGGUGGCCCAGGGAUAGAGUUCUUUGUAGUCUUGCGGAAGAAGGGGGGCUCCUCCGGCGACUGGUGGAGUUGCCUGAGUGGCGUUGGCGUGAGAAGAGGCAGGCCUCUCAGCCUGAUUAGAAGGAGCACCAGAGGCUCGUGGUGGGUUGCGCGCUGGUGGAGGAUUUGCCCAUGGGCAACCCUACGCGUUCUGAGUGGAGGGUUUCGCGAUGAAGGAGGAGGGUUAGCGGUGGACUUCGUGUGAGCCAUCGCAGGAACUGCAAAGGAAAGAGAAAGGGAUGAAAUGAAGAAAACAGAGAAUGACUCGAUUGGGGACAAAGAAGAUAGAACGAACAGUUAAGGGUUCGCUGGGAUGGACGUUAUCAAGGACGAAACCUUAGGUUAUGAGAAAAGGAAAAAACAGCCCACAACGUAUGCUUCAGACAAACAAUGGAUGAUGCAAACCGAUUAAAAUGCAGCAAGUAUCCAUAGAAGGAGUAAAAGGGUUACCUUUUUGUGAUCAGAUGAGCGUUGAAGAAAGUUGAAGAUUGAGAGAGGCGAGAAGCUUCGUGGUUCGCAGAGAAAAUGCUUGGAACGCUUGAGAGUGAAGGAAGAUGAUGGAACAGUGAAAAGCGCGAAGGUUUUAAGGGUUUUCAAACGUUUUAGGAAGCGCAAACGUCAACUGAAGACGACCGUUGAUGAAGCCACGUGUCGUGUGAUUGAAAAAGAGGUUCUUUACGCGCAAACGCUUGAGAACACUUCUUUACGCUUUCUGAGAACACUAGAGUACGCUUUUCAGAACACUGAGAUUCACUGCGCACGGUUCCUUGAGUUUGAUAUUCUCUUUGAGUAUUUGGUGAUUCCGUCAUUGACUUGAGCGUCGGAGCACGAUCGACCGCAGCGGCGCCACUCUGGUUCUUUGUUUUCUUCAGGUUCUUGCGAGGAAUAGAGACGUGAAGAUCGAAGGCUAACGUGGUGCGAAGCUGAUCGAGAGAAGAUACCUUUGACUUGGCAAGACUCUUGCACUCGAGUCAACCGGCAGGAUCAAACUUUAAAACAGAAAUUAAGAACAAAUAAAGGAAAGUCUUAUCCUUAUGUUAAUUCGUCAAUGAGCCAUGUUCUUUAUGAUCAAGAAGCCUCUUUUCACUGUUGAGGUCCUUUGGACAGAUGCAUAACAUUGAUUCAGCUUCAAUGAUUGUCUUUUUCUUCCAAGAACUUGAUCAUAUGACUUAGUCCUUCACACUUCUUUAGAAUUCCUGCACAAACAUGAGUUCAAGCAACAAGAUUUGGUCCCUUCACAAAUGUGGGUCCAAUAGAUUUCUUUUUCUCAUUUGGAACCUCACAUCCUUUCGGAAUCCAUUUCAUGUAGCCUCUAGGAACAAAUAAUUUUCUUAUUUUGCAGAAUCUAACCAAAUGGCCCUUUUUCAUGCAAUAAAAACAUGUAACAACCGAUUGUUUCGAUUUAACAAUCGGUUGUUUUACUGGCUUUCUUGAAAAUUUUUUUUGAAAACUUAUCUUGUUGGUUCUGUGGAUUGAAACCCAAACCAGCCUUUCCAAAAAUAUAGCUUUGAGAUGCCAAGACAUUCUCAAAGUUAGAUUUCCCCUUUGAAAGCUUGUCCACAGUUUCAACAAGAUAGUGAACCUUUUUCUUAAGAUUUUCACAAUUUUCGCAAAUGAGAGUGUCACACUUGCAAGAAGCAUUUUUGAAAUGGUUUUCCAGAUUUUUGAAAUCAUUUUUAGAUUUUUCAAUCUCAUCUUCAAGUGAUUUCACUCUCUUUUCUAGCCAGCUGUUAAGUUCUUUCAAUCGAUUGUUUGAAAGAACCAAUCGAUUAGCUUCAUCAUGAGUUUCUUGAAAAGCUUCAAGUAAUUCACUGUAAUUUUGUUCAUUCAAGGAAGCACAUGAACUUACUUCACUUGAGCUGCAAGAUUCAUCAUCAUCUUCAGCAACCAAGCAGAUGUUUGCUUUCUCAUAUUCACUUGAUGAAGAACUUGAUGAUGACACCUCAUUUUCAUCCCAAGCUAUGUAGGCUCUUUUUGUCUUGCCUUUCUUUUCCUUGUAGCUAGGAUUUUUCUCCUUGCUCUUGUUUGGACAAUCUACCUUUUAUAUGACCUUGCUCACCACAACCAAAACAAGUAUAGUUAUUGGAAUUAAACUCAUUGGAUUUCUUGUUUCCAUACCUAUCUUUGUUGUUGUCUUUGUUGCGGUUUCUCUUUAGGAAUUUGAUGAACUUUCUUGACAGCAAGCUAAGGUUUUCCUCAUCACUAUCAUCACUGGAUUCUUGUUUUCCGUUGUGCUUGGAAGCUUUUAAGGCUAUGCUCCUUGUGUGCUUGUCUUCACUCUCUUGAACAUUGAGUCUAUUCAUCUCUAACUCAUGUUCCCUAAGCUUUCCAAACAAAGAAGCAACACUUAAUGAUGUUAGAUCUUUAGAUUCGGAAAUAGCAGUUACCUUGGGUUGCCAUGCUCUCAUGAGAUGAUUGAUGAUGUGCGUGAAUCUUUUCUGCACCUCAACAAUUGUUUCUCCUUUAAGCAUUCUGAACAUCUCAUACUCUUGGAUUAGAGCAUGCUUCCUAGCUCUCUUCACCUCAUUUGUUCUUUCAUGAGUGACUUCCAAGGUGUCCCACAUUUCUUUUGAUAAUUUGCAUUGGGAGACCCUGAAAAACUCAUCAGAAUUUAAAGCAGAGGUUAUAAUAUUUUUUGGCAAUGCAAUCGAAUUUGGCCUUUUUGCUUUCUGCAUCAGUCCAUUGAGAACAUGGCUUCUCAAUGCAAGAUCCAUCUUUUCAAACUUUGGGAUAAAAGGACCAUUUUCAAUUGCAUCCCAAAUUCUUUUGUCAAGUGAUUCCAUAAAUAUUUUCAUUAUCACUUUCCAAAAUUGGUAGUUCAAACCACAAAACAGAGGUGGUCUGUUAAUUGAAGCACCUUCCCCAAAAGGUAGUCUAUCAGCCAUUUUAAAAAAAGUUUUAGGAUCAACUUGAAUAACUUUCAAGAACCAAACUCUUGAUGCCAAUUGUUAGAAUGGAUGACUUUAAACUAGAGGGGGGUGAAUUGUUUAAAGGGGGUUUUCACAAACUUUUAAAACAAGAAUGAAAUUAUCUCAAGAAACAAUUGAUAAGAAAUUCAGUUUGGCAAAACAACAAUAAAAAACAGCAGUACCAGAAAAACAAUCGGUUGUUUCAUAGAAACAAUCGGUUGUUUAUACCACCAAACAACAAACAAAACUGAAUUUAAAGAGUUUAAGGAUAGAGAGAUUGCACACAGAUGUUUAUACUGGUUCACUCCAAAUCCAGAGCUACAUCCAGUCUUCUCAAAAACCCUGAGGAAAUCCACUAAGCAAUCAAACCUUGAUCACUUACACCACAACCAAGAAAGUGACCUUGAACACCUCAAGACACACACUCUUCUUGGCCAACACACCAACACUAAGAUUGCUGAUCUUGAUCCCCUCAAGAACACACAACCAAUCUCAGCAAACACAGAAAUGAAACUUGUUCAGCAGAGUACAAGGAUUACACUUGUUACAAAAGAUAAUCUGAAAUCAAUACAAGCAGAAUCCUAUUCCACACACUUUGAUCAAUCACAAACUCUAAGCAAUCUCAGCUCUUUGAAAAACUCAAAAACUCUUUUCAAAAUCUUGUAAAAGAUUGUUACUCAAAUCUGUUAUUCUGAAUUUAUUCAAAGAUGUUGGUUGUUAUCAAAUCUUAACAAACUCUUAAAUUGCAUUAAAAGAUUGGUCAAAGCAUUUAAUGACUGGAGCGCAAGCAGUUAAAUCAUUAAAAGCUCAGUCAAAGAUAAAAUAAUUUUUCUGUAAUGGUCCCAAAACAAAAAAUCGGUUGUUUCCUCGAAUCAAUCAGUUGUUUUGGUUUUAACAGCAUAACCAUUUGAAAAUCAGUUUUCAAUAUUUUCUCAAAAUAUCUAAGUAUAAACAAUCGGUUGUUUCAACAAAACAAUCGGUUGUUUUAACUUAGUUUGAAAAGCAUUUCACUUUCACAAAGAUUGAGAAUGCCUAUGCUUUAGAUUUAAUCAAAGGGUGGAUUACAACACUCAAACUACCCCAGAACUAAACUAAACCAGCACAACAACAACAAACAAAACCAAGGCUUCAACAUUCUUCAAAGGGUUUGGAUUCUUCAAACCUUGAACACCACAUGGUUCAACAAUAGUUUCUUCCUGAAAUUCCACGUAAGAAUCUCCACUGAAUUUGGGACAAAACGCGACAAAUUUCAGGUCAAACGGAUGAGUAUUCACCCACGAAAAAAAUCAAUCAGUUUCACACACAAACAGACCUUCCUAUCGGCCCUGGCAGUGAUGAAUAAAAAUAUUAUUGCCAAUCUUGAGGGACAAAUCUGGGGCUCAAAUCUCAGCCAAAACUCAGUAGACACAGUGACGAACGUCUGGUAAAAAUUUCAGACCAAAAUACCCAAGGCGUAAGACGUAGUAAGUCCGAGACCGAGAGUGAACAAAAUUGGUUUUCCGAAAACAAAACGUCCUGACUUUUCUCCCCCGUAUCUUCUUCUUGUGAUUUGUUUAUGGACGUGCCUCCUUAUCUUGGUGCAAACAACAUAUGAAAGUACUUGUCUGAAUUUUUUCAGCGCUAUAAAACUUAGGAUAAAAUUUCAGAAAGUAAGGCGAAAUUUCACAAGUUUUUUUAAAGGAUAGCCUUGGUUUGCACAAAAUUUCUUAAAAAUGCUCUUAAAAUAGUUUUUUUCUUGAAAUUCCACAUAAGAAUAUCCACUAUAUUUGGCAAAAAACGCGAAAAAUUUCAGGUCAAACGGAUGAGUAUUCACCCACGAAAAAAAUCAAACAGUUUCACACAAACAAACUUUCAUUUCGGCACUAGUAGUGAUGAAUAAAAAAUUUAUUGCCAAUCUUGUGGGACGAAUCUGGGACUCAAUUCUCAGACAAAACUCAGUAGCCACAGUGACGAACGUUUAGAAAAAAUUCCAGAAUAAAAUACCCAAGGAGUAGGGUGAGUGAGUCCCAGAUAGAGAGUGAACAAAAACUGUUUUCCGAAUACAAAACGUCCUAGCUUUUCUUUCCCAUAUCUUCUUUUUGUGAUUUGUUUAUUGACAUGCUUUCUUACUUGGGUGCAAACAACAUAUGAAAGUACUUGUCUGAAUUUUUUCAGCGCAAUACGGACCCAUAAUAAAAUUUCAGAAAGUAAGGCGAAAUUUCACAAGUUUUGGUAGAGAGAUAGCCUUGGUUUGCACAAAAUUUAUGAAAAAUUCUCUUAAAAUACUUUUUUCCUGAAAUUUCACGUAAGAAUCUCCACUGAAUUUGGGACAAAACGCGACAAAUUUCAGGUCAAAUGGAUGAGUAUUCACCCACAAAAAAACAGUUUCACACAAUAACGGACCUUCCUUUCGGCCCUGACAGUGAUGAAUAAAACAUUUAAUGCCAAUUUCGUGGGACGAAUCUGGGGCUCAAAUCUUAGCCAAAAGACAGUAGACACAGUAACGAACGUCUAGUAAAAAUUUCAGACCAAAAUACCCAAGGCGUAAGACGUAGUAAGUCCGAGACCGAGAGUGAACAAAAUUGGUUUUCCGAAAACAAAACGUCCUGACUUUUCUCCCCCGUAUCUUCUUCUUGUGAUUUGUUUAUGGACGUGCCUCCUUAUCUUGGUCCAAACAACAUAUGAAAGUACUUGUCUGAAUUUUUCAGCGCGAUACAGACUUAGAAUAAAAUUUCAGAAAGUAGGGCGAAAUCUCACAAGUUUUGGUAAAGGAUAGCCUUGGUUUGCACAAAUUUUUUGAAAAAUGCUCUCAAAAUAGUUAUUUCCUGAAAUUCCAGUGAAGAAUCUUCACUGAAUUUGGGAAAAAACGCGAAAAAUUUCAGGUCAAACGGAUGAGGAUUCACCAACGAAAAAAAUCAAAUAGUUUCACACACAAACAAACCUUCAUUUCGGCCCUGGCAGUGAUGAAUAAAAAAUUUAUUGCCAAUCUUGUGGGACGAAUCUGGGGCUCAAUUCUCAGCCAAAACUCAGUAGACACAGUGACGAACGUAUAGAAAAAAAUUCCAGACCAAAAUACUCUAGGAGUAGGGCGUAGUAAGUCCCAGACAGAGAGUGAACAAAAACUAUUUUCCGAAAACACAACGUCCUAGCUUUUCUCCCCCGUAUAUUCAUUUUGUGAUUUGUUUAUGGACAUGCUUUCUUACCUUGGUGCAAAUAUGAAAGUACUUGUCUGAAUUUUUUCAACGCAAUACGAACCCAUAAUAAAAUUUCAAAAAGUAGGGCGAAAUUUCACAAGUUUUGGUAGAUGAUAUCCCUGGUUUGCACAAAAGUUAUGAAAAAUUCUCUUGAAAUAAUUUUUUCCUGAAAUUCCACGUUAUAAUCUCCACUGAAUUUGGGACAGAACGCGACCAAAUUUCAGGUCAAACGAUGAUUAUUCACCCACGAAAAAAAUCAAACAGUUUGACACACAAACGGACCUUCCUUUCGGCCCUGGCAGUGAUGAAUAAAAAAUUUAUUGUCAAUCUUGUGGGAGGAAUGUGGGGCUCAAAUUUCAGCCAAAACUUAGUAGGCACAGUGACGAACGUCUGGUAAGAAUUUCUUUCCAAAAUACCCAAGGUGUAAGGCGUAGCAAGUCCCAGCCAGAGAGUAAAAAAAUUCGUUUUCCGAAAAGAAAACGUCCUGGCUUUUCUCCCCCGUAUCUUCUUUUUGUGAUUUGUUUAUGGACGUGCCUCAUUACCUGGGUGCAAACAACAUAUGAAAGUACUUGUCUGAGUUUUUUCAGCGCAAUACGGACCCAGAAUAAAAUUUCAUAAAGUACGGCGAAAUUUUACAAGUUUUGGUAGAGCAUAAGCUAGUUUGCACAACAUUUUUGAAAAAUUCUUCCGAAAUAGUUUUUUCCUGAAAUUCCACGUAAGAAUCUCCACUGAAUUUAGGACUUAGCGCGACAAAUUUCAGGUCAAACGGAUGAGCAUUCACCCACAAAAAACUCAAACAGUUUCACACACAAACAAACGAUCCUUCCUUUCGGCCGUGACAGUGAUGAAUAAAAAAUUUAUUGCUAAUUUUGUGGGACGAAUCUGGGGCUUAAAUCUAAGCCAAAACUCAUUAGAGAUAGUGAUGAACAUCUGGUAAAAAUUUCAUACCAAAAUACCCAAGGAGUAAGGCGUAGCGAGUCCCAUACUGAGAGUGAACAAAACUGGUUUACCGAAAAGAAAACAUCCUGACUUUUCUCCCGCGUAUCUUCUUUUUGUGAUUUGUUUAUGGACUUGCCUCCUUACACGGGUGCAAAUAACAUAUGAAAGUACUUGUCUGAAUUUUUUCAGUGCAGUACAGACCCAAAAUAAAAUUUCAGAAAGUGGGGCGAAAUUUCACAAGUUUUGGUAGAGGAUAGCCUUGGUUUGCAAAAAAUUUCUGAAAUAUUCUCCCGAAAUAGUUUUUUCUUGAAAUUUGAUGUAAGAAUCUCCACUGAAUUUGGGACAAAAAGCGAAAAAUUUCAGGCCAAACAGUUUCACACACAAACGAACCUUCCUUUCGGCUAUGGCAGUGAUGAAUCUGGGACUCAAAUGUCAGCCAAACCUCAGCAGACAAAAUGACGGACGUCUGAAAAAAAUUGCAGAUAAAAGUACCUAAGGAGUAAGGCGUAGUAAGUCCCAGACGGAGAGUGAACAAAACGUGUUUUCCGAAAAGAAAACGUCCUAGCUUUUCUCUCCAGUAUCUUCUUUUUGUGAUUUGUUUAUGGACGUGCCUCUUUACUUGGGUGGAAACAACAUAUGAAAGUACUUGUCUGAGUUUUUUCAGCGCAAUACGGAUCCAGAAUAAAAUUUCAUAAAGUACGGCGAAAUUUUACAAGUUUUGGUAGAGGAUAAGCUAGUUUGCACAAAAUUUUUGAAAAAUUCUCCCGAAAUAGUUUUUUCCUGAAAUUCCACGUAAGAAUCUCCACUGAAAUUGUGACAAAACACGACAAAUUUCAGGUCAAACAGAUGAGUAUUCCCCCACAAAAAAAUCAAACAGUUUCACACACAAACGAACCUUCCUUUCGGCUCCGACAGUGAUGAAUAAGUAAUUUAUUGCCAAUCAUGUGGGACGAAUCUGGAGCUCAAUUCUAAGCCAAAACUCAGUAGACACAAUGACGAACGUCUGGUAAAAAUUUCAAACCAAUAUACUGAAGGCAUAAGGUGUAGUAAGUCCGAGACCGAGAGUGAACAAAAGUGGUUUUCCGAAAACAAAACGUCCUGGCAUUUCUCCCCCAUAUCUUCUUUUAGUGAUUUGUUUAUGGUCGUGCCUCCUUACAUGGGUGCAAACAACAUAUGAAAGUACUUAUGUGAAUUUUUUCAGCGCAAUACGAACCCAAAAUAAAAUUUCAAAAAGUACGGCGAAAUUUCACAAGUUUUGGUACAAGAUAGCCUUCGUUUGCACAAAAUUUAUGAAAACUUAUCGCGAAAUAAUUUUUUCCUGAAAUUCCACGUAAGAAUCUCCACUGAAUUUAGGAUUUAACGCGACAAAUUUCAGGUCCAACGGAUGAGCAUUCACCCACAAAAAACUCAAACAGUUUCACACACAAACGAACCUUCCUUUCGGCGCCAAUAGUGAUGAAUACAAAUUUUAUUGCGAAUCUUGUCGUAAGAAUCUGGGACUCAAAUCUCAGCCAAAACUCAGUAGACACAGUGACAAACGCCUGGUAAAAAUUUCAGACCAAAAUACCUAAGGAGUAAGGCGUAGUAAGUCCCAGACCGAGAGUGAACAAAACUGGUUUUCCGAAAACAAAACGUCCUGGUUUUCUCCCCCGUAUCUUCUUGUAAUUGUUUUAUGGACAUGGCUCCUUACCUAGCUGCAAACAACAUAUGAAAGUAGUUGUCUGAAUUUUUCAGCGCAAUACGGACCCAGAAUAAAAUUUCAGAAAGUAGGACGAAAUUUCACAAGUUUUGGUAGAGGAUAGCCUUGGUUUCCACAAAAUUUCUGAAAAAUUAUCCCGAAAUAGUUUUUUCCUGAAAUUCCACGUAAGAAUUUCAAUUAAAUUUGGGACAAAACGCGACAAAUUUCAGGUCAACGGAUGAGUAUUCACCUACGAAAAAAAUUUAACAGUUUGUUCGAACAUUCCUUUCGACCAUAGCAGUUUUUUAAUAAAAAAUUAAUUCCCAAUCUUGUGGGACGAAUCUUGGGCUCAAAUCUUAGCCAAAACUCAUUAGACACAGUGACGAACGUCUGGUAAAAAUUUCAUACCAAAAUACCCAAGGAGUAAGGCGUAGUCAGUCCCAAACCGAGAGUGAACAAAAUUGGUUUUCCGAAUACAAGAUUUCCUGGCUUUUCUCCCCCGUAUCUUCUUUUUGUGAUUUGUUUAUUGACGUGCUUCCUUACCUGGAUGCAAACAACAUAUGAAAGUACUUGUCUGAAUUUUUUCAGCGCAAUACAGACCCAGAAUAAAUUAUCAAAAAGUAGGGCGAAAUUUCAAGAGUUUUGGUAGUGGAUAGCUUUGGUUUGCACAAAAUUUCUGAAAAAUUCUUCGAAAAUAGUUUUUUCAUGAAAUUCCAAGUAAGAAUCUCCACUGAAUUUGGGACAAAACGCGACAAAUUUCAGGUCAAACGGAUGAGUAUUCACCCACGAAAUAAAUCAAACAGUUUCACACACAAACAAACCUUCCUUUUAUCCAUGGCAGGGAUGAAUAAAAAAUUUAUUUUCAAUCUUGUGGGACGAAUCUGGGGCUCAAAUCUCAAGAAAAACAUAGCAGACACGGUGACAAACGUCUGGUCACUUGUUUGAAUUUUUUCAGCGCAAGACGAACCCAAAAUAAAAUUUCAGAAAGUAUGGCCAAAUUUCACAAGUUUUGGUAGAGGAUAACCUUGGUUUGCACAAAAUUUAUGAAAAAUUCUCCCGAAAUAGUUUUUUCCUGAAAUUUCACGUAAGAAUCUCUACUAAAUUUGGGCCAAAACGCGACAAAUAUCAGGUCAAACGGAUGAGUAUUCAACCAUAAAAAAAAUCAAACAGUUUCACACACAAACGAACCUUCCUUUCGGCCCUGGUAGUGAUGAAUUAAACAUUUAUUGCCAAUCUUGUGGGUCAAAUUUGGGGCUCGAGUCUCAGCCAAAACUCAGUAGACACAGUGAUAAAUGUCUGGUCACUUGUCUGGGUUUUUUCAGCGUAAUACGGACCCAGAAUAAAAUUUUAGAAAGUAGGGCCAAAUUUCACAAGUUUUGGUAGAGGAUAGCAUUGGUUUGCACAAAUUUUCUGAAAAAUUCUCCCGAAAUUGUUUUUCCCUCAAAUUCCAUGUAAGAAUCUUCAUUGAAUUUGGAACAAAACGCGACAAAUUUCAGGUCAAACGGAGGAGUAUUCACACAUGAAAAAAACAAAACAGUUUCACUCACAAACGAACCUUCCUUUCGGUCGUAGCAGUGAUGAAUAGAUAAUUUAUUGCCAAUAUUGUGGGACGAAUCUAGAGCUCAAAUCUCAUCCAAAACUCAAUAGAGAAAGUGGCGAAGUUUUGGUAAAAAUUUCAUACCAAAAUACCGAAGAAGUAAGGCGUAGUAAGUUCCAUACCGAGAGUGAACAAAACUGGUCUUCCAAAAACAGAACGUCCUGAAUUUUCUCCACCGUAUAUUCUUUUUGUGAUUUCUUUAUGGACGUGCCUCCUUCCCUGGGUGCAAAAAACAUAUGAAAGUACUUGUCUGAAUUUUUUAAGCGCAAUACAGACUCAGAAUAAAAUUUCAGAAAGUAGGGCGAAAUUUCACAAGUUUUGGUAAAGGAGCCUUGGUGUGCACAAAGUUUCUGAAAAAUUCACCCGAAAUAGUUUUUCUCUGAAAUUCCACGUACGAAUCUCCACUGAAUUUGGGACUUAACGCGAAAAAAUUUCAGUUCAAACGGAUGAGUAUUCACCCACGAAAAAUAUCAAACAGUUUCACACACAAACGAACUUUCCUUUUGGCCCUGGCAGUGAUGAAUAAAAAAUUUAUUGCCAAUCUUGUGGCACGAAUCUGGGGCUCAAAUAUCAGCCAAAACACAUUAGACACAGUGACGAACGUCUGGUAAAAAUUUUAGACGAAAAUACCCAAGGACUAAAGUGUAGUAAGUCCUAGACCGAGAGUGAACAAAACUGGUUUUCCAAAAAUAAAACGUCCUGGUAUUUAUCCCCCGUAUCUUCUUUUUGUGAUUUGUUUAUGGACGUUCCUCCUUACCUGGGGGCAAAAAACAUAUGAAAGCAUUUGUCUUAAUUUUUUCAGAGCAAUACGGACGAAGAAUAAAAUUUCAGAAAGUAUGCCGAAAUUUCACAUGAUUUGGUAGAGGAUACACUUGGUUUCGACAAAAUUUCUGAAAAAUUCUCCCAAAAUAUUUUUUCCUGAAAUUCCACGUAAAAAUAUCCACUGAAUUUGGGACAAAACGCGAAAAAUUUUAGGUCAAACGGAUGAGUAUUCACGUACGAAAAAAAUCAAAUAGUUUCACACACAAACAAACCUUCCUUUCGACCCUGGCAGUGAUGAAUAAAAAAUUUAUUACGAAUCUUGUGGGACGAAUCUGGGGCUCAAAUGUCAACCAAAACUUAGUAGACACAGUGACGAACGUCUGGUAAAAAUUUUAGACCAAAAUACCCAAGGAGUAAGGCAUAGUAAGUCCGAGACCGAAACUGAACAAAACUGGUUUUCCGGAAACAAAACGUCUAGGAUUUUCUUCCCAGUAUCUUCUUUUUUGUGUUUUUGUUUAUGGACGUACCUCCUUACCUGGGUACAAACAACAUAUUUGAAAGCACUUGUCUGAAUUUUUUCAGCGCAAUACGGACCCAGAAUAAAAUUACAGAAUGUACGGAGAAAAUUCACAAGUUUUGGUAGAGGAUAGCCUUGGUUUGCACAAAAUUUCGGAAAAAUUCUCCCGAAAUAGUUUUUUCCUGAAAUUCCAUGUAAGAAGCUCCAUUGAAUUUGGGACAAAACGCGACAAAUUUUAGCUCAAACAGAUGAGUAUUCACCCAAGAAAAAAAUCAAAUAGUUUCACACACAAACAAACCUUCCUUUCGACCCUAGCAGUGAUGAAUAAAAAAUUUAUUGUGAAUCUUGUGGGACGAAUUUGGGGCUCAAAUGUCAACCAAAACUUAGUAGACACAGUGACGAACAUCUGGUAAAAAUUUCAGACAAAAAUACCUAAGGAGUAAGGCGUAGUAAGUCCCAGACCGAGAGUGAACACAACUGGUUUUCCGAAACAAAACGUCAUGGCUUUUCUCCUACGUAUCUUCUUUAUGUUAUUUGUUUAUGGACGUCGCUCCUUAUCUGGGUGAAAACAACAUAUGAAGGUAUAUGUCUGAAUUUUUUCAACGCAAUACGGACUCAGAAUAAAACUUCAGAAAGUAGGGGAAUAUUCCACAAGUUUUGGUAGAGGAUUGCCUUGGUUUGCUCAAAAUUUCUGAAUUUGACGCAAAACGCGAUAAAUUUCAGGUCAAACGGAUGAGUAUUCACCCAUGAAAAAAAUCAAACAGUUUCGCACACAAACAAACCUUCGUUUUAGCUCACAAAAAAAAAUCAAACAGUUUCACACAGAAAGGAACCUUCGUUUCGGCCUUGGCUUUGAUGAAUAAAAAAUAUAUUGCCAAUCUUGAGGGACGAAUCUGGGGCUCAAAUCUCAACUAAAACUCAAUAGACACAGUGACGAACGUCUGCUAAAUAUUUCACACCAAAAUACCCAAGGACUAAGGCGUAAUAAGUCCCAGACCGCGAGUGAACAAAACUGGUUUUCCGAAAACAAAACGUCCUGGCUUUUGUUCCCCGUAUCUUCUUUUUCUGAUUUUUUUAUUGCGUGUCUCCUUACCUGGGUGCAAAAAACAUAUAAAAGUACUUGUAUGAAUUUUUUCAGUGCAAUACGGACCCAGAAUAAAAUUUCAGAAAGUAGGGCGAAAUUUCACAAGUUUUGAUAAAGGAUAUAGCUUUGGUUUGAACAAAAUUUCUUAAAAAUUCUCUCGAAAUAGUUUUUUCCUACAAUUUCACGUAAGAAUGUACACUGAAUUUGGGACAAGACGCGACAAAUUUCAGUUCAAACGGAUGAGUAUUCACCCACCAAAAAAAUCAAACAGUUUCACACUGAAACGAACUUUAAUUUCGGCCUUGGCUGUGAUGAAUAAAAAAUUUAUUGCCAAUCUUGUGGGACGAAUCUGGGGCUCAAAUCUCAUCCAAAACUCAGUAGACACAGUCACGAACGUCUGGUAAAAAAUUCAGACCAAAAUACGCAAGGAGAAAGGCGUAGUAAGUCCUAGACCGAGAGUGAACAAAACUGGUUUACCGAAAACAAAACGUCCUGGCUUUUCUCCCUCGUAUCUUCUUUUUGUGAUUUGUUUAUGGACGUGCCUCCUUACCUGGGUGCAACCAACAUAUGAAAGUACUUGUUUGAACUUUUUCAGUGCAAUAGGACCCAGAAUAAAAUUUCAGAAAGUAGGGCGAAAUUUCACAAGUUUUGAUAUAGGAUAGCCUUGGUUUGAACAAUAUUUCUGAAAAAUUCUCCCGAAAUAGUUUUUUCCUAAAAUUCCAAGUAGGAAUCUCCACUGAAUUUGGGACAAAACACACAGAUUUCAGUUCAAUCGGAUGAGUAUUCACCAACGAAAAAUAUCAAAGAGUUUCACACACAAACGAACUUUCCUUUUGGCCCUGGUAGUCAUGAAUAAAAAAUUUAUUGCCAAUCUUGAGGCACGAAUCUGGGUCUCAAAUAUCAGAAAUCACAGUAGACACAGUGACGAACGUCUGGUAAAAAUUCCAUACGAAAAUACCCUAGGAGUAAGGCGUACUAAGAACCAGACCGAGAGUGAACAAAACUGGUUUUCCGAAGACAAAACUUGAUGGAUUUUUUCCCCAUAUCUUCUUUUUGUGAUUUUUUUAUAAUCGUGCCUCCUUACCUAAGUCCAAACAACAUAUGAAAGUACAUGUCCAAAUUUUUUCAGCAUAAUAUAGACCCAGAAAAAAAUUUCAUAAAUUAGGGCAAAAUUUGGAAAGUUAUGUGAGAGGACAACUUUGGUUUGCACAAAAUUAAUGAAAAAUUCUCCCAAAAUAUUUUUUCCUGAAAUUCUAGGUAAAAAAUCUCGACUGAAUUUGGGACAAAACGCCACAAAUUUCAGGUCAAUUGGAUGAGUAUUCACGCAAGAAAAAAAUCAAACAAUGUCACACACAAAUCGACCUUCCUUUCGGCCCUAACAGUGAUGAAUUAAAAAUUUAUUGCCAAUCUUGUGGGACGAAUCUGGGGCUCAAAUCUUAGCCAAAAGUCAGUAGAUACAGUGACAAACGUCUGGUAAAUAUUUCAUACCAAAAUACAAAAGGAGUAAGGCGCAGUAAGUCCCAGACUCAGAGUGAACAAAAUUGGUUUUCCGAAAACAAAACGUCCUGGCUUUUGUCCCCCGUAUCUUCUUUUUGUGAUUUGUUUAUGGAAGAUCCUCCUUAGAAGGGUGCAAACAACAUAUGAAAGUACUUUUCUAGAUUUUUUCAGCGUAAUACGGACCCAGGAUAAAAUUUCAGAAAGUAGGGCGAAAUUUCACAAGUUUUGGUAGAGGGUGGAAGCCUUGGUUUUACACAAAUUUUCUGAAAAAUUCUCCCGAAAUAGUUUCUUCCUGAAAUACCACGUCAGAAUCUCCACUGAAUUUGGGACAAAACGCGACAAAUUUCAGGUCAAACGGAUGAGUAUUCUCUCACGAAAAAAAUCAAUCAAUUUCACACACAAACGAACCUUCCUUUCGGCCCUGGCAGUGAUGAAUAAAAAAUUUAUUGCCAAUCUUGUGGACUAAUCUGGCCGCAAAUCUCAGGCAAAACUCAGUAGACACAGUGAUGAACAUCUGGUAAAAAUUUAAGAGCAAAAUACCUAAGGAGUAAGGCGUAGUAAGUCGCAGACAGAGAGUGAACAACACUGGUUUUCCGAAAACAAAACGUCCGUGCUUUUCUCCUCCGUAUCUUCUUUUUGUGAUUUGUUUAUGGACGUGCCUCCUUACCUGGGUGCAAACACAAUAUGAAAGUACUUGUCUGAAUUUUUUCAGCGCAAUACAAACCCAUAAUAAAAUUUCAGAAAGUAGGGCGAAAUUUCACAAGUUUUGGUAGAGGGUAGCCUUGGUUAGCACAAAAUUUCUGAAAAAUUCUCCCCAAAUAGUUUUUUCCUGAAAUACCACGUAAGAAUCUCCACUGAAUUUGGGAAAAAACGUGACAACUUUCAGGUUAAACGGAUGAAUAUUCACCGACCAAACAAAUCAAACAGUUUAACACACAAAAGAACCUUCCUUUCGGCCUUGGCAGUGAUGAAUAAAAAAUUUAUUGACAAUCUUGUCGGACAAAUCUGGGCCUAGAAUCUUAGCUAAAACUCAAUUGACACAGUGACGAAUGUCAGGUAAAAAUUUCAUACCAAAAUACCCAAGGAGUAAGGCGUAGUAAGUCCCAGACCGGGAGUGAACAAAACUGGUUUAUCGAAAACAAAACGUCCUGGCUUUUCUGCCCCGUAUCUUAUUUUUGUGAUUUGUUUAUGGAGGUGCCUCCUUACCUGGGUGCAAACAACAUAUGAAAGUACUUGUCUAAAAUUUUUCAACGCCAUACGAACCCAGAAUAAAAUUUCAGAAAGUAGUGCGAAAUUUCACAAGUUUUGGUAGAGGAUAUAGCCUUGGUUUCCACAAAAUUUCUGAAAAAUUCUCCCGAAAUAGUUUUUUCCUGAAAUUCCACGUAAGAAUCUUUACUGAAUUUGGGACAAAACGCGACAAAUUUAUGGUCAAACGGAUGAGGAUUCACCCACGAAAAAAAUCAAACAGUUUCAUUGACAAACAAAUUAUCCUUUUGGCCCUAGCAGUGAUGAAUUAAAAAUUUAUUGUGAAUCUUGUGGGACGAAUCUGGGGAUCGAAACUCAGCCAAAACUCAGUAGAGACAGUGACGAACGUCUGCGAAAAAUUUCAGACCAAAAUACCCAAGGAGUAAGGGGUAGUAAGUCCCAAACUGAGAGUGAACAAAACUAGUUUUUCGAAAACAAAACGUCCUGGAUUUUCUCCCCCGUAUCUUCUUUAUGUGAUUUGUCUACGAAAAUACUUGUCUGAAUUUUUCCAGCGCAAUAGGACCCAUAAUAAAAUUCCAGAAAGUAAGGCGAAAUUUCACAAGUUUUGGUAGAGGAUAGCCUUGGUUUGCACAAAAUUUCUCCCGAAAUAAUUUUUUCCUACAAUUCCACGUAGGAAUCUCCAUUGAAUUUGGGACAAAACGCGACAAAUUUCAGGUCAAACGGAUGAGUAUUCACCCACGAAAAAAUUCAAAUAGUUUCACACACAAACGAACCUUCCUUUCGGCCCUGGCAGUGAUGAAUAAAAAAUUUAAUGCCAAUCUUGUGGGACGAAUCUGGGUAUCAAAUUUCAGCCAAAAUUCAGUAGACACAAUGACGAACGUCUGGUAAAAAUUUCACACUAAAAUACCCCAGGACUAAGGCGUAAUAAGUCCCAGACCGAGAGUGAAAAAAACUGGUUUUCCCAAAACAAAACGUCUUGGCUUUUGUCCCCCGUAUCAUAUUUUUAUGAUUUGUUUAUGGACGUGCCUCCUUACCUGGCUGCAAACUAUAUAUGAAAGUACUUGUCUAAAUUUUUUCAGCGCAAUAGAACACAAAAUAAAAUUUCAGAAAGUAGCGCGAAAUUUCACAAGUUUUGGUACAGGAUAGCCUUGGUUUGCAAAAAAUUUCUGAAAAAUUCUCCCGAAAUAGUUUUUUCCUGAAAUUCCACGUAAGAAUCUCCACCGAAUUUGGGAAAAAACGCGAAAAAUUUUAGGUCAAGCGGAUGAGUAUUUACCCAUUAAAAAAAUCAAACAGUUUCACACACAAAUGAACCUUCCUUUCGGUCCUGGUAGUGAUGAAUAAAAAAUUUAUUGCAAAUCUUGUGGGACGAAUCUAGGGCUCAAAUCUUAACCAAAACUCAGUAGACACAGUGACAAACGUCUGGUAAAAAUUGCACACCAAAAUACCCAAGGACUAAGGCGUAAUAAGUCCCAGACCGAGAGUGAACAAAACUGGUUUUCCGAAAACAAAACUUCCUAGCUUUUGUCCCCCGUAUCUUCUUUUUCUGAUUUGUUUAUUGACGUGCCUCCUUACCUGGGUGCAAAAAACAUAUAAAAGUACUUGUGUAAAUUUUUUCAGCGUAAUAGGAUCCAGAAUAAAAUUUCAAAAAGUAGGGCGAAAUUUCACAAGUUUUGGUAGAGGAUAGCCUUGGUUUUAAGAAAAUUUCUGAAAAAUUCUCCCGAAAUAGUUUUUUCCUGAAAUUCCACGUAAGAAUUUCCAAAGAAUUUGGGACAAAACGCGACAAAUUUUAGGUCAAGCGGAUGAGUAUUCACACACGAAAAAAAUCAAACAAUUUCACACAAAACGAACCUUCGUUUCGGCCCUGGCUGUGAUGAAUAAAAAAUUUACUGAGAAUCUUGUGGGAAGAAUCUGGGGCUCAAAUCUUAGCCAAAACUCAAUAGACACAAUGACGAAGGUCUGGUAAAAAUUUCAGACCAAAAUACUCAAGGAGUAAGGCGUAGUAAGUCCCAGACCGAGAGUGAACAAAACUGGUUUUCCGAAAACAAAACAUCCUGGCUUUUCUCCCCUGUAUCUUCUUUUUGUGAUUUGUUUAUGGACGUGCCUCCUUACCUGGGUUCAAACAACAUAUGAAAGUACUUGUCUGAACUUUUUCAGCGCAAUAGGACCCAUAAUAAAAUUUCAGAAAGUAGGGCGAAAUUUCACAAGUUUUGGUAGAGGUUAGCCUUGGUUUGCACAAAAUUUCUAAAAAAAUUGCCCGAAAUAGUUUUUUCCUUAAAUUCCACGUAAGGAUCUCCACUGAAUUUGGGAGAAAACACACAAAUUUCAGGUCAAACAGAUGAGUAUUCAUCCACCAAAAAAAUCAAACAGUUUCACAGAGAAACGAACCUUUGUUUCGGCCUUGGCUGUGACGAAUAAAAAAUUUAUUGCCAAUCUUGUGGGACGAACCUGGGGCCCAAAUAUCAGCCAAAACUUAGUAGACAUAGUGGCGAACGUUUGGUAAAAAUUUCAGACCAAAAUACUCAAGAAGUAAGGCGUAGUAAGUCCCAGACCGAGAGUGCACAAAACUGGUUUUCCGAAAACAUACGUCCUGGCUUUUCUCCCCCGUAUCUUCUUUUUGUGAUUUGUUUAUGGACGUCCCUCCUUACCUUGGUGCAAACAACAUAUGAAAGUACUUGUCUGAACUUUUUCUGCACAAUAGGACCCAUAAUAAAAUUGCAGAAAGUUGGGCGAGGAUAGCCUUGGUUUGCACAAAAUUUCUGAAAAAAUCUCCCGAAAUAGUUUUUCCUAAAAUUCCACGUAAAAAUCUCCAAAGAAUUUGGGACAAAACGCGACAAAUUUCAGAUGAAACGUAUGAGUAUUCACCCACCAAAAAAAUCAUACAGUUUCACACUGAAACAAACUUUCGUUUCGACCUUGGCUGUGAUGAAUAAAAAAUUUAUUGCCAAUCUUGUGGGACAAAUUUGGGGCUCAAAUCUCAGGCAAAAAACUCAGUAGACACAGUGACGAACGUCUAGUAAAAAUUUCAUACCAAAACACCCAAGGAGUAAGGCGUAGUAUGUCCCAGACCAAGAGUGAACAAAACUGGUUUUCUGAAAACAAAACGUCCUAGCUUUUCUCCUCCCGCAUCUUCUUUUUGUGAUUUUUUUAUGGAUGUGCCUCCUUACCUGGGUGCUAUCAACUUAUGAAACUACUUGUCUGAAUUUUAUAACGCGCAAUAUGGACCCAGAAUAAAAUUCCAGAAAGUAGUGCGAAAUUUGACAAGGUUUGGUAGAGCUCGCCUUGGUUUGCACAAAAUUUCUGAAAAAUUCUCCCGAAAUAGUUUUUUCCUAAAAUUUCACGUAAGAAUCUCCACUAAAUUUGGGAGAAGACGUGACAAUUUUCAGGUCAAACAGAUGGGUAUGAACCCACCAAAAAAAAAUCAAACAGUUUCGCACUGAAACGAACUUUCGUUUCUGCCUUGGCUGUGAUGAAUAAAAAAUUUGUUAACAAUCUUGUGGGACGAAUCUGGGACUCAAAUCUCAUCCAAAACUCAGUAGACCCAGUGAUGAAUGUUUGGUAAAUAUUUUGGAAAAAAAUACCCAAGGAGUAAGGUGUAAUAAGUCCCAGACCGAGAGUGAACAAAACUGGUUCUUCGAAAACAAAACGUCCUGGCUUUUCUCCCCCGUUUUUUCUUUAGGUGAUUUGUUUAUUGACGUGAAUCCUUACCUGGGUGCAAAAAACAUAUAAAAGUACGUGUGUGAAUUUUUUCAGCGCAAUAGGACCCAGAAUUAAAUUGCAGAAAGAAUGGCGAAAUUUCACAAGUUUUGGUAGAGAAUAGCCUCAGUUUGCAGAAAAUUUCUGAAAAAUUCCUCCGAAAUAGUUUUUUCCUGAAAUUCCACGUAACAAUCUCCACUGAAUCUGGGACAAAAUGCGACAAAUUUCAGAUCAAACGGAUGAGUAUUCACCCACGAAAAAUAUCAAACAGUUUCACACACAAACGAACCUUCGUUUCGGCUCUGGCUGUGAUGAAUAAAAAAUUUAUUGCCAAUCUCUUGGAAGGAAUCUGGGGCUCAAAUCUCAUCCAAAACUCAAUAGACACAGUGACGAAUGUCUGGUAAAAAAAUUCAGACAAAAAUACCUAAGGACUAAGGCGUAGUAAGUCCCAGACCGAGAGUGAACAAAACUGGUUUUCCGAAAACAAAACGCCUACCUUUUCUCCCCCGUAUCUUCUUUUUGUUAUUUGUUUAUGGACGGGACUCCUUACCUGGGUGCAAACAAUAUAUGAAAGUACUUGUCUGAACUUUUUCAGCGCAAUAGGACCCAGAAUAAAAUUUCAGAAAGUAGGGCGAAAUUUCACAACUUUUGUAGAGGAUAGCCAGGGUUUGCACAAAAUUUCUAAAAAUUUUCCCGAAAUAGUUUUUUCCUAAAAUUCCACGUAAGAAUCUCCACUGAUUUUUGGACAAAACGCGAUAAAUUUGAGGUCAAACGGAUGAGUAUUCGCCCACACAAAAAAUCAAACAGUUUCACAUUCAAACGAACCUUCGUUUCGGCCUUGGCUGUGAUGAAUAAAAAAUUUAUUGCCAAUCUUGUGAGACGAAUCUGGGGCUCAAAUCUCAGCCAAAACUCAGUAAACACAGUGACGAACGUCUGGUAAAAAUUUCAGACCAAAAUACGCAAGGAGUCAGGCGUAGUAAGUCCCAAACCAAGAGUGAACAAAACGGGUUUUUUGAAAACAGAACAUCUUGGCUCUUCUCCCCCGUAUCUUCUUUUUGUGAUUUUUUUAUGGACGUGCCUCCUUACCUGGGUGCAAAAUUUUUUUAUCGCUAUAGGAAGCAGAAUAAAAUUUCAGAAAGUAGGGCGAAAUUUCACAAGUUUUGGUAGAGGAUAACCUUGGUUUGCACAAAAUUUCUGAAAAAUUCUACCGAAAUAGUUUUUUCCUAAAAUUCCACGUAGGAAUCUCCACUGAAUUUGGAACAAAAAGCAACAAAUUUCAGGUCAAACGGAUGAGUAUUCACCUACGAAAAAUAUCAAAAAUUUUCACAAAAACACAAACCUUCCUUUCGGCCCUAGUAAUGAUGAAUAAAAAAUGUAUUGCUAAUCUUAUGGGACGAAUCUGGGGCUCGAAUCUCAGUCAAAACUCAGUACACACAGUAACGAACCUCUGGUAAAAGUUUCAGACCAAAAUACCCAAGGCGUAAUGCGUAGUAAGUCCAAAACCAAGAGUGAUCAAAACUGGUUUUCCGAAAACAAAAGGUCCUGGCUUUUCUCCCCCGUAUCAUUUUUUGUAAUUUAUUUAUGGACGUGCCUCCUUACUUUGGUGCAAACAACAUAUGAAAGUACUUGUGUGAAAUUUUUCAGCACAAUAUGGACCCAUAAUAAAAUUUCAGAAAGUAGGGCAAAAUUUCACAAGUUUUGGUAGAGGAUAGCCCUGGUUUGCACAAAAUUUAUGAAAAACUAUCCCGAAAUAGUUUCUUUCUGAAAUUCCACAUAAGAGUCUCCACUGAAUUUGGGACAAAAGUCCACAAAUUUCAGGUCAAACGGAUGAGUAUACACCCACGACAAAAAUCAAACAUUUUCACACAAAAACAAAUUAUCCAUUCGACCCUGGCAGUGAUGAAUAAAAAAUUUAUUGGCAAUAUUGUAGGACGAAUCUAGCGCUUAAAUAUCAGCCAAAACUCAGUAGACACAGUGACGAACGUCUAGUAAAAAUUUCAGACCAAAAUACCAAAUGAGUAAGGCGUAGUAAGUCCAGACCAAGAGUGAACAAUACUUGUUUUCCGAAAACAAAACGUCCUGGCUUUUCUCCCCCGUAUCUUGUUUUUGUGAUUUGUUUAUGGACGUGCCUCCUUACCUAGAUGCAAAAAAAAAAAAAUCAAAGUACUUGUCUGAACUUUUUCAGCGCAAUACGGACUUAGAAUAAAAUUUCAGAAAGAAGGACGAAAUUUCACAAGUUUUGGUAGAGGAUAGCCUCGGUUUGCACAAAAUUUCUGAAAAAUUCUCCCGAAAUAGUUUUUUCCUGAAAUUCCACGUAAGAAUCUCCACUGAAUUUGGGACAAAACAUGACAAAUUUCAAGUCAAACAGAUGAGUAUUCACCCACGAAAAAAAUCAAAGAUUUUCACACACAAACGAACCUUCCUGUCGGCCCUGGCAGUGAUGAAUAAAAACUUCAUUGCCAAUUUUGUGGGACAAAUCUGGGGCUCAAAUCUCAGCCAAAACUCAUUAGACACAGUGACGAACGUUAGGUAAAAAUUUCAGACCAAAAUACCCAAGGAAUAAGGCAUAGGAAGUCCCAGACCGAGAGUGAAAAAAACUAGUAUUUCGAAGAAAAAAAAACGUCUUCGCUUUUCUCCCCUGUAUCUUCUUUUUGUGAUUUGUUUAUUGACAUCCCUCCUUAACUGGGUGCAAAAAAUAUAUGAAAGUACUUGUCUGAAUUUUUUUAGCUCAAUACGUACCCAGAAUAAAAGUUGAGAAAGUAGGGCAAAAUUGCAAGAGUUUUGGUAGAGGAUAGCCUUGGUUUGCACAAAAUUUCUGAAAAAAAUCUUACGAAAUAGUUUCUUCCUGAAAUUCCACGUAAGUAUCUCAUCUGAAUUUGGGACAAAACGCGACAAAUUUCAAGUCAAACGGAUGAGUAUUCACCCACGAAAAAAAUCAAACAGUUUCAUACACAAACGAACCUUCCUUUCGGCCUUGGCAGUGAUGAAUGAAAAAUUUAUUUUCAAUCUUGUGGGACGAAUCUGGAGCUCAAAUAUCAGCCAAAACUCAGUAGACACAGUGACGAACGUCAGGUAAAAAUUUCAGAACAAAAUACCCAAGGAAUAAGGCAUAAGAAAUCCCAGACCGAGAGUGAACAAAACUUGUUUUCUGAAAAUAAAACGUCCUGGCUUUUCUCCCCCGUAUCUUGUUUUUGUGAUUUGCUUAUGGACGUGCCUCCUUACCUGGAUGCAAACAAAAUAUGAAAGUACUUGUCUGAAUUUUUUCAGCGCAAUACAGACCAAGAAUAAAAUUUCAUAAAGUAGGGCGACAUUUCACAAGUUUUGGUAGAGGAUAGCCUUGGUUUGCACAAAAUUUCUGAAAAAUUCUCCCGAAAUAGUUUUUUCCUGAAACUCCACGUAAGAAUCUCCACUGAAUUAGGCACAAAACUCGACAAAUUUCAGGUUAAACGGAUGAGUAUUCCCCCACGAAAAUAAUCAAACAGUUUCAUACACAAACGAACCUUCCUUUCGGCCCUAGCAGUGAUGAAUAAAAAAUUUAUUGCCAAUCUUGUGGGACGAAUCUGGGGUCAAAUAUCAACAAAAACUCAGUAGACACAGUGACGAACGUCUGGUAAAAAUUUCAAACCAAAAUACCCAAGGAGUAAGGCGUAGUAAAUCCCAGACCGAUAGUGAACAAAAUUGUUUUUCCGAAAACAAAACGUUCUGGCUUUUCUCCCCGUAUCUUCUUUUUGUGAUUUGUUUAUUGACUUGCCUCCUUACAUGGGUGCAAACAAAAUAUGAAAGUACUUGUCGAAAUUCUUUCUGCACAAUACGGACCCAGAAUAAAAUUUCAAAAAGUAGGGCGAAAUUUCAUAAGUUUUCGUAGAGGAUAAUUUUGGUUUGCACAAAAUUUCUGAAAAAUUCUCUCGAAAUAGUUGCUUCCUGAAAUUCCAUGUAAGAAUCUCCACUGAAUUUGGGACAAAACGCGACAAAUUUCAGGUCAAACAGAUGAGUAUUCACCCACGAAAAAAAUCAAACAGUUUCACACAAAAAGGAACCUUCCUUUCUGCCUUGGCAAUGAUGGAUAAAAAAUUUAUUGUCAAUCUUGUGGGACGAAUCUGGGGCCCAAAUCUCAGCCAAAUCGCAGUAGACACAGUGACAAAUGUCUGGUAAAAUUUUCAGACCAAAAUACACAAGGAGUAACGCGUAGUAAGUCCAAAACCAAGAGUGAACAAAAUUAGUUUUCCGAAAAUAAAAUGUCCUGGCUUUUCUCCUCCGUAUCUUCUUUUUGUGAUUUGUUUAUGGGUGUGCCUCCUUACUUGGGUGCAAACAAAAUAUGGAAGUACUUUUCUGAAUUUUUUCAACGCAAUAAGGACCCAGAAUAAAAUUUCAGAAAGUAGGGCGAAAUUUCAAAGUUUUGGUAGAAGAUAGAGAGCCUUAGUUUGCACAAAAUUUCUGAAAAAAUCUCCCGAAAUACUUGUCUGAAAUUCCACGUAAGAAUCUCCACUGAAUUUGGGACAAAAUACGACAAAUUUCAAGUCAAACGGAUGAGUAUUCUUCCAUGAAAAAAAUCAAACAGUUUCAUACACAAACGAACCUUCCUUUCGGCCCUGACAGUGAUGAAUGAAAAAUUUAUUGCCAAUACUGUGGGACGAAUCUGGGGUCAAAUCUCAACCAAAACUCAGUAGACCCAGUGACGAACUUCUGGUAAAAAUUUCAGACCAAACUACCCAAGGAGUAAGGCAUAGUAAAUCCCAGACCGAGAGUGAACAAAACUGGUUUUCCGAAAACAAAACGUUCUGCAUUUCUCCCCCGUAUCUUCUUUUUGUGAUUUGUUUAUGAACUUGCCUCCUUACCUAGGUGCAAACAACAUAUGAUAGUACUUGUCUGAAUUUUUUCCACGCAAUACGGACCAAAAAUAAAAUUUCAGAAAGUAAGGCGAAAUUUCACAAGUUUUGGUAGAGGAUAGCCUUGGUUUGCACAAAAUUUCUGAAAAAUUCUCCCGAAAUAGUUUCUUACUGAAAUUCCACGUAAUAAUGUCCACUAACUCUGGGACAAAACGCAACAAAUUGCAGAUCAAAUGGAUGAGUAUUUACCCACGAAAAAAAUCAAACAGUUUCACACACAAACGAACCUUCCUUUCGGUCCUGGAAGUGAUGAAUGAAAAAUUUAUUUCCAAUCAUGCGGGACGAAUCUGGGUCUCAAAACUCAGCCAAAACUCAGCAGACAUAGUGUAGAACAUCUGGGAAAAAUUUCAGACCAAAAUAACCAUGGAGUAAGUCGUAAUAAGUCCCAGACCGAGAGUGAACAAAACUGGUUUUCCGAAAACAAAACGUCCUGGCUUUUCUCCCCGUAUCUUCUUUUUGUGAUAUUUUUAUGGACGUGCCUCCUUAGCUAGGUGCACACAACAUAUGAAAGUACUUGUCUGAAUAUUUUCAGCGCAAUACGGACCUGGAAUAGAAUUUCAGAAAGAAGGGCGAAAUAGCACAAGUUUUGGUAGAGGAUAGCCUUGGUUUGCACAGAGUUUCUAAAAAAUUCUCCCGAAAUAGUUUUUUCUUGAAAUUCCACGUAAGAAUCUCCACUGAAUUUGGAACAAAACGCAAAAAAUUUCAGGUCAAACGGAUGAGUAUUCACCUACGAAAAAUAUCAAACAUUUUCACACAAAAAACUAACCUUCCUUUCGGCUCUGACAGUUUUGAAUAAAAAAUGUAUUGUUAAUCUUAUGUGACAAAUCUAGGACUCAAAUCUCAGCCAAAACUCAGUACACAAAGUGACGAACCUCUGGUAAAAUUUUUAGACCAAAAUACCCAAGGCAUAACACGUAGUAAGUCCAAGACCGAGAGUGAACAAAACUUGUUUUACGAAAACAAAACGUCCUGGCUUUUCUCCCCCGUAUCUUCAUUUUGUGAUUUGUUUAUGGACGUGCCUCCUUACCUAGAUGCAAACAAAAUAUGAGAGUACUUGUCUGAACUUUUUCAGCACAAUAGGCCCCGGAAUAAAAUUUCAGAAAGUAGGGCGAAAUUUCACAAGUUUUGGUAGAGGAUAGCCUGGGUUUGCACAAAAUUUUUAAAAAAAAUUCCCGAAAUAUUUUUUUCCUAAAAUUCCACGUAAGAAUCUCCACUGAUUUUUGGACAACACGCUAUAAAUUUGAGGUCAAACGGAUGAGUAUUCGCCCACCAAAAAAAUCAAACAGUUUCACACUGAAACGAAUCUUCGUUUCGGCCUUGGCUGUGAUGAAUAAAAAAUUUAUUGUCAAUCUUGUGGGACGAAUCUGGGGCUCAAAUCUCAGCCAAAACCUAGUAGACACAGUGACGAACGUCUGGUAAAAAUUUCAUACUAAAAUAUCCAAGGAGUAAGGCGUAGUAAGUUUCAGACCAAGAGUGAACAAAACUGGUUUUUUGAAAAUAAAACGUCCUGGAUCUUCUCCCCUGUAUCUUCUUUUUGUGAUUUGUUUAUGGACGUGCCUCCUUCCUCGGGUGCAAACAAAAUAUGAAAGUACUUGUCUGGAUUUUUUCAGUGCAAUACGGACCCAGAAUAAAAUUUCAUAAAGUAGGGCGAAAUGUCACAAGUUUUGGUAGAGGAUAGCCUUGGUUUGCACAAAAUUUCUGAAAAAAUCUCCCGAAAUAGUUUCUUCCUGAAAUUCCACGGAAGAAUCUCCAUUGAAUUUAGGACAAAACGCGACAAACUUCUUUUUGUGAUUUGUUUAUGGACUUGCCUCCUUACCUAUGUGCAAACAACAUAUCAAGUACUUGUCUGGAUUUUUUCAGCGCAAUACGGACCCAAAAUAAAUAUUCAAAAAGUAGGGCGAAAUUUCAAAAGUUUUGGUAGAGGAUAACCUCUGGUUGCACAAAACUUCUGAAAAAUUCUCCGGAAAUAUUUGUUUCUUGAAAUUCCUCGUAAGACUCUACUCUAAAUUUGGGACAAAACGCGACAAAUUUCAGGUCAAAGGGAUGAGUAUUCACCUACGAAAAAAAUCAAACAGUUUCACACACAAACGAACCUUCGUUUCAGCCCUAACAAUGAUGAAUAAAAAAAUGUAUUGUUAAUCAUGUGGGACGAAUCUAGAGCUCAAAUCUCAGCCAAAACUUAGUAGAUACAGUGACGAGCCUCUGGUAAAAAUUUUAGACCAAAAUAUCCAAGGGGUAAGGCGUAGUAAGUCCCAGAGCGAGAGUGAACAAACCUGGUUUUCUGAAAACAAAAGGUCCUGGCUUUUCUCCCUCAUAUCUUCUUUUUGUGAUUUGUUUAUGGACGUGCCUCCUUACCUAGGUGCAAACAACAUAUGAAAGUACUUGUGUGAAUUUUUUCAGCACAAUAUGGACCCAUAAUAAAAUUUCAGAAAGUAGGACGAAAUUUCACAAGUUUUGGUAGUGGAUAGCCUUGGUUUGCACAAAAUUUAUGAAAAAUUCUCCCGAAAUAGUUUCUUCCUGAAAUUCCACGUAAGAGUCUCCACUGAAUUUGGGACAAAACUCGACAAAUUUCAGGUCAAACGGAUGAGUAUACACCCACGAAAAAAAAUCAAACAGUUUCACACACAAACGAACCUUCCUUUCGGCCCUGGCAGUAAUGAAUAAAAAAAUUAUUGCCAAUCUUGUGGGACGAAUCUGGGGCUCAAAUCUCAGCCAAAACUUAGUAGACACAGUGACGAACGUCUGGUAAAAAUUUCAUACCAAAAUACCCAAGGAGUAAGGCUUAGUAAGUCCCAGACCGAGAGUGAACAAAACUAGUUUUCAGAAAACAAAAUGUCAUGGCUUUUCUCCCCCGUAUCUUCUUUUUGUGAUUUGUUUAUGGACGUGCCUCCUUACCUGGGUGCAAACAACAUAUGAAAGUACUUGUCUGAAUUUUUUCAGCGCAAUACGGACCCAUAAUAAAAUUUCAGAAAGUAGGGCGAAAUUUCACAAGUUUUGGUAAAGGAUACUACGAAAGAAUGCUUUAAUUACAAGAUCUAAUAGAAGAACUUAUCCAAUUAGAUGCUUUUGGCCACUUCGUACAACAGGCAUGACUCGAUUUUGGAGGACACUCCCCAAACAUCUAUGGAAGAAACACCUUUCUUUUUUACUCAAGGUGCAAACUAUAUGGUUUUGAACAUGAUGAAGUACUCUUUUUUCUUACCUCAAUUUUUUUUAUCUCUAAGGAGGGUAAGGUUUUAAUGAGGCUUGUACCGAUCAGUCCUCGGGCGUCGUUGACCACUAGUGGUGAAAACGCCACGUAAGCUGGGUCCCACGAGCGGCGUGGGUCAGUGUCUCGCGAGGCGCCUGCGACAAGGUACCGAAGAGUGGUAAGACAUCGGUCAUUAGGAUGUAUCGAUGUAUCACUAGGCAGUGUAGAGAGGUCGGACAUUAGUGACUCGGACAGCAAAGCUAGGCCACGAGAGGUGGAUCCCAGACCACACACCGGUUAUCAGUUAGGGAGAAGCCUAGGUCACGAGAGCCCAUGCGUAUGGUGUGGAUGACGCGUUCAGGCGUUACACAAGUAUAGAGCCACUGGAAAAGGUACGACUUGUGAGGGUCACGUUCCAGAGGUGAGCUGCAUGCGUGGCUUGUGAACAACUAGGACGCUCCCAAGACGAGUGACCCUAGAGAUCAGGUGUGCGAGGAGGCAUCCAAGUGGUCAUCCCGUCAGAGGUUUGCACUCCAGUUAGGGAACCCCAAGCGCUAGGUUAUCCUAAGAGUGGGUAACAGCGACGCUGGGGCCCACCCUCUCAGGAAGCCUAUUUUGGGUAAUGGAAACAGUGGAAACCCUAGGCUAUAUAAAGGGAAGUAACAAACUUAGUAAGGUACGCUAUUCAUUUGCGUCGUUGAACACACACAGUUACACAGAGCUUAACGUUUAAUAGUUUUGGUGUUUCCUAGCCCUAAGAUUGACUUGAGCGUCGGAAUGCAAACAGCCUUUAGGGUGCCCUUUGUCUUUGUGUUUUUAGGCAUUCAAAUGAGAAGGAAAACACGAGUAAGCGUAGGGAUUAUGGGCGUGAGAUUGACGUAGACGCACGAAAAUAUCGGUAGGAACAUUUGGCACCCACCAUAGGCCUCGAUCUAAAACACUGUCCCACCAGCAAGAACUAGAGAGAUCCAAAAGAUGAGAAAUACGAGGCAAGGACCUAUUGCACCAAACGGGGGGAAAGCCUCACCCUGCAACAUGUUAUGAAAACGAUGCAGGCCCUUCAAGAAGAAGUGGAUGCGUUAAGAGCGAAUCAAGAACGCAUCCAGGCUUAUUUGGCUUCAUCGCGGGCGAAAAAUGAAGAACUGCGUCGAUCGAAUGAAGAAUUGCGCAGAGAUCUGCAUAAUCAAGCAGGCGAACGUGAGGAGGAAGAUCAAGAACCUACGACGUCGCCCAGGGAGUUCCCAAUGUCGUUCUCGCAAGAGAUCAUCGAUGUCGUGAUACCAGCCACGUUCGUAGGGCCUAGAGUUACCUUCAUUGGUAUGGAGGACCCAGAGGCCCAUCUCACGGCUUUCCAUACACAGAUGAUGCUAGUUGGGGGCUCUGACGCCGUGCGAUGUAACUUGUUCGUGAGCACCCUGGUGGGAACAACGAUGGAUUGGUUCAUCAGCCUCCCUAAUGGCCACGUGACGUCGUUCCCACAACUCACUAAGUUGUUCAGAGCACAGUACAUCACGAACCCCCCCCCCCCACCUAUCUCUUAUGAUCUUUUUGACAUAAGAAAAUAUCAGAGAGAGUCCCUGAAGGAGUUCCUUCACCAUUUCGGAGCACAGGAGGUGAGGUUGAACACCAAGGACGAAACGAUGAUGGUGCACGCGUUUAGAAAGGGCAUUGUGCCAGGACCUUUCGGUGAAUUGCUCAUCAGCAACCGCCCCAAGACUUUCACCGAGAUAAUGCACCGCGCGGUGGCUCAUAUUGCGGCUGAAGGGAAAGUUAACGAGAAGCACAUGUGUGUGGUACCCACGCGCCCCGCGUGCAUCAGGUCGACCUCAACCCCUAAGGGUGCAUGAGGCGACGAUAGAGAAGAAAGUCCUCGUGAAGCAGCAACUCUACCAACUAAGAAAGCCUCAAACCAGGGGGCGCGAGAGAGAGAACGUGUCGUCGAGGCCAACUUUGUGGUAGAAUGGAAGGAUCUUAUCGCUAUCCCCAACAUAAUGGAGAGGCUAAAGAUACCCCCCAUGACCGACAAGAAGCUCGGGCCCAACAAGAACGCCUGGUGUGAGUUCCACCAAGCGUUCUGCCACCCCAUAUGCAACUGUCUAGCGCUGGGACACCAGCUAGAUGAGUUGGUGAAGAACAGUUUCCUGAGAGAUUACUUGUAGGAAAAGUAGGGUGUCGAGGACGUGGCGGUGACAGGGGGUGAGCGGGGGCAUGGAAUUCCCGUACAUGGUGAGAUCCACACCAUUGCGGGAGGGUUCUCAGGAGGAGGUUGCAUCGCUUCCUAGUGAAAGAAGUAUGCGCGGGCGAUGAUGUCAGUAGAAGCACAAAGGGCAAACGAUGCCUUUGACGUCGACCUUGUCUUCACCAAAGCAGACCUUCAAGACGUCGUUUCCCAUGACAACGACCUGGUGGUGAUCUCAGUAGUAAGUGCACCGGGUACGGAUAGAUCAAGGAAGCUCGACAGACGUGAUGUUUUGGACGACUUUUAACAAGAUGCAGUUGUCCCCUGACAUGUUAAGGCCCUAUAUUGGCUGCCUGUACGGUUUCGCGGGAGACCAAGUGGAGGUGCGUGGGCACAUGGAGCUGAGCACCACCAUCACGGAUGGUACCGCGUCCCAUACGAAGAACAUCAGGUAUCUUGUCGUCAAUGCCCCUAUAACAUGUUGCUGGGUAGACCUACGCUGAACAGGCUAGGGGCGGUGUAGUCGACGAGGCACAUGAAGAUGAAGCUACCUGACUUGGCGGGAAAGGUGAUUACCAUCAAGUUAGACCAGAAGAAGGCCAAGAGGUGUUAAGAGAACAACCUCAAAACAAAGAGAGGUGUAUUCAAGGUCACUACACGUGCACCGCACUCAGGAGAGGUCGCUCAGCCUGAUAUCAAUCGCAGGGACCGCUCAGGAAAGGCGACCUGAGCCGAUCGGCGAUGCAAGGGAAAGAGAGAUUGGAGGAAGGGUCUUCAAGCUUGGCAGUGCUCUCGACCAAACAGCGCAGGAUCAAAUUGCCAAGGUUCGACCUAUCCACCGACGAGUGAAAGAACGACACUUUGUUGACUUAGAAUAGUUAUUCACGACAAUAGCUGAGUCCAGAUUGAAGCUGAACCCCGAGAAGUGCGUGUUCGGAAUAGAAGCUAGGAAGUUUAUGGGUUUCUUGCUCACCGAGCGUGGGAUAGAAGCAAACCCAGAAAGGUGCGCGGUGACGAGGUGCAUGGCUGCCCUGUCCAGAUCCGUGUCAACUAGAGGAGAUAAGGGCCACCCUUACCGCCAGUGCCUAAGAAGGAACAACCGGUUUGUACGGGCCCAGUGUAAAGAGGCGUUCAUCAGGCUGAAGGAGUACCUAGCAAGCCCUUUGAUCCUGUGCAAACUGCAGCCAAGCACACCACCUAGCCUCUAUUUUAUGGAGACCGACCAGGCGAUCAGUACAGUCCUUGUUCAGGAACAGGACUAGUUUCAGAAACUCAUAUGUUUCGCGAGUAAAGUAUGGCCAAAACCUGAGGUAAGAUACCAGGUAUUGGAGAAGGCGACCCUGGCGGUCCCAUGUCAGCUGAGGAGCAAGCUCAGAGUGAUAGAGGUCCUUGGGGACGGAGCAUACAGACUUGAGACGCUGGAAGGAGACGCGAUUCCUCGCACAUGGAAUGCGGUCGACCUCAAGUUUUAUUCCAGUUAAACAAUAACAUUGUACAUCGUAUUAGGGGACGCUCUUUUUCCCUUAUAAGGAUUUUUUGACGAGGUCACCCAAUAAAUUUCGGUCAAAUAUUUUCUCGAGUUUUGUACAAUUCAGUUAAGAACUUGUUUUCCUUGGGUUAGAAGUCUCGAGAGUGGUAAAGGUAGGUUCGUAGAGAACACUUCCCCCCUCGAGUGAGAAUGCUAAGGUUGAAAAUAGUUCACCAGAUAAAUCCUCCUCGCACUUGAAAGAAACUGAGGUCAGUUAAGAACUUGUUUUCCUUGGGUUAGAAGUCUCAAGAGUGGUAAAGGUAGGUUCGUAGAGAACACCUCCCCCCUCAAGUGAGAACGCCAAGGUUGAACGAAAUAGUUCACUAGAUAAAUCCUCAUCGCCCUUGAGCGAAACUAAGGUUAGUUAAGAACUUGUUUUCCUUGCGUUAGAGGUCUAGAGAGAAGAAAUGCAGGUUCGUAGAAAACGCCUUCCCCCUCGAGUGAGAACAUCAAGGUUGAACAAAAUAGUUCACCAGAUAAAUUAUCUUCGCCUUUGAGCGAGAAUGAGGUCAAUUGUUAGUUGUCCCUUGGGUUAAAAUUCUCGAGAGUGGUAAAGGUAGGUUCGCAGAGAACACCUCCCUCCCUCGAGUGGCUGAACAGCCCAGUUCACAGUUAAGCCCUCCUUUAGCUUAAUACAGCAAGGGCGGGGUCAACACAAGUUAACAGUCGAGUAAGAUAGAAGAGCGGUUCUCAGUCACACAGAGCCACGUAGGACGCCAAUGGCAAGGACUUAAUCUCUUCGCUGAACAAGUUACAGCUCGAGACUAGGGGGCUUGUGUACCGACCAGUCCUCGGGCGUCAUUGACCACUAGUGGUGAAGGGGCCAUGUAAGUUGGGUCCCACGAGCGGCGUGGGUCAGUGUCUCGCGAGGCGCCUGGGCCAAGGUACCGAAGAGUGGUCAGACAUCGGUCACCAGGAUGUAUCGAUGUGUCACUAGGCAGUGUAGAGAGGUCGGACAUCGUUGACUCGAACAGCAGAGCUGGGUCACGAGAGGUGGAUCCCAAACCACACACCGACUAUCAGUUAGGGAGAAGCCUAGGUCACGAGAGCCCAUGCGUGUGGUGUGGAUGACGCGUUCAGACGUAACACAAGUAUAGAGCCACUAGAAAAGGUACGACCUAUGAGGGUCACGUUCCAGGGGUGAGCUUCAUGCGUGGCAUGUGAACAGCUAGGGCGCUCCCAGGACGGGUGACCCUAGAGAUCAGGUGCGCGAGGAGGCAUCCAUGUGGUCAUCCCGUCAGAGGUUUGCACUCCAGUUAGGGAACCUCACGUACUAGGUUUUCCUAAGAGUGGGUAACAGAGGCGCUGGGGCCCACCCCCUCAGGAAGCCUAUUUUGAGCGUCGGAGUGCAAAUGGCCUCUAGGGCGCCCUUUGUCUUUGUGUUUUCAGGCAUUCAAACAAGAAGGAAAACACGAGUAAGCGGAGGGAUUCUGGGCGUGAGAUUGACGUAGACGCACGAAAACAUUCUUGGUCAACCGGUAGGAACAAGGCUUAUUCCUUUAAAGUAAAGUUCAUUUCCUUUUUACACAUAAAAGUUUAUAAUGAUACUGUUAUUCGAGUUUAAACGAACAUAAAAAAAACUUUAUCAAACUUGAACCAAACGGUCAAGUCACAAUCCGAAUUCAAACGAUUAUGAGAAAUAUUCAUUACUCAAAAUCACAAUAAAGGGUUGACCUAUGCUAAAUCCAAACAGGUCCAAACUAAUCUCGUUCAUCCUUCAAAUUUAUCUACCUAUACAUCUUCUCGAAUUCUGAGCUAGGGGGCUUUCUGUACAUACCUCCAAUUACGACCGUGUACAUUCAGACAAUAACUGUUUGUUUAAUAUUAUAUUUAAGACACAUAAAUUCGACCAUAAACCGGUUAUAAGUUAUUAGCAGUUAUAAAUUACUGUUAUAAAAUCCAUUUAUAUCUCAUUAUAACUAUUCAAUGCUUUGUGGAGAUGGACCUCCUCCUUUCAUUGGAGACGAACUAAAAAUUUGUUUUCCUAAGAAACAUGCAGUAUUCACCGAGUUACUCCAAGUUCAUUUUCGGUAGAAACAAAUUGUAAAUUGAAAAAGAACUAUUACUUUAUUAAAUAUAUUGAUAUGAUUUAUAAUUUUUUGGGUAUUUGAAAUUAAACCAAAAAAAAAUCGAUUAUUGAUAUGACUUGAUCACUAGGUUUUUUUAAAUUAUUAAUGUAAUACUUAUAUGAUGCGAUUGUUUGAAUUAUUAGAUUGAGUCCCAUUAUUUGUCACAGGUAAAACAUAGUACGGAUUUGAAUAUCUCAGAAUAAGAUAAAUAUACUUUAGAAUAAAAACACGAAAAUCAAUCAAAUAAUAGCAAAAAUAAUAUUCAAAAGAAUUAAUAAGUAUGUUGUUCCAUUAAAAAUGUAUGAUUUAUUUAUUUAUAUAAUAUAAUAUAACUACGAGCUUAUAAUAGAUAAUAAUAGGAUAUUAGUGUAUAAAUAGACUUUGAUAAAAAACUGGCUCAUGUAUUUCGGUGGAGAAUAGGAAAAUUUAGCAAGAAACCUUGCACGGGUCAUCAUUGGGAAGAGAUAGAAGCCGGUUGAUUUAUAUACUGAGAAACUUUCACAUUACAAUCACGAAACUAAACACAUAAAUCUGGAGCAUCAAGAUUGUAUUAGUUCUUGAAAUCUAAUUGUUUAACAAGCAUUUGGUGAGCAUAAUUGGGUUACUUCAACGUGGCUUUGGGUCGACAAUCUCGGAAAACAACUCAAGCAUCAACUUAUCAUUGUCCUUGGAAUUAUUGUGGUGCUCUUCUGUAUCAAUCACAUCUUCACGAACUCCCUCUUCGCUUUCGUCGGCACUCUCUUGCAGUUUCAAUGCAGACUCCAGCAUCAAAACGACAUCGUUCAUGGACGGCCUCUGCAUCCCUUCUUGUGACAAACAACUGAUUCCAAUCUCGCAAAACAUGGCGAAACACUGGGGAGCGAUCUUCCCCUUUAAUAUGGGAUCCACAAUCUCCGCCACUGUCCCGUUUUGGUAGCAAUAUCUGGCCCAACUAGCUAGUGACACCUGUUCGGUUUCUUCCGUAUGGAUCAGAGGAGAACGGGCACAGAGUACCUCAAACAACACCACCCCAAAAGAGUACACAUCAGACUUCUCCGUCAGCCGCUGCCGAAUAAAAUACUCCGGAUCCAAAUACCCAAAGCUGCCUUUCACGGCGGUGCUCACAUGGGCCUUCGACAUCUCAUUUGGCCCUAUUUUGGAUAGCCCGAAGUCCGAAACUUUCGCCACCCACCUCUCGUCCAGCAAGAUGUUCGUCGUUUUCACGUCCCGAUGGAUGAUCAUGUGCUUCGCGCCACUGUGAAGAUAGCGUAGACCGCGCGCGGCGCCAAUGCAAAUCUUCAAGCGCUGCCUCCACGAGAGGGAGGGAUUGUCGGUGCCGUAGAGAUGGUCGCGAAGGUUUCCACGUCCCAUAUAGUCGUAAACCAGGAUCAUCUCUUUCUUAUCGCAGCAGUAACCGAUGAGUGAUACCAGAUGGCGGUGGCGGAGCUGUGAAAGCAUCUGGAUCUCGUUCAAGAACUCGCAAGCCCCCUGCUGGGAACCCUGUCUAAGGCGCUUGAUUGCGACGGGGAUUGAACCGUCUUUGAUGAAGCCCUUGUACACGUGGCCAAAUCCCCCGUCGCCGACGAUGAAGGCGCUGUCGAAGAUUUUGGUGGCGGCUUUGAUCUCGACGAUGGUAAACCGACGGCAUUGAUCAGAUGGCAGAGAAAAAUUGUGGUCGUUGGUUGACUUCGUUAAGAACAACAGUGGAGUCCACUUGGAAGUGGUGGAGAACAGGACAAAGAAAACGACAAGCGAGAUGAAAACAACACCGGAUACUACCCCCGCCGUGAUACCAAUCAUCCGCCUUCUGUUAUUAAUCGGGUCCGGUCCGGCGUGGCUGUUAGACUGAACCGGGUCUGGGUUGCGUCCGGCUAGGUUGUUUGAUUCGGCUUCGCUGAUUUUAAAGAUCUCGAGACCGUUCAGGAAGGGGUCGCUGUAUCUCGUAUCCACACCGCUUUCGUAAGGGUGCAUUUGAAGCGAGAGAUUAAACCUUUUCUGAUUACCAUUCUUGGGAAUCAUAACGGCGUAGUUUUUGUGCACAGCUAGGCCUUUUUGUUUCUUACUCCAUUUCAUUACAUCUGCACGUUCUUCAGCCAACUGGCUAUUUAUGUAAAUGAAGAAUUGUCUGUCAGCGAUGUCAUUGAUAAGAGGAUCAAGCUCGCAAAAGUGGAGCCUGAGAACGUAAGUGAAGCCACAAUCAACGGGGAACACCCAAGUGAGGUAGCUGAUUUUGUUCAGAGUGCCGUUUGUGCCCUGGCUACGCGCUGUUCUGAACAGUUCCUUCGGUGCCACGUAAUCAGGAUUCACGGUUAUGUUCAUCUCCCCAUCGAUGUCAGCUUGUAGGUCAUUAUUCUUUGGAUUUUGUUUAAUAAAAUAAGGUAGUUCGUCAGCCCAAUCCCUAAACAAACCGGUGUCGUUUUGUGGCGGGAUUUCUUGGCCUCCAGAGUUGAUUCUAUACUCAGUCUGGAGCGCAUCGCUGGUUCCAACGCUUAAUAGCGUACCAUGUCCCACUAGCGUGAAUCCUAUAUCAUUUCGUUGAGUAUAAUAUAAAUCCGUUGGCAUGGAAAGCACCUCAAUUCCGUUGAUGAAAGCGUAGGAGUUUGGAUCGGAUGGAGUGAAGGUGACGAUAAGCCUCUCACCGUGGUUGACGUUGACCACGUAUUCUCGGAAGAUAGUCUGAGUGGCUUGAGCGUCGGCGUGAAGAGAGGCGUUGAAAGCGUUGAGGAGAGUGAAUUGGUUGGAUUGAUGGGUGAAAGAAGCUUGGUUGCGGGGAAAGGAAGGGUAGUCGGAAGGGUAGAAGAAGAGGCGAAUGAAUUUGGGGCCUGGGGAGACGGGGAAGGAGUAGUUGAAUUGGGAACGGGACAAGCGUGCACUGGAGUAGGGGAUUUGAUUGGUGGAAGGAGACUGUGUUGUUGCCUUCUCUGAAACGGAGCCGUCUUUGAAAGAUAAGUACUUUGUGUCUUCGUCGCCGAUCCACCUUCUUUGACCGUCGAAGGAUAUCCCGGUGGAGCCGCAACUGAUGGUGAAAAUAUCCUCCGGGGUGUAGGCCUGGAGAUGUACGGAGAAGUGUAGAAGGAAGAAGAAGAGUGUCAAGGAGGUGAUGAAGGUGAUAGCCAUUGUUUCUGGUGGGAGGGAACAGAAGUGAAUGAAGUCGCGAAAGACUUAUCAUGAGUGUUAGGUUAGAAUUACAUGGAAGGCAUGGAGAAAAGAACAUGCAGCGUUGUUUGUUAGCGAAAGCUCACUGCCUGUCUAUUUAGUUGACGGUUUCUUCUUCAGUAUAGAACAAAAAAAUAUACAGAUAACAUUAAUUUUAUAAAUUUUAAUUUUUCAUUAAAUUUAAUUAUAUUUUACCACUCUUAUAAAAUUAAAAUUUUGAAUACUGAUAAAAUGAAUGAUAUAAGUGGUAAGAUGGUAAAUUUAUAACAUUCUUAUUCAAUUUUGAGCUCCUUAUACUUCACACACAUGACUAUUUUCUUAACCUAAAUAUUAUCCUCCAUCGAAUUUAAAUUAGUGUGAAUAAAUAAUUAUCGUUUCUUUCAACGUUUUUUGUUUUUUUUUUUCAGGUCAGGUGCUUUUUUUUAUAUCAAAUAUUUAUUUUUUUAUUUAUAUUUUUCAUUUUUUUUGUUAAAUUUAAUUUGUAUCUUCAUUUAACUUAUAUUUUGAAUAUUCAUAUAAUACUAAAUUCAAUAUUCUCUCUUUUAGAUAAUCAAGUUUCAAGAUAAUUAUUAAUCGUAAUUUAAAUUUUGAAUUUUAACAACCCAUGUUAUAAAAAUAUUAUGUCUUUAAAUUUUAUUAGUUAAAUUUAAUUUUUAUCUUCAUUUACUUAUAUUUUUAAUAUUGAUAUAAUACUUGAUUAAAGAUACGGUCCCAUGUUAUAAAAAUAUUGUGUCUUAAAUCUUAAUUUAAUCAAGCAAUUUUGAUAACCUCUUCCUAGACAUAAAAAUACUAUACUUUUAAUCUAUUUAUAUUUAAUACAAAAAUAUAUUUAUUAUCAAGAAAAGCAUAGAUGUUAGAGUUAAGCAUGGACUAAUAAAAUUAUUUUUUAAUUUAUUAAUUAGAAAUAUUAGUACAGAUUGGGCCAACGCAUAUUUUUUUAAUUUUUUUUACAAACUUAUGAAGUUUUAUUUCGUAAAUGUGUUGGUUAUGACGAUACAUACGUGUGUUAACUUUAAAAAAAAUUUGACGAUAUCUUUUAAAUUUUUUUUAGAGGAUAUCAUUCAAUUCUUUGUUAAUGAUAAGUAAAUGUAAUUAAAAUAGUUUAAUUGUUAAGCUGGUUAUAAAUGUUAAAAGUGAAUUGGAGUAUUAUUCUUUUGAUUAAUAUUUGAUAUAAUUAAAGAAGAAUUCCUAAUAUUAAAAUUAUUAAAAAUAAAAAUUUGAAAAGAUUAAGAAAGAAAUGAAAUACAAAGAUACAAACUGUUGAGUAAAUAAAAUAAUAGGUAGAAGAAGUACUUAAAAAUAAAUAAAAAUGAUUGAGGAAAGAGAAUCUUAUAAAAUUUGUAAUAUCAUAAAAUUUAAAUAAAAAUGUUUUUAUAAGCAUAAAAAUAAAUAAUUAUGACUUUGGAAAUUUUAUAUAAAAUACUAACACAUUUUAGAUAGACUAAUUUUACAUUUAUUCUUUUAUGUGAAUUAAUAAUUUUGAAAAUUAAAAAAUAAGAACCAAAUUGAAGUUUUAAUAUUUGAAAACAAACCUAGAAAAAAAAUUGAAGAUAAAACUUUGUUUUCCUAACAUUGUUUAAUAUGAAGGAUGUAACUAAAUUGAAAAUGAAUAUUGAAAAUUGACAUUUUAAUUUAUCGUAUUGUUAUAAACUUUUAAAUUUUGUUAACUUAAUUUGUUUAAUUUUUUUAUAUAAUAGUGAGUUAUUUCACAAUUUUUUUUAUAUAAAUAAAUGAAUUUGCGUUUUAGAAAUUCACUCCAUCCUUACUAAUAAGUAUCAUUAUUUAUUAAAUUUACAUGACAAAAGUUGGUCACUUUUGGUCUUAAUGGCUGUUUAAAAUUGAAAUCAUCCCUAAUUUGAGAAUUACUAAAUUUAAAUAUAUGUUUGAGUCAUAAAAAAAAUAAGAUAUUUAAUAUUAUUUUUGUAUAAAUUUUAGGUAAUUAAGAAAAGAGAAAGAAAGGGAUUGGAAGAUGCAUGAAAGAAAUCAUAAGAAGAUAGAAAAUAGGAGUUUUGAUGUUUUGAACUCCUCAAGUUAGAAUUCACUCAAGUAAGAAUGUCUUGCUUAGGUGAGAAUUAUGCAAAGGCAGAGAAGUAUUGCUAGAUCACUGGAAAGGAUACGACCUGUGAGGGUCACGUUCCAACGGUGAACUGCAUGCAUGGCACGUGAACAAUUAGGGCGCUCCCAAGACGGGUGACCAUAAAGAUCAGGUGCACGAGGAGGCAUCCAGGUGGUCAUCCUGUCAGAGGUUGCACUCCAAUUAGGGAACCCCACGCGCUAGGUUAUCCUAAGGUGGGUAGUUGCGGCGCUGGGGCCCACCCCCUCAGGAAGCCUAUUUCGGGUAAUGGAAAUAGUGGAAACCCUAGUUUUCAGUCUAUAUAAAGGGAAGUAACAAACUUGGCAAGGAACGCUAUUCAUAUGCGCCGCUUAACACACACAGUUACAGUUUUAUGUAAAGAGUUUUGGUGUUCCCUAGCCCUAAGAUUGACUUGAGCGUCAAAGUGCAAACGACCUCUAGGGCGCCCUUUGUCUUUGUGUUUUCAAGCAUUCAACCAAAGGGAAAGCACGUGCGAGCGCAGGGAUUUUGGAUGUGAGAGUGACAUAGACGCAUUUGGUCAACCGGAAGGUGUUGAAGCUGGAGGAAGCUUCUUCCCUACCAAGACUUGAUAUGUGUUUGAUGAAGAAAAUGGCUUGAGUGCUUUGAAAAUUGUAAUAGGUUUUUAGAUUCAUUUGUAAUUAGGCUUGUAAGUGUGUAUGAUUGCCUUUUGCUGUAUAACCUAUCCUAGAUGCCUAACCAAGUCUAGAUCAAGCACAUGAUGUGGUUAAAUGGUUUUUGAAAAGCUUUUUAAAAUGAUUUUAAAAGUUUUAAAUCAGUACACAAAUAAAUCUGUUUUAUGGAGAAAGAAUCUGUUUAUUUCUUCUCUGUUAAAAGGCUUUUCUAAAUUUAUGUUAGGGCACCACAGGCAAAGCUUAGAUCAUUAUUUCAGUUAAAGCUGAGCUGGCCUAUUUGCUCUCAUUUAAUCUGUUUCAUUGUGAAAGAAUCGGUUUGCCCUUCUGGUCAGUUAAAAGGUUUUUCACAAGUUAGUUAGGGCACCAAAGGUACAACUCAGACAGUUAUUUCAGUUAGCUGAGUUGGCGGUUUUCACAAAAAUAAAUCUGUUAAGUUCAAAAAUGAAUUUGUUGUUUUCAUAACUGCUUUUCAACUGAUUUUUGAAAACAAGUUAGAAACUGCUUUUCUAUAUAAAGAAAAGUCUCUCUCACAUGAGAGUGAGCUGAGCAAUUACGUUUUUUACAGAGAUCAAACAUUUUCCAUGUGAGAAGAAGGAUGGAAAGAUUUUUGAAAGGUUUUCCAAAGAGAUUUUCAAGUGUGCUUGUUCUAGGAAACCUUUGAUCUUGGUGAAGGUGCUGGUGCAGUUCUGCAGCAAAUUGAACUACUGGUUUUGAGUUCUUGCAUCUUCUUUUCAGGUGUAAUCUUUCCUUUAUUCUGUUUUGUAAAGGUGUAAGUGUUAGUCACUCCUUGAUAGGGUUUCUUGGAGUGCAAGGUGUGCUGAAAUAGGGUUUUUCAGCAUUGUUGGUGUUGUUCUUGUAGUGUUCAAGAACUGCUAAGUUUGUAAGUAAUUGGUACUGUUUUUAGUGGAUUCCACCUUGGGGUAAGGUGAGACUGGAUGUAGCUCUGUAUGAGUGAACCAGUAUAAAAACUUGUGUGCCUUUUCUUCUCAUCCCUGCACUCAUUNNNNNNNNNNNNNNNNNNNNNNNNNNNNNNNNNNNNNNNNNNNNNNNNNNNNNNNNNNNNNNNNNNNNNNNNNNNNNNNNNNNNNNNNNNNNNNNNNNNNUUAAUUCUGGGUUUAAAUAAGAACUGUUCUUCCUGAUUUGUUAAAGCUUUCUAAUCUCAAACAAGGCAGUUGUAUAUGCUGUUUUAAUUGAUUUGAAAAACAAAUUGUCUAUUCAUUAAAACCUGAGGAAGAUUCAUUCUCAUUAAAAUCUUGUGUUGAAUGAAGUUGAUUGAUUUCUUGGCAUAGCUGUAUUCUUCAUACUCAUAAAAUCAAAUUAAUCUGAUUCUGUUAUAGCUCUUUGCUGAUUACAAUUUUAAUUUGAACAAAGUCAAAUUGUGCUAGACUGCUCUGAAGAAUCAAUCUGUUUCAUGUAAAAUCAAUAUGUUCUUUUUGUCUCUGGUAUACUGAAAAUUGUGUGAUCUUGCGAAAAUUUUAUAAGCUCAAUUCACCCCUCCCCUCUUGAACUUAGACACUAAUAGACCCAACAGAAGGAACAUUUGGCGCCCACCGUGGGGCACUAUACAAAACAUUGUCCCACCAGCAAGAACCAGAAAGAUGAGAAGUACGAGGCAAGGUCCUGUUGCACCAAACGGAGGCGAAAGCCUCACCCUGCAACAGGUUCUGGAAAUGAUGUGGGCCCUUCAAGAGGAAGUGGAUGCGUCGAGAGCAAACCAAGAACACAUCCAGGCUGAUUUGGUUGCGUCACAAGCAACGAACGAAGAACUGCGCCUUUCGAAUGAAGAAUUGCGCAGGGAUCUGCAAAACCAGGCAGGCACACGUGAGGAAGGAGAUCGAGAACCUGCGACGCCACCCAGGGAGUUUCCGAUGCCGUUCUCGCAGGAAAUCAUGGAUGCCGUGAUACCGACCACGUUAGUAGGGCCCAAAGUUACCUUCAUUGGUACAGAGGACCCGGAGGCCCAUCUCACGGCUUUCCACACGCAAAUGAUGUUGGUUGGGGGCUCCGACGCGGUGAGAUGCAAACUGUUCAUGAGCACUUUGGUGGGAACAACGAUGGAUUGGUUCAUCAGCCUCCUUGAUGGCCACGUAACGUCGUUCCCACAACUCACCAAGCUAUUCAGAACGCAGUACAUCGCGAAUCGCCCCCACCCCACCCCACCCAUCUCUUAUGAUCUUUUUGACAUAAGACAGUAUCAGGGGGAGUCCUUGAAAGAGUUCCUUCACCAUUUUGGAGCACAGGUGGUGAGGUUGAACCUCAAGGACGAAACGAUGAUGGUGCACGUGUUCAGAAAGGGCAUUGUGCCAGGCCCCUUCAGUGAAUUGCUUAUCAGAAACCACCCUAAGACCUUCGCCGAGAUAAGGCGUCGCGCGGUGGCUCACAUUGCAGCAGAAGGGGAAGUUAACGAGAAGCGCACGUGUGUGGUUCCCACGCGCCCGCGUGCAUUAGGUCGACCUCAACCUCUAAGGUUGCAUGAGGCAACGACAGAGAAGAAUACCCCCGCGAAGCAGCAGCCCUAUCAGCCAAGGAAGUCUCAAACCAGGGGGCGGGGGAGGGAGAACGUGCCAUGAGUAGCUAACUUGGUGUUUGUAAAGACUAUAAUGAGUAGCUAACUUAUUUCUUGGGAUUGAACUUAAUCUUUUCUAACUCAUGUAUUUUGGUAAGAUUUAUAUGGUCCUAUAUUUUACUUGUUAUUGGUAUUUUUGUUUUGUGCUUAUUGCUAGAUUUUAUCUGAUCAAUAAAUUCUUGAUUUUGAUUCUUAAAUGUAACUAGAAAGUAUUUAUAAAAAUAUGAUCUAAAUGAAAAUAUUCAAUAUAUUUUAAUGCUAGUAAUAAAUUUCAACAUGUUGAUUGCUUUACAACAUCUAAUCCUAAUGUUGGUUAAUUUGCUAGAUAGCUGAGGAAUCCGUGUUUAGGAAACUUCCCUGUGAAUUUCAUGCAUGAAGAAUCAGUAUGUUGUAUCAAUAUCAAGUAAUUUUGAGUAUUAUAUAUUUUUAUCAAUCCCGAAUAUAGAUAAAUAAGAUAAAUUAAGUUCAAUCACAAUCUUGUUAACUAAAUUUUGUAGUUAAAUUACCUUGACGCUCUUUAGUUUCAUAUGCAAAGUCAUUAUUGUAAUUUCAAUGUAUUAUGAACAAAAUCAUUAUGCAUGUUUAUAUAUUUAGUGAGUGUUACAGUAUAAAUUUUUAAUUAAAAUGCUCCUUGUGGGUUUGACACUCGUACUUCAAAGUAUUAUUCAAAAUAAAUAAAUUAAUCUAUUUAUUUGGAGUAUAAUGAAAUUGAAUAAAAUAAAUAAAUCAUAGAAAAAAAGUGAUCCUGCUGGUUGACUUGAGUGCAAGAGUCUUGCCACGUCAAAGGUUUCUCCUCCUAGAUCAGCUUCGCACCACGUUAGCCUUUGUUCUUCACGUCUCAAUUCCUCGCAAGAACCUGAAGAAAACAAAGUGGCGCCGCUGCGGCCGAUCGCGCUCCGACGCUCAAGUCAGUGGAAGAAUCACCAAAAACUCAGAGAGAAUAUCUCAACUCAAGGAACCGUGCGCAGUGAAUCUUAGUGUGCUAUAAAGUAUUCUGAAAGCGUACCUCAAAAGUCUGUUAAGUGUUCCUUAUAUACCUGAGGAUUUUCUCUCUCCUGACGGUUACACCUCUGGACACGUGGCUCAUAUCCAGUUGUACACGUGUCGUCAUCUGGAGCUUCCUCCACUUGAGCGUCACUUCUACUCUUCAAGCCAUUCGACUAAGUUACCCAUACAAGGAGUAACUUGGUGCACAGCUUUCCUUGGAGCGCGACCCCUUAAGUGACGAGUACGAGGUGUCACCAUGCACACCUUCUCUGUGGUCUCGUCUGUCGCUAUCACGAUCUGCUUCACUUGCACACCAUGCACGUUCUGGGAAACUGUUCCCUUGCCCCGACCUCUGGCUAGGGAAUGAUUAUCUGAUAACCUCAUCCUCCACUGCUACGUGACAAUCAUAUCACUCGUCCCCCGUACUUGUACCCCUUGGAAACCUUAAGUAAGCUUUCCUGAUCUUUUGGCGAUGUGCCCCUCUUGGCGGUCUCUAACCACCUGAUCUCCUAGUACUCACAUAUGGCGACUAUGACGCAACUCUGGUGACCGCCGGUUACACACACUAGAGAUCGGAGAACGCCAAGUCAACGAUCGGCGACUACACAGACUUCUCGAUGUACUUCCCUUCUGUCAGUCAGGUGUCCCGUUCAACACGCCUAUAUUAUCGCUUGAUGCCACGUCAUCACUCCCGAUUACCUGAUCGGUACAAAAAGUAAUGAAGCACUUUUUUUUAAAAUAUGGGAUAUUUGAAAGGAUGAAUACAUGUAAAAAAAAAAUUGUUAUUGAAGUCAAUAUCAUUUUCAUGAUAUAUUUGUUGCAUUUCGAGACCACCUUCCUUCAAAUUUCCAAAUUUCUUUCCUUUCCUUGAGGGCUCAUGGAUUUUGCAACUCCAUAAUUACUAGUUAGACUCCAUUUAAAAAGAAAAAAAUAGACUAAAUAUUGUGUCUAUAUCGUGUUGUUGACGUCAUUGUUGCAACCACUUUUUCCUUUAGCUAUUUCUCCAUUAUUUAUCGUGUUGCACUCUUAGAGAGUGAGUUGUUCUAAAAAUUUCAUUUUGAAAGGUAUUAUUUAUGUUGUGGAAAGUUUGUUCUAGAAAUUAUGUUGUAAAAAGUUCGUUUCAGAAUGCAAUUCAUAUGUUAAAGAAAACUUGUUUUGAAUAACCCAUUAUGGAAAGCUUGUUGUAGAAGGUAUCAUAUUUCUUUUCGAGAGGUUGUUCCAAAAAUUCUGUAAUGAAAACCUUAUUUUAGAAUGUAUUUUCUUGAAAGUUUGUUGUAGAAAUCUUAUUGUAGAAAUCUUGUUCUAGAAAUCAUGUUUUGGAAAUUAUAGAAUGCUUGUUUUAGAAUAUUUUGAAACAUAUAAUAUGGAAGUCACUUUUAUAAAUGGUGAAAUUGCAAUUUUCAAUUUUAGAGCUACGGUUAAAAAUUAUAAGGGUGCAGCAAGAAAAAACCUUCCUUGAGUCCUAUUCAUACUAUUAAAUCCACUCUAUUAUUUGUAACUUGAUUUUGUCUUUAUUUUCAAGCUUUUAUUUCAUGCAUCCUAUUAUAUAUUUCAUGGCACUAAACUUUCACAUUACAAUCACGAAACCAAACACAUAAAAAUCUGGAGCAUCUAGAUUGUAUUAAUUAGGUCUUGAAAUCUAAUUGUUUAACAAGCAUUUGGUGAGCAUAAUUGGGUUACUUCAACGUGGCUUUGGGUCGACAAUCUCGGAAAACAACUCAAACAUCAACUUAUCAUUGUCCUUCGAAAUAUUGUGGUGCUCUUCGGUAUCAAACACUUCUUCACGAGCUUCCUCUUCGCUUUCGUCGGCACUCUCUUGCAGUUUCAAUGCAGACUCCAGCAUCAAAACGACAUCGUUCAUGGAAGGCCUCUGCACCCCUUCUUGUGACAAACAACUGAUUCCAAUCUCGCAAAACAUGGCGAAACACUGGGGAGCGAUCUUCCCCUUUAAUAUGGGAUCCACAAUCUCCGCCACCGUCCCGUUUUGGUAGCAAUAUCUGGCCCAAUUAGCUAGUGACACCUGUUCGAUUUCUUCUGUAUGGAUCACAGCAGAACGGGCACAGAGUACCUCAAACAACACCACCCCCAAAGAAUACACGUCAGACUUCUCCGUCAGCCGCUGCCGAAUAAAAUACUCCGGAUCCAAAUACCCAAAGCUACCUUUCACGGCGGUGCUCACAUGGGCCUUCGACAUCUCAUUCGGCCCUAUUUUGGAUAGCCCGAAGUCCGAAACUUUCGCAACCCACCUCUCAUCCAACAAGAUGUUCGUCGUUUUCACGUCCCGAUGAAUGAUCACGUGCUUCGCGCCACUGUGAAGAUAGCGUAGACCGCGCGCGGCGCCAAUGCAAAUCUUCAAGCGCUCCUUCCACGAGAGAGAGGGAUUGUCGGUGCCGUAGAGAUGGUCGCGGAGGUUUCCGCGUCCCAUGAAGUCGUAAACGAGGAUCAUCUCUUUGUUAUCGCAGCAGUAACCGAUGAGUGAGACCAGAUGGCGGUGGCGGAGCUGCGAGAGCAUCUGGAUCUCGUUCACGAACUCGCAAGCCCCCUGCUGGGAACCCUGUCUAAGGCGCUUGAUGGCGACGGGGAUUGAACCGUCCUCGAUGUAGCCCUUGUACACGUGGCCAAAUCCCCCGUCGCCGACGAUGAAGGCACUGUCGAAGUUUUUGGUGGCGGCUUUGAUCUCGACAAGGGAAAACCGACGGCAUUGAUCAGACGGCAGAGAAAAAUUGUGGUCCUUGGUUGACUUGUUCGUUGAGAACAACAGCGGAGUCCACUUGGAAGUGGUGGAGAACAGAACAAAGAAAACGACAAGCGAGAUAAAAACGACACCGGAUACUAUCCCCGCCGUGAUACCAAUCAUUCGCCUUCUGUUACUUCCCUUUUGGUGUGGUGUCUUAAUCGGGUCCGGGUUAGGUCCGGCGAGGCUGUUAGACCUUGUGUCGCUCAUUUUAAAGAUCUCGAGACCGUUGAGGAAGGAAUCGCUAUACUUGGUACCCCUACUAUCAUAAGGAUGCAAUUGCAGGGAGAGGUUAAUCUUUUUCUGAUAAAUAUUCUUGGAAAUGAAAACGGCAUACUCUUUAUACACGCCGAAACCUUUCUGUUUCUGGCUCCAUAACAUAACAUCAGCGCGACUCUCCGCCAACUUGCUUGCUAUGUAAAUGAAGAAGACCCUUUCACCGGCGUCUUCAAUAUCGUGCUCAAACUCGCAAAAGUGGAGCCUGAGGACGUAAGUGAAGCCAGAAUCAACGGGAAACUCCCAUGUGAGGUUGCUGAUUUGGUUCAGGGAGGCGUUAGAACCCAUGCUACGCGCUGUUCUGUACAGUUCCUCGGGUGCCACGUAGUCAGUCUUCACUGUUAUGUUCAUCUUUCUAUCCGCCAUUGCUGAUACACCAGUGUUUUGUUUAAUGAAAUAACGUUCUUCGUCACCGGCCCAUUUUCUGAACAAACCGGUGUCGUUUCUUGGCGAUAUUUCUUGUCCUCCCACAUUGAUUCUAUACCCAGUCUCCAUUGCAAAGCGGGUUCCAACAACGAAGGGUUUGCUACUUCCCACGUUCGUGAAGCCCGUGUCAGUUACUGACGUGUAAUAUAAAUUGCUUGGCAUGGAAAGUACCUCGAUUCCGUUGAUGAAAGCGUAGGAGUUGGACUGCGAGGGAGUGAAGAUGAGGAUAAGACCCUGACCGUCCUCCACGUAGACGAUGUAUUCUUUGAAUAUGAUUUCCUUGUUUUCAGCGUCGGCGUUGAGAGAGGCGUUGAAAUCUUGGAGGAGGAUGAAUUGGUUGGAGUGAACAGAGAAGGAUGAGAGGGUGCGAGGAAAAGAAGGGUAAGAAGCGGGGAAGAAGAAGAGGCGAAGGAAUUUUGGGCCCCCUGUGUGGAAAUAGAAGGAGUAACUGAACUGGGAAGGAGAAAGGCGAGCAGUGGCGUAGGGGACAUGGUUGGUGGAAGGAGAUAGCGUUGUGGGUUUAGCUGAAACGGUGGCGUCUUCGUUUGUUAAGAGCAUAGAAUCUAUGUCCCCGGUCCAUGUCCUUUGGCCGUCGUAGGAUGUUCCAGAGGAACCGCAAGUGAUGGUGAAAUUGUCGAGUGGGGUGUAGCCUUGGAAGUGUGGGAAGAGGAGGAGAAGGAGGAAGAUGACAGCGUUGAAGGUCAUGGUUUGCAGUGAGAGUGAUGGAGCCAACACUUAUUAUCAUCUUUAGGUUGCAAUUGCUAGGAAGGCCGCGAGAAACAAUACGACUACUACUACCUGCCAGCUGCGUCAAAUAAAAUACAAAAACUUUUGGUUAACAACCUCUGCAAAAUGUAAUGUGCCAAAAAAAUAUGAUGUCCGAGGCAAUUUUAUAAUAACAAUAAUGAUUUCAGAUGCAUGUGGGAGAAUGCUUUUAUGAAACUCUUGUCCACCACAAUUGAGGACUUCUCCGAUGACGGUCAUCUUCAUAUUCUGGUUUCGUCUCUUCGACGAGUUUCUAUGCUACGAGGCCAAGUUGAAAGUUGUUGUUCUCAUGGGUCGCUAUCCCUCCCAGAUCGUCAUGCGAGAUCGUCAUUGUCGUGUUUAACGUGAUGACAUACCGAAACAACUUUAUCGCGUUUAACGUGCGGUCGCUGUCGUAAACGAUGAUGCGGAACUGGUCGGCAUCAAAACAGAUCCAUACAACUCUCAAAAAGCUGUCAUUUGAUGAUUCCAUUGUUGGAAGACCUACUAUGCUAGAAUCUCAAUAAAAUACCACGACUCAAUAAAAUAACUAUUACAUCUCACAUAAUUACUUAUUUUAUUAUGUAUUAUAUCAUAUAUAUGUAUAUAAAAUUAGAGUGUUAGUAUCUUUACACUAAGAAUAAUAACUGCAUCCUACCUAGUAACUAAAUAAAGAUCCCCGAAAAUAUUCUUACAUUUCAUAAAUCAAUAUAUUAUUACUUUAAUUAUACUUUUUAUAAUUUAAUAUAAAUUAUUAAUAUAUAUUAUUAUAUUGGUAGACUAGUUUGUAAAGGGAAAAUAUUUUAUCUUAUAUGAAUAUCAAAGUAUAAUUUUUUUCUUAAAAAUUAAUAUUUUAAAUGUAUUUUUUAUUUUAAUUUAAAUUUUAGUAUAAUGGAUUUUCUAAUGAUUGUUUCCUUUCGGUAUGUCAAAGUAUUUUAUUUUCCUAAAAAAAUAUAUUCUUUUACUAAUUGAGUCUAAAGAUCAUUUGGAAAGCCGGCAGAUAUUAAUAUUAAUGUCAUGAGUCAAACAAAUACUACACUUGAUAUAAAUUUAUAUUUUUAUAUUUAUAACUAGUCAUAUUCAUUAAAAAUAUAUUUAUGAUUUAUAAUUAUAUAUAAAGGACUUAUGAAAGUUUAGUAUGUAUAUAUUUAACCUUUAAACAUCUAUUUGAUUCUUAUAACUACACUCGUUCACCCUUUCAAACAAUUUGUUUCUGUUUCAGCAAACUAAAAAAAAAUAUUGGAACAUCUCUAAAAUUAGAACAUGGUGAUGUUUUAAGAUUGUUGAGGUGAGUGUUGUGAAAAUCAAUCAUCCUUAUAUCCAGAGUUAUAAUAUAUUUAUAGGAGUAUAAGUUGAAACUAAAUCUUUCUACUUUUCUAAAUAUUUAGAGUUUAUUUUUUCUUUUAUCAACAAUGAAUUAAUAAAAUAAAACGAGAUACUUAAGCGGUGUUCCAACCCUUAUGCGUACCUUUCUCUGUAUUAAAGUUCAGCAAUUCAAAACACAAUAAAGCAAAAAAAAUCUUAAACUACCAUAGACCCUUGCCCUUACAAACCCAAAGGAAUAGAAAAGCACUUUAAACCAGUCCUAACAGUAUUGUUUAGCAAAGCUAUAAACACAUAAAAGAUUGCUUCCUCCACCCUAUGCAUAUGGUUGAGUUGCAUGUGAAUACCUUGCUACUGGACCUCAGAUUUCAAGCAAAAGAAAUUGGGAAUUAAUGCAUCAUAAACAACUAGCCAAUUGCUUACGAAUAAACUACUACAACACACCACGUUUAGGUUCACUUUCCAUUCUAGCAUACCAACUCCUUACAGGCUCACUGCACGGAUAAAACAACCAACAAGUCCAUUGCAUCUCCAUCAGCACACACGGAAGACGCACAAUUACAUCACCGGGAUUAGCAAAUACUGCUACAUACAACGAGAAAAAACCAGCAGAGCACCCUACUUCCCUGCUUUUGGUUAUGCAUUUGGAUAAAGCUGUACCUGCAAAAACUUCAGAUCAAAGUUAGCUAAAGACUGUUUCUGGUAUGUGAUAUGUAUAGUCAUUCUUCUUGCUCCAUAGGUAGUUUUUCUUUAAGACAGUCCCUUGACAUCAGCAUCAGGAAGUCAGAUAACAUAGCAAGCAGGGCUGCUGAGGUAGAAUUGACACCUCACUCUUUCAAUGUUCCACGUCUUUGCAUGCACCUUCCCACCACCUGUUUGAGCUUAUGUCCCACCAAUCUUAAAAAGCAUUAUGGAACCAUCCCACCACCUUCUUGAAUUCAGUUUCUAACCCCUGCACCUUUGUUACUUGGUCUUAGGUAUCGAUUAAGCUAAAGUUUUAUGGCCUUUCAGAAUCUUCUCCAGAGCCCCUCAACCAAUCUGAAUCUGUCAACCCCUUCCUUUGUCCACUUCAAACCAAAAGGCCCAAAAUCAACCCAUCCUUUACUUGAUUCCUCUCAAACUCCUGCAUAGCAGAAAGGUGUAUUGACGCUUCCUGCACUCAACCCCUCUGUGACACCAGUUAUGACUACUACUACUGCUAAGAACCUGCAGUUUUGUUCCCCAAAUUCUUCUGAUACUACCAGGAUCUCUUGUAUGCUAUAUUUGCUUCCAUAAUUGACAGAAUUGUAAUACAAAUACAACAAAUACUGACCAUCACUUAACACAUAGAGGCACAUAUUUCACCCCUCCAUCUCCAGAGUUUAUCCUCCCAUGUGUACACCAAUCACUCCCUCCUGUCAUCCACAGUUUCGAAUACAUUGGUUAGGAUUUAGAAUCCAAUCGGAGAAAGCAUAGAUAUAAAAGACUUUAUCUUAUGUUUCAACCAUAACCAAGAAAGCAGUUGCGCCGAAUGAAAUACUUCUUUUGCCUCCAGAACCCCUUGUUUAAAAAUAAUCUCAUUUCUUUGAUCCCAAAUAUAUCUUACUAUUAAAUCUCUUUGUUAAUGCUUAAUAGGCCCUAUAAAUGACUCUUUGGACAAGUUACAUUCUCUUUUAAUAGAAGAUCAAGCUAACUCUUGGUACACAACCCCUCAGGCCUUUUCAAGCAAAAAGCCUUAUACUCAAGUUUUGGACGAGUUAAGCCUUAAAAAAUUGUUAAACUAAUUCAUAACUAACUAGUUUAUUUUAAACAAGAAAUAGAAAGAUAAAACCCAUUUCAAAAUGGUGUGACAUUAAAACAAAUUUAAUGUAGUUAACCGAAGCAUUUGAGCUAAAAACGUAUCAGAAUUGAAUAACUAUUUGAUCGUCGAUCUGAGUAGAGGUUUAUGAAAUUGUCUUAAUAAGAAUACCUGAUAGAGGACCAUCAAGCCACCACAAAUUUGGACUAAGAAGAUUGAAUAAGAUAGAGCUUUCAUUACAACAUCUAUUUCUAAGAGUCUUUUUCAUCUUCUUAGUCUUGUAUAAAGUAGUGGAGUUUGGUAAUUUUUGUAUAGGAUUUAAUUGAACUUGUAUUUGGGCCUUAUUUGGAAUUUUACUUGGGCCAUGUAUUAGGCUUAUUUUCAUGGGUCAUGUAUUGAGCCAAUUUGAGUAGGGUGUAAAUAGGAAAAAGAGUACAGUUAGAGUUACAAUUGGGCCUCUUUGGACCCAAUGCAACUUUAGACCAUCUAGGGUGCACAAAUAAAUUACUACAAUACAAAUAGAAACACAUGGAGUGUCAAGGAAUGCAUGAAGGUCCCCAUGUCAUCCUCUCAAUGGAGAGGAUUCCUACCAAUGCCAAAACACCACUUGUCUUCAUGGGAAUGGAGAUGAUUCUCUCCAAUUAAAGGAUGAUACUUGUCUACCUCUAAUUUGAGAGGAUUUGCUCUAAUUUGAGAGGAUUUGCUCUAAUGAGAGGAAGUCAAUUGUCACCAUGGGAGUGCAGAGUUUUUAAGGCUAAAACUUGUACCUUGAUUUCCCUUGGACCUAUAAAUACAAUUGUUAGCCCUAUUGUAAAUGAGCUUAGAAUUUAUUAAAGAAAUGUUGCCCAAAGUUGUGCACAUCUUGUCUUCUUUUCUCACUCUUUGUUAGCACUAGUUUUGUGUCUAGCUUAGAAAUUUUUACAAGUUGACCUAACCUCUUCUAAGUCUCUAUAUUGACCAACCAAAUUCAUCUUCUCCGUUUAAAUUUCUUCAUCCAUUUAACUCAUACAAGGCAUCCAAAAAAUCACAAGAUAUUAAAAAUCCCAAAGAGCUACAUGGCUUCAACAUAGGAUUAGAUCACUACCACUUUGACUUACAUGAGUGAAAUAAAGGCCAGAGAGUCUCGUUCUAGAGAGAAGAAACUUACACACUCAAUGAAUGAGAAGUGAAUUGUCCUAAGAUUGAGAUGGUUGAGAUAAAAGGGGGAUGUAGACAAAUGUUAAUGAAAAUCUUAAGUUGUAAAUAAGAUACUUAUAACCGAGCCCUGUUUUUUAUAACUUAUUAAUUGAAACCUUAAAGCUUAAAUUGUAGGUAAUUAACCGAGAUAUAACUUAUAACUUAUCACAACUUAUAAAUAGUGUAUUUAAGUGGUACCUCGUUAUUAGUGCAUGAUGUGUGUCAUUUGAAGACUUCGUGAAUUAAUUAUUAAAAAAGAGAGAUUCAAAUCCCGAUCAAAGUCGUAAUGGGGUGUACAACUCCACGUGCAUGUCCCAACCUAAUGAGGAUUAGAAUCUCGUUUAUAACUGUGUUGAGUUUUACAAACCUUGUGUGCAUCUCUCGACCUUGAUGAAGAUUAAAUUUUUUAUCAGAGUUGUAAUGAGGUGUACAAACCUCGCUUGCAUGUCCUGACCGUGAUGAGGAUUAACAUCUCGAUCAGAGCCAUAAUGAGGUGUACAAAAACCUCAUGUGCAUAUCCUAGUAAGAUCCCGUUAAAAGUCGUAAUGGGUUGUACAAACCUCAUGUGCAUAUUUUGACAGUGAUGAGGAUUACAAUCUCGAUCAUAGUCAUAAUGAGGUGUACAAAACACGUGUGCAUAUCCCGAUCGGAAUGAGGAUUAAGAUCUUAAUUAGAAUCAUAAUGGGGUGUACAAAACCUGCAUGGAUAUCUUGAAUAUGAAGAGGAUUACAAUCCUGAUCAGAAUUGUAAUGAGAUGUACAAAUCUCCCAUGCAUAUCCCGACUGUGAUGAGGAUUAAGAUCCUUAUUAGAGUCAUAAUGGAGUGUACAACCACACAUGCAUAUCCCAAAUGUGAUGAAGAUUAAGAUCCUGAUCAAAGUCAUAAUGGAGUGUACAAACCCCACAUGCAUAUCCCAAUUGUGAUGAGGAUUAAGAUCCUAAUCAAAUCACUUGAAUAUUAGAAAUCACCAACAAUUUAAUUUCUCUACACCGUCAAUAUAGAAUGUUAGCGUAGUGAAUUGUCUGGUUGAAUGAUUGGAUGUUAACCUGGUAAUGAUGGGACAACUAAAAAAACACUGAGAAAAAAUUGAGACAAUAGUCAUCAUAAUUUAUUACGAAAAACUACGGAAAAAGCAAAAGAAAUGAUAUGCGAUACCAGAUUUAGGGUUUGAAAGUCGGUUAAAUGUAGAGAAGGUGUUAGUACCCUACAACGUUUGUCUUAAGACAAUACCUUUUAUUAAAUAUGCAAAAAUGAAUGUGACUUUUUUUAGAAUAUUUAUUUCCUAAAAAAACAAAAAUGCAUGUGAAAAUAAAGAACAUAUUUUUUAAAUUUUUUAUUUGGGUAUGAGUCGUCCGUAUUAGGAACAUGUGUUUUUCUCUUUUCAGAUCAAAUUUAAUGACUUUAUAUUAUAUAUUUUCACAACUACUUAAUAUUCAUGCUAGGUUCUAAAUAACCAUUUACUUUUUAAAAUAUAUUCAUUUUGUUAAUGAUAAUAAUGGAAAUCCUUAUUAAUAAUAAUUAUAUAUAUAACAUAAUUUAAAUAAACAUAAAUAAUAUUAAAAUUAUCUAAAUAAAUUAACUUAACUAACAAAAUUAAUUUAAAUAUACAAAAUUAUUUAUUUAUUUUUUUGAAUUUUAAAUUAUUAUUUUUUUGUUUAUAAUUAAAACUUUAAUUUUUUUUAAUUAAAUAUAAUGUGCACAAAUUAAUUAUCAUUUAUUUCUUCUUUUUCUGUAUACAAGAGUAAAUUUGUAAUCUUACAUUGUACACAAUUAAAAAUAAUUCAAAAUAUCCUUAUCAUCAUCACAUUACUCACAUAUUUUAAUAAAUUUUUAUCACACAUCCACUCUAACAUACAUCAAUCCAAACACUCUCAACUUUUUUUUAGACUUUCUUUCUUCACACUUUUACUCUCCCACACAAUCUUAUCGAAAGCAUUAAAGGGAAUCAAGUCCUUGAACAAAAAGGGUACUAAAAUCUUCCAUCUCAGCUUUACUUAACACCAGUCCAAUCUCAAUUCCUCCACUGAUAUCCCUACUUUCACUGAGAGAAAAUGCUCUGGUUUUGUCUGUGGAUAUGAUAUCCAUCUUCUUUGGCCUUCCCCACCCAAAAUCAAUACUAUAAAUCUCCAACAAUGGAGAUCCAGUAGUAGAAAAGAUUAUAGUGUCCCUGAGUUUAUCCAUACCCGCACCCCAUGUUUCUGCUCCCUUCAACACUCCCUCUUCUUUCACCCUGUUCAAAGUCUCAACUAUCCCCUCCAAAGCACAAAUGAACCCAUCUUUUUCAACCAACUUCUUAGUCGGGACCACAAAGCUCCCUCCUCCAACGCAGUUUCCAAAAUAUGUGGCAGGAAUUGGAGGGUCCAAGCGCGAUCUACAGUCAAUACCAAAUACGAAAAACAUAUUUUCUUCCUUCAUUUGUUUCACUUUGACCAAACACGCCAACACUUAAGCACACGUGACACAAAAGGUUGAGAGAUGAACAUUCACUUUCAUCUUAGAGCUUCCAUGUUGUUUGAGCUUUAGAAUCUGUGAAGGGGUCAAUUCAAACAAACCUUUGAGUGCAUCGCUUGGUGUUUCCGUAAGAGAGUCCCACACCUUGAGACUUCGGUUAUUGGAACCAUUCUUAUUCUUCCACGACUCCGUGUACAGUUCACCGAUUCCAGAAGGGUCUCUUAUCAAUGAUCUGUCAAAGAAAGGUGUAAGAUGCUGAGGUAAGGACGGUGUUGGGGUGGGUGUAGUAGGGUUUUGAAGGGUAGAGCAUAUGUAGGCCCAUGAUUUGAUGAACAUGAUAGAAGAUAUUCCGUCGAAAGCUGCAUGGUGUGAGUUGAUUCCAAUGCAAAAGCCAGCAUUUGGGAACACAGUGACUUGAACUGCCAACAGAGACGAUUUAUCAUGGGAAUUGACCAAGUUGGGUGCUAAGUGGUAUCGUUGUGAUGCUUCACAGAGAUAGGAGGAAAGAUGGUUGAAGUUUUGGUGGGACUCAGCAACAGUGAAGGAAACAGUGUCGCCGGGGAGAUAGUUGAUGAUGGGUUGGGGAGAGUGAGAGGGCCAUGUGAGGGUGCCGGCGAAAGGUAGAAAGUGUUGGAGAGUGAGGGAAAGAGAGUGUUUGAGAGAGGGAAGAAGAGAGUGAAGGAAUGAAGAGGUUGGGUGUGGGAAGGGAUAGAACAAGAGAAGUUCAACAGGUGGAAAUCGAAGCCAUAAGAUGUCGAAGAAGGUUAGUGGAAGAGAGGUGGGAGGAAGGGUUGGUGCAUGAAAUGGUUCCACUGAACAAACUUGGAUAACUUUGAGAGGUUCCGGUGAUGAUGCUGGUUCAGCCAUGGUUCAAAGGAAGCCAAGGGAUGAGGGUUUUUAUAGGAUGGGGGCACCUUCAUAACCUGCUAUAACUACUUUUAGCGGUGAAACUAAAGGGAUUUAUUUUAAAAAUAUAACAUAUUUAUUAUAUAAAUUUAGUUUGAUAAAAAUAAAAAUAGUAUAAAAAUAAGUAAUGCGGUUAUUUGAUAAACAUAUCAUAUCAAUAAUACUAAAUAAAAAGAUUUUAUUGACACCAAAAAGUAAGAUACAUAGCUAUGACAAACUAUUAUGAUAAUAUAAUAAUAUUUUAUAUAUUUUUCCAAUACCAGGAGAAAGAGAAAAAACAAAACAUAAGGUGAAUCAGAGCUAAAUAUUCGACGAAGACCCGUAGGCAGAGAUUGACCCAUCCAUCAACAAACAUUCAGCACAACCAUUCUUUUAUCUGAACAAAUGCUGAUUGGAAAAAAUUUCCAGUCUGGAGAAGUAGUUUUUUUCUUUUUUAUCAUAAUAGAAUGAUAAUCAUCACCGAAUAAACUUUUGGAACGGAACAAAGGUUUAAAAAAGAUGGAGGCUCGGUGGCAAGGAGGUCAGGGAGGACCUGGUUCAAACCGUAAAGUUCAUAGUAGCUCAAAUAAUUUUACAACGUUCUUCUUUGCAAAUAUCUCAAAUGGGUAUGGGAAAUUGGACAUGAUCAAGAUUUUCAAAAGAUGGAUUAGGGUUAAGGAAGUGUUUAUCUCAAGAAGGCUUAAUAAUUGGGAGAGAAGAUUUGGGUUCGUUAAAUUCUUCGAAGUGAGGAAUGUGGGGAGGAUAGAGAUGGAUUUAGAUCAGAUAUACAUUGGUAAUAAGAAGCUACACUAAACAUUUCGAGAUACAGCAGGAGUGAGGUGGAACCUAAAAGGGUGGAGAGCGAAAACAGGGUGAAGCAUACAGAGAAGAUAAGGAACCACAGAAAGAUGCAAGAGGAGACUCGUGUCUUCCAUGAUCAGAAGAGAACAAAGGAGGUUUGGAAGGUGAAGACAGGGAGAAAAUCUUUUGUGUUGUCAAAGAGGAUUCACAAAGGAGUUGGAAGGGGCCAAUCAUUAAAACAGAACAACAGGUUUUACCUUGGAUGGAGUACAGCGUGAUUGGGCAGUUUAGAGUGAAUUGGACUUUGAACAGCUGGGUGACAAAUUUGUGAAAGGAGGCAUGAUCAUGGUUAGAGUGAGGUAUAUGGAAAUAAUCUCGUCCUCCUUACCCCGCGAGAAGAUCACAUGACAGUGCAUAAAGUUCUACACAAGUCCCCACUUGAAAUCAAAGGGGUCCCCAAAUACAUUGACACACCAGAAGUGAAACUAGUAUUGCACUAUCCAAUUCCCUAACCUUAAUUAAGCUCACUAGAGUCCCAUUUGAACCCUCACAAUACCAAAACAAAUAACUUUCAAACAAUAAGUUGGAGGAUCACAUGACAAUGCAUAAAGUUCUACGCAGGUCCCCACUUAAAAUCAAAGGCGUCGCCACAUACAUUGACACACCAGAAGUGAAGCUAGUCUUGCACUAUCCAAUUCCUUAGCCUCAAUUGAGCUCACUAGAGUCUCAUCUGAACCCUCACAACACCAAAAAAAAUAACUUCCAAAAAUUAAGUUGGAGAAUCACAUGACAGUGAAUAAAGUUGUACACAGGUCCCCAAUUAAAAUCAAAUGGGUUUCCACUUCACAGGUCUGGUCUCGUGUGCAUCUCUCGACCUUGAUGAAGAUUAAAUUUUUUUUAUCAGUUAUAAUGAGGUGUCUUUAUUUAAACUGCCUUCUGUGGUGGCAGACAAGUUAGUUCGGAUCCAAAGGAAUUUCCUUUGGGGGUGGGGCUCUGAUGGAAGGAAGAUCGCUUGGGCUUCUUGGGAUAAGGUGUGUGAGCCUCGGGAUUCUAGAGGUCUUGGAAUCAUUGAUCUUAGGAAAUUUAACUUGGCUUUAUUAGGAAAGUGGAUUUGGAGACUGGGUACGGAUAAAGGAGGUUUGUGGAAAGAGAUUCUUUAUUCUAAGUAUGGUGGUUGGAGAAGUUUGAGAGAAGGCGGUAAGUCUAGUAGGGGCUCUCUCUGGUGGAAAGAUUUGAAGGAGGUGUGGGAUUCAGAGGGUUGGGGUAGAAGUUUUAAAGAUGGGUUUAAGUGGAAAGUGGGGAAAGGUAAGGAGAUUUUUUUUCUGGGAGGACAGUUGGUUGAGCUGUGGUACUUUGAAGGGAGUUUUUCCAAGAUUUUUCUCUCUAAGCUCGGCUAAAAACGCAAAAAUGGCUGAGCUUGGGUAUUGGUAUAAUGGUGAAUGAGUGUGGAAUUUGGACUGGCGUAGAUCAUUUUUCGACUGGGAGAAGUCUUUGAACAGCUGUUUCAAAGUCUGCAAAAGGUGAAGUUGGUUUUUAGGGAGGCGGACAGUUGGGUCUGGAAGAUUGGGGAGAGUCAAACUUUCUCAGUCAACUCUGCCUAUGUUCAGGUAAGGCGGGUUAGAGGAGGGGAGUAUUCUCCUGUGUAUAGUAAGUUGUGGAGGUGCAAAGCCUUGCCAUCUGCUUUGUUCACUGCUUGGAGGGUGUUGGAGAAUAGGAUUGCCUCUAGGGUUAACUUGGUAAGGCGCAGAGUGGCGGUAGAAAAUCUCUUGUGUUGUUUGUGUGGGGAGGAGGAGGAGUCAUCUUGUCACUUGUUCUUUGUUUGCAGGUUUUCUUGGCGUGUCUGGUGUCUGUGCUUUAAGUGGCUUGGUGUGUCGUCUGUAAUUCACAAGGACCCUAAGUCAAAUUUUUCACAAUUCAGGAUGAGUCAGGCUUCUGUUUCGGUUAACGAAGUUUGGGGUACAAUUUGGGUUGGCAUUGUGAGCGAAAUCUGGAAACAUAGGAACUCGGUCAUCUUCAAUAGAGGUGUGGCAUAUGUGUCUGAAGUAUUCGCUUCAAUGCAAGUAAAGGUAUGGUCUUGGAUUUAUGCAAAGUCUCGUUCUGCUUAUUUCCCUUAUUCUAGUUGGGUUUUAAAUCCUUUGGCUUGUAUGAGGUUUAUUCAUUAACAUUGGUUAGUGUUGGUAUGGUUAUCCCUUUGCUAAUUUGGUAAGCGUUCUAAUAGGAGACUGGUAUCAAGUAUUUUUGUAUAAGGGUUGGACCACCCCUGAAGUGGUCCCUAUUUAUUUAUUUAUUUGUUUUAUUGUUGAUAAAAAAAAUAAUGAGGUGUCUCGACCGUGAUGAGGAUUAACAUCCCGAUCAGAGUCAUAAUGAGGUGUACAAACCUCAUGUGCAUAUCCUAGUCGCGAUGAGGAUUAAGAUCCCGAUAAAAGUCGUAAUGGGGUGUACAAACCCCGUGUGCAUAUUUUGACAGUGAUGAGGAUUACAAUAUCGAUCAUAUUCAUACUGAGGUGUACAAAACACGUGUGCAUAUCCCGAUCGUAAUGAGGAUUAAGAUCUUAAUUAGAGUCAUAAUGGGGUGUACAAAACCCGCAUGGAUAUCUUGAAUGUGAAGAGGAUUACAAUCCUGAUCAGAGUUGUAAUGAGAUGUACAAAUAUCCCAUGCAUAUCCCGACUGUGAUGAGGAUUAAGAUCCUUAUUAGAAUCAUAAUGGAGUGUACAAACCCCACAUGCAUAUCCCGACUGUGAUGAGGAUUAAUAUCUUGAUCAAAGUCAUAAUGGAGUGUACAAACCCCACGUGCAUAUCCCAAUUGUGAUGAGGAUUAAGAUCCUUAUUAGAAUCAUAAUGGAGUGUACAAACCCCACAUGCAUAUCCCGACUGUGAUGAGGAUUAAGAUCCUGAUCAAAGUCAUAAUGGAGUGUACAAACCCUAAAUAUUAGAAAUCACCAACAAAUUUAAUUUCUCUACAGUGUCAAUAUAGAAUGUUAGUGUAAUGAAUUGUCUGGUUGAAUGAUUGGAUGUUGUUUUAACCUAGGUCAUGACGAGACAACUAAAAAAACAUUGAUAAAAAAUUCAUACAAUAGUCAUCAUACUUUAUUAUGAAAAACUACGGAAAAAGCAAAAUAAAUGGUCUGUGAUACCAGACUUAGGGUUUGAAAUUUGGUUAAAUGUGGAGAGGUCUUACCACCCUACAACGUUCGUCUUAAGACAAUACCUUUUAUUAAAUAUACAAAAAUGAAUGUAAUAUUUUUUAGAAUAUUUAUUUUCUAAAAAAACAAAAAUACAUGUGAAAAUAAAAAGAAAAUAUUUUUUAAAAUUUUUAUUUGGGUCUGAUAAUAAUUAACCUUAGUCGUCUGUAUUUUCAUUUACAAUAGAAAAUUAAGUUUUACAUAAGGUCAAAAAAAUGUUGAUUGGUUUUUAUAAUUUUAAAAUUUUAAAAUUUUAUAUUUUUUAGGAUUUAAUUUUUUUGUAUAAUUCACGCUAAUUAAAAUAUAAAAUUGUUCGAGAGACUAUAUUUAAUACUCUAUAUACUCUUUUAUGAAUCAUAUAGUAAGUACAAAAAAUAAUGUAAAUUAUACAUCGAUAUUUUGAUCGUUUACAUUUUAAGUGAAAUUUUCACUGUCAAAACAUAUUUUUUUUAAUGAAAAUUCAUAUUUCUUUAUUUAUUUCAAUAUAUCAAAGAGAUGAUGUAAUCAUACAAGUGUCUAAAAUUUAUUUGGAGAUAGUAUCAAAAUUAUAUUUUUAUUUCUUCUUUUUAUUAUUUUUGAACAAAAUAAAAAAAAUGUUGUGUAUAUGAAAAACGGGUGCCAAAUAGUAGGAACAGAGCCGAAUAAAAGGCCUGCGCUUUUCAAAGAAAAUUAAAGUUGGUGUAUAAAAUAAAUAGCGUGUGACAAAUAACAAAAAGGUCUGGCCAGCUGUUUGUGAAAAUGGUUGGCUAGACAAAUAGGCCCAGUUUGUUUUGGAAAAAACAUUAAACCGACAGGAUGGUGCAUAUAAAAAAUAUGCUGCAAAUAGUUAAAGACUGGGCCGAACUAAUGGGCCCAAACUCUCUCUUCUUUAAGAGAACAAAAUGCUGGGCUUGGUAAUAUCAAACUGGGGGCCUCAAAUAGUAAAUGGUCUGCAUUUCAAAAUAAUAACAAAAAAUGGAAAAAUUGUCAUCAAUUCCUUUUAAAUGGAAACAAAAACAAAAAUAGCCCCAUACCAACCAAAUGAGAAAAAAAAGUAUCUCUCCACCUCUAUAUUAAUUGUGAAAAAUCAGUUUUAACCUUUUAAAAUUUUUUAAAUAACCCUAUGUGAAGUAUAAUCUCAUAUUUUUUUAAUAACUUCAGUUGCACCUCAUACUUCCCUUUCAUUCUUCUCUAGCCCUAGCGUUUGAGAGGAUGGUCUCAUCAUUUGAGCGCAUGUGAGAUGGUUAGUGAGAAGAUUCGUUAUAUUCAAUGUUUUCUAAAUAUUUUGUAUUCCAUUUUUGUACUUUGUUGAUUUUUUUUCUAGGUUUUGUGUCUUCUAAAUUUUUUUAAAAAAAAUAACGAAAAUACAGUUAUCAAUAAAAACAUUACAAAAUUUAUUUCAACCAAAAUUUACCACCGACUAAACCCUAAACCCUAAUCUUGGACGUAAAUAUAUAACUAAAAGAAGCACCUACAAACUUAAAAACUUACCGAGACAAAAACGUAUUCUACGAAACUUUGUGCAGCGGACACUCAUCAACCAUGGAGAAAAACCAUUGCAGUCAUCACCUGUUAACAAAAAAAAAAAACACGUAUCCUUAACCUCUACAUACGAGACACGUGUAAGGAUAAUGUCUGAGGGAAGAAAGGAAGAAGGAAGAGAAGGAAAGAAAGAUUUUACUGUGUUCUAACUGUUUUACAGAAAUCAGAGGGUCAUAUCUAUAAAACUGAGAAAGGGAUAGAUGGUCCCAUGAACAGUAACACGGUCUAUCUCGUAACAUCUUUCCUUAAAAUUGCGGUGGGAAAAACACGAACCACAAGUUUAAAGUUUAUGUCUAAGUCUAAUAAGGAGGCACGCACACGAUAUAGGUUUCGUGAAAAGAUCAACAACUUGAAAGUAGAUAGAUUUGUGAGAAGGUCACUAAUUUAGAAGUACGUUGGAAAGUGAAUGAGUUCGAGUAAACGUUUUUUUAUGAACCUGACAAGAUUUGUCUAACUCAAAGUGUUCAUCUAACUCAUUAUUUGGAGUGAGAAUGUAUAAUAGACUUCAUUAUUGUUAUGAGAAAAAAAAAAUUAAAUUAAAUUAGUUACUAUAGCAAAUUUUAUAAACAGAUUCAAAGAUACUGGUGUGUUUAAAAAAUAUUAUAUAUAGGUGCAAAAAGAAAAGAGUCAAGCAGCCUCUAAGUUCAAUAAGAGAGUCUUAUAAAUAGAUGUUCAACAUAAAAGGUAAGUAGAGUGAAUUAGAUAUCAAUUAUUUAGAUUCUAAAUUUGCUAGCAAAAACCUUAGUUGCUAAUUUGAUAUCAAUAUAAAAACCAUUUAACAAUAAUGGAAACUAAUUUAGAAACUAAAUUUUUUUUGUCUCAAAAAUGGUUUCUACUUUAGUCACUAUAGCAACUAAUUAUUUUUUGUCUCUAAAAUUGGACUCUAUUUCAUGAUUUUCUUGUAGUGCAAUGUGUAGCUCAGUGAGAAACGAUUGGACCCAAGUGAUGUUAGCAAGCUGGUAUGCUUCUCUAUUUUUUGGUACUACUAUGGGAAACAACUUUUUAUUUUUGAGAGUCCCAUGAGAUUAAGUUGCAUCCAAAAUACACACAAUAACCAGUUGUAGAUCGUUUGUUGUAUAUAUCAUACCCCUAGUCUACAUCACUAAAGUCGAUGAUGGAAAAACUAGAAAAUAAUGGGUUAAGAAUAAGACCACGAUGCAUUGUGCCAACUAAGUACCGUAAAAUCAAUUUGACAACCUUCCAAUGAUGUUCUUCAGAGUUAUGCAAUUAUUAGCAAACUUUGUUGACAGAGAACGAGAGCUCCAAUCUAUUGAUAGUAAGAUAUUGUAGAACACCGACUACAGACUACAAAUCUAUAAUGAGUGAAGUCUUGAAUAACAGUGAUUCUAUCUUGUAUUAGCUUGAGAGAAGAGACCAUAGGGGUUGCUUGAGGACGAGCAAUUUAGCAUGUGUGUUCUGUUAAGAAGUUCUUUGGUAUAUUUGCUUUGAGUUAGAUGAAGACCGUCAUUAGAUGUAGGAAAAACCUUUAUUCCAAGAAAGUAGUGUAGGUAACCGACGUCUUUUAACGAAAAUUUAGAUUGAAGAAUGUUGAUGAAUUAUUGAACAACGAUAGUUGUGUUUCUUGUUAUUAUUAUGUCAUAAACAUAUAUGAAAAUGUAUAAUGUGUUACCAUGCCAAAAUUUGAUGAAGAGAGAUGAAUCGUUGACUCAAGCAUCAAAGCCCAUGUCUGAUAGAGUUUGACUUAUUUUGUAAAACCAGGAUCAAGGAGCGUGCUUCAAGUUGUAGAUAACUUUAUCGAAUUUGCAGACAAGAUGAGGGUGAUUAUAAUUGAAACUCGAUGAUUGUUAUAUGAAGGCAAUCACUUUGGGUGUGUUUGGAUUGAGGAGAGGAUUUGAGAGAGUGAAUUUAGAGUGAUUUGAGAGAAAAGUGUAAAGAAAGAGAGGUUGUUUGGAUUAGGGUAUAUUAUAGUGGAUUUGUGAAGAAAGUUUAUUGAAGUUUGUGAGUGAUAUGAUAGUUGUAAGAAGAUUUUUAUUUUUUUUAAAUGUGUAAAAUAGAAGUUUACAAAUUUACCCUUUCUCUAAAAAAUAUUUAAAUAAUAAAAUAUAAGAUUUUUAUAAAUAUAAAUUUUAGUUAAUUUAGAUUUUAUAAAUAUAUAUAAAAAUAUUUUCAUAAUACUAUUAUUAUAUAAAUUAUCUUUUAUUAUAAAUAAUUAUAUUUAUUAUUAUUAUUUUAUUUUUAUAAUUAAUUAUUAUUAUUAAUAUUAUUAAAUAAAUUUAUAACAUCAAGGAUAAUAAGGAUAAUUAACAAUGUCUAUGUGGCUUUCUUUGUAUAUCUUCGGACACAAGUGAAGAUAGAAAAAGUUAUUUCCGUAUUUUUUUCGCUCACAAAUGCUCGGUAAUUAAUAGAAAUAGACAAAAAUAAAAUAAUCCAUGCUUUUCUUUCUUCGUGUACAGUGAAUAAGCAGAAAAGCUUUGAGAUUUCCAUGAGAAUAUGCAUUAUCAAUAUCAAAUAUGAUGGAUGAGUCACUUCAUAAACAACGCUUGAGUGAAAAUGUGGCAGACUUGACAACUGGACUAAAUGUACUAGAUUUUUUUUUUGUUUUAUACCGUGCUAGAUUUUGUUUAUAUCUUAAUAAAUACUAAAUGAUAUGAGCAACUAUAAUAAUAAUAAUACUAGAUAUUCAAUAAAUAUUUUAAUCACAAUUUAUUAUUUGUAAGAUUUUUAAAAAAAUAAAAUAAAGUAUUUAUAAAAAAUGUUACAGAACUUAUUCUUUUUAAAAUAUUUUAUAAAAAUAAAAAUUUCAAAAUAAUUAAUUUUAAAAAAAAUUCUCUUUAGAAAAAUCUAAGACUUAUAUAAAAAAUUUAAUAAAAAGAAAAAUGAUUGAUUAACACCUUAACGGUCCUUUGUAUCCAACGACAGAAUUUUAGAGAGUGAAAAAAUGCACUGAAAACACACGAAUCAAGAAAUAAAAAAAUAUUAAAAUAUAAAAAUUGAGACAAAAUUGUAUGAGUGUUCUUUCUUUACAUACGAAGAAUUAUAAAAUGAUAUAAAUUUUAUAUUAUUUUUUCACAUAAUAUAAAUUUUAUUAAAAUAUUAAUAAAUAUAUAAAAUGAUAAUUAAAAUAAAAUAUAAAUAAUUAAUUUAUGAAAUAAUAAAUAUAAUUAAAAAUAAUAAUUAAUAAUGAUAAAAAUAAAUAAUAGUAAAAUUAAAAUUAAUUUAUAAUAUAUGUCCCGACCAGUCUUUGGUCAUCGACUCAGAGACUGACCUCAGACAUCGUGCAUCGAUGCUUGGUAAGGGACGGGGGCCACGAGGCGGAACCCAGAUGAUAAGUGCCAAUGUGUAGUUUUUAUGAUUGAGAAAAUUGAACACUUUGGAACUUAAUUGUUGCUUAAUGUAAGAAAAUUACCCUAAUCUGAGAAUUAUUGAAUCUGAUUAUAUAUUUUGAACCAAGAAACAAAUGAAGAAAUUUAAUCUCAAUUUUUGUGUAAAUUGCAGAUGAAUAUGAAGCAUUGAAAGAAUUAUUCAAGCUGGCAUUGAAAGAAAGAAAGUAAAAACUUAAUUGGAUCACAAGAAGAUUUAGCUCAAGCUAGAGGAUUUAGCUCAAGCUAAAACUGUCUAGAGUUGAUUAAAGGUGCAGUACAAUUCUAGCCCAGGCUAGAAUUGCUAGCUCAAGCUAAAACUGUCCAGAGUUGAUUAAAAGGUGCAGUACUGAUCUAGCUCAGGCUAGAAUCGCUAGCUCAAGCUAAAAAUGCACCGAAAGAUCUAGCUUAAGCUAAAAUGGGCUAGCUUGAGCUAAAGUUGAUUAUAUAAAUUCUGAAACAUAACUCAAAACCAGCGGUGGAAAACAGAUUGGGUUUUUUAGAGAGAGACUAGUGAGAGAAAGAGAAGAAACCUCUGUUCUUAGGAGAAGAACUUGCUCAGAUCAGCCCUUCUUAUGCAAUCCAGAUCAAGAAUGAAGAUUGGAGGAGCUGUCAUGAGUGGCUAAGUUCUUUCUAACUUGGGAUUGAAUGUAAUUUAUCUUGAUCAAAUGUAUUCUUGGUGAUAUAUAUAUAUAUAUAUAUAUAUAUAUAUAUGUGCUGUAGAUUGCCGAUCUUUGGAGGGGCUUUACGUUAGCGCAAGAAUCAANNNNNNNNNNNNNNNNNNNNNNNNNNNNNNNNNNNNNNNNNNNNNNNNNNNNNNNNNNNNNNNNNNNNNNNNNNNNNNNNNNNNNNNNNNNNNNNNNNNNUCUAUAUUUGAUAAGUUGGUUUUGUUACAUCCAGAAUCAAACCCUAAAUCUUUGAGUUCUUGUGAAAUCUUUAAUUUGGUUAUGAACAAAGUCUCAAAAUUAUUUUCUAUACUUAGUGAGUUUUAAAACAGAACAUCUUAAUUAGAAUUGUUCCCUGUGGGUUCGACAUUCGUACUUUAAAGAGUACUAUAUUACAGUUGAUUCGGUACACUUGCCGAGAAAUAUCAACACCAGACACACUUACCAGGGGAACAAUUAGUCUUUGGACAUUGGUAUCAUAGACCCCGAUGUUGGAGAUCGACAUCGGACCCCGCCAGUAGAGGGAGAAGAUCGGACAUCGGUGGUUUGAACAUUGUACAGGGCCACGUAAGGUGGGCCCUAAAGUUAUGAUAAGUUAACAGUUAAAGACAUGAGAUAUGUGGGAAGCCUAAGUCACGAGGGAUCCAUGCACGUGGUGUGUAUGACGCAUGAAGGCGCAACACGUGUGAAUAAUCCUGGGAGGCGUUAAAGCCCAUUAGGGUUAGGGUUUUCAGGGAAAGUUGCAUGCAUGGCACGUGAAUACUUAGGGAACCCACAAAGCAGAUGGCGCUAGAGAUUAGGUGCACAAGUUGGUACCCAAGCGGCCACUCUGUUAUUCGUUGCACUCCAGAUAAGGGAAGUUCAUGUGCUAGAUACGCUAAGAUUCUGUGAAUAGCGGCGCAAGGACGCUCCCCAAGGAACCCUAGAUAAGGGUAACAACACAAAGGUAAACCCUAGCUUCAACCUAUAUAAAGGGUGCCAAAACCCUAGAAAGGUACACAGUUUCUAAGACUGAAGCUAAUAUACACACUUGGUGUUUCUUUGCCCUAAUACUGACUUGAGCGUCGGAAUGCAAACGGUCGCUAGGGCGUCCUUUUGUCUUUGCAGGUGAGAGGUUUCUUGAUCAAGGACAUUAGAUUCUCAGGCGGAGAUAGAAGGGCCAAAGGCUACCGUUGGAGUCAACCGGCAAAGCGAGUCAACCGGCAGGAACAAUAUACAUUUUACACCUUUUAAAAAAUUAAAAAAAUUUCACACAAUCAUCACAUUACUCACAAAAUUCAAUAAACUUUCCUCACAAAUCUACUUUAACAUACCCCAAUCCAAACAACCUCACUUUCCUCUCAAAUUAAUCCAAAUCCACUCUCUCAAAUCUCUUCCCCAAUCCAAACACACCAUAAACGAUAAUUUACAUUUUAUCUAUAUCUAGAAAGAAAAAAAUAAUGUAAUUUUAAAACAUGUAUAUAUAUAUAAUACAAAUAGAGAGUACUCUUAGGAUAAGUUUAAACACGUGUCAUCACCAGAAUUUUUCACAAAUAAAAAAUAAAAAAUAUUUAAUACCAAAAAUAGAAAAACUUCCACCAAUCAACACAACACACCCGGACCAACCAAAAUGUGCCACGUAGGAGUUUUUAAAAGUAAAAUUUCUCUCUCUCAAACCGCUAUCCCUCUUUUUUUGUAUAUCACUCUCUUCUCUCUCAAACCGCUAUCCCUCUUUUUUUGUAUAUUACUCUAAUUGUUACGUUUUCGCAUUUUUUAGGGUUUUCUUAUUAAAGUUGCUUGCUUUUAUCUUUUCGACCGAUACUUUUGAUUUGUGGUUUGUUUUCUCCAGUCUUUUUGCCAUUUUUGGUUCUCUGUUUCUUACAUUUUUUCGUAACUGAUGCAGUUUGUAGGUUUUUCUGUUCAAAGUUUCUUUCUUUUAUCUUUUGUGUCGAUUCUCUUCAUCUCUUUUAUGGUUUAUUUUCUCCAUUGUUCAUAUCUUUUUCAGUUUGUUUAAUCUACUAUUCUUGAUAUUGUUGCUUAUCUGUUUGUUACAUUUUUUCACAACAUAAAAAUGAUUUUUUUUUGUUUUCUUAUCAAAGUUGUUUGUUUUUAUCUUUUAUGUUGAUUCUCUCCAUCUCUUUUAUGGUUUGCUUGCUCCAUUGUUCUUGAUAUUUUUGCUUCUUUGUUUGUUAUGUUUUUUCACAACAUAAAAAUGAUUUUUUUGGGUUUUCUGAUCAAAGUUGUUUGCUUUUAUUUUUUCUGUCGAUUCUCUUCAUCUCUUUUAUGGUUUGUUUCAUCCAGUGGUUUUGAUAUUGUUAUUUCUCCGUGUUACAUUUUUUUGCAACAUAAAAAUGAUAUUUUUAGAUUUUCUUAUCAAAGUUGCUUGGGUUUUAUGGACAAGAAUAUCACCUCAUUUUUGUCGUUUUCUGCAUUUUUUUUCUUUUUUGUUCAAUGUUUCUUGCAUUUUUUUUUCUGUCCAUUUUGUUCAUCUCAUUAUUUGGGUUUUUUUUUCACUUUUUCCUUUUCUGAUCAAUGUUUCUUGCGUUUAUUGGUUCUGUUCAGUUUGCUCUUCUCAUUCUUUUCGUUUUCUGUAUUUUUUUCUAUUUUGUUCAGUGUUUCUUGCAUUUAGCUUUUCUAUCCAUUAGUUAAUCUCAUUCUUUUCAUUUUUUUGCAUAUUGUUUUCUUUUUUGUUCAGUAUUUCUUGCAUUUACCUUUUUUGUUCAUUUUGUUCAUCCAUUCUUUUUUGUUUUUUGCAGUUUGUUUUCUUAUUUGCCAGUGUUUCUUGCAUUUAGCUUUUUUGUCCAUUCAGUUCAUCUCUUUAACGAUUUUUUUUUGGCAAUCUAAUGUUUUUCUUCUUCAUCUAAUUUGUUCAUUGAUCCAACUUUUGAAAGUUUAUUUUGUUGAAAUCUGUUUAUGUUUCCAUCACUAAUUACGUGUAAUGAUGGUUUACUGCUCAUCACUUCCUAUGUAUUCAUUAUUACAUUCAUUAAAUCUUAUUGCUAAGUGUCAUCUAACAACAUUUUUUGUGAGUUGGGUCUUAUAAUAUCAAUCCUUUUCUUUAGUUGGGCCUUAUAAUAUCACUUCAUUUUUCUGACCUUAAUAAUUAGUAAUAUAUUAUAUAACUUAGCAAAAUGUUUUGUUUGGUAUUCUUUCUUUACUGCUUCAAAGCAUAUCAGAUUCAGAAUUGGGAUGACAAUACUAGGUUGCCAACCAAGGGUAGAUUGAACUCUAUGAACAUCUGUGGUGAGGUAUGUUGUAUUCUUUUUAGUUAACUAACAUUAUUGUUUUACAAAAUACGAUAAAAACUAAUCAUGCAAUUAUAUACAAAUUGUUAAAUGAUAUUGCUUUUGUGGAUAUUUCUAUUGAGCUCAGUGUUCAAUUUGGAUUGUCAUGUGUAUUGAUACUUUAUGGUUCACUUAUUUUAAGUACCAUUGUAAUAUUCUUUUAUUUUAUUGGUGGAGUACUUGGCAUCAAUUUAUGUGCCUAACUCCAAAUUCAAGUUUCUGUAGAGAACCAAAUUCAUGUAUUCAAUAAUUUGUCAUAUUGGUUUAUGUAGUUAUUUUUUGUUAUUUUAUCCAGUAGUUUGCAUAAUUUGUUGUAUUCCUAUUUCCGUAUAGAAACACAAUUUUUUUUUAUUUACAAAUCUUAAAUUAAUAAAUGUAGUACUUAAAUAAAAAUUUGCAAUAAAUAAAAUACCUAAAUUAUUUAAAAUUAAAAAUAAAUAGAAAUCCUAAAUUAUUGAAUGUCAUACUUAAAUAAAAAAAAUUACAAUAAAUGAAAUUCCUAAAUUAUUUAAAAUUAUAAAUAAAUAAAUACAAAUCCUAAAUUAUUGAAUGUCAUACUUAAAUAAAAAUUUACAAUAAAUAAAAUUUCUAAAUUAUUUAAAAUUUUAAAAAAAAUAAAAAUCUUAAAUUAUUUAAUGUCCUACUUAAAUAAAAUAUCUAAAAUAAAUAAAAUUCUUAAAUUAUUCAAAAUAUUAAUAAAUAAUAAUUCUAAAAUAUUUAAUUCUAAAAAAUACAAACAUUAAAUUAUGUAUUAAAAAAUUAUUUCAAUUAAAAUAACUAAUUGUUGUAAUGCAUUCAGACAUGUAUUUGGUUGUUUGUUUACAAGAACAAGCGGCACAGUCACCGAUGAACAAAAAUUAAUAGAAGUUUUUGUUAAUUAAAUUUAUUGUAUCAUAUUAUUCUAUCUUAUUUAUUCUGUAACUAUUAACUUGAGUUGUAUAUUUCUUUAAACUACUGAGACAAAAACUAUGACAAGUACGCAAUCAUUCUUCAUAAUUUUUUUUAAAUAUUUUCAUGAUUUUAUUAAUUGUCCAUGGUUAUAUUUAGAUUUUUUUACUUUUUGCAAUAAUGCAAUUAACGUGUUGUGCUAAUUGAGAUGUGUUGACAUUAAAUAUAAUAUUUAUCAACACUUAUAUUAUAACACCUAAAGAAAAGCAACUAUGUAGUCCAUUUUGUAUUGUUUUUUAGUAUGUUCUGUUGUUUUACUGAGUAUUUCUUCUGUUACAAAGAUUUAAAUUUAACAAUACAUCUUACUCAUGUUGUUCUGGAAAUUAUUUUACAUUUUUCAUGAAAUUGUUGUAUGAAUUGAGCGUUAAAUAGAGUUGGUAAAAAGUAAUGAAGUUGUUGCAUUAUUUUGUAACAGUAUUUCUGAUAAUUCAUGAUAUGCUGCGUUAUGUGACAAUUACUAUGUCAAAAAGUGUUUAUUUAAUAAUAAGAAGUCAGUAUACAAUGUUUUCCAAAAUACGAUUAUAUAUUUUAAGUUAUGACUUGUUGUCUUUAGAACAAUGUGUUUAUCAUUGCUAUGUGGUUAACAUGUAUAAUAAGACAGCUACACCAAUAUAUGAUUUUUAAAAUUACUUUCUUCAUUAUUACCUCAUGGAUAUUGUAUCUAAAAGAUUCCCUAUAUUUUAUUUUUGCAGCUAUAAAAUGAAUUUAACACACCUAUAUGAAAAUAACACAUAGUUCAGAAAGCUCAUAUGAUUCCCAAGAGUGUUCAAAUAAAAGGUAUAUUUAAUUCAUAUUUUUUAUUAUUUUUAUAUUUUAUAGAUUUUAUUUAAUUAUUUUGAUAACAUUAUAUCUCCUUCAAAAAGGUAAUAUUGAAAAAAGAGACCAUACAAUUAUCCUGUAUAAAUCAUUAAUUUAGAUCAUAAUACUUUUUAUUUUUAGUAGAUUUUAUCUUUAUUUAAAUUAUGUAAUCAAUAAUUAAUGUGAUUUUGAUUUAUAAUUAUGAUAAAACAUAUUCAAUAUGAUAUUAAAUGUAAUAUAUUAACAUUAUUUUUCUUUAUUUCUUUAAUAUUAUAAUAUUAUAAAUUAAGUUUAUAAUUUUUAAAAUAUAAUAGUGCGGUUAACUGUUAUUCAUUCUCAUUUAUCGUCUUCUAAGUGUUUUAAAAUAUUAUUUAAUCUUCAAAUUUUUUUUAUAUUGUAUUUUUAAUAUAACAAUUGUAUGUAUUUUAUAUUUAUAUGAUUUUUAAUUCAUUUAAUUUAAAAUUAUAAAAUAUUGUAUAACUAAUAUUAUAAUUUAAUAUAUUAUAUUUUAGAAAAAUAAAUCUAUUUUAAUAUAUAUGAUUUAUUUAUUAUUUAAAAUUAUAAUAUUAUUAUUUAAAUAUGAAAUAUUUAAAAUAUUCCCAUACACGAGUCGGUCAAAAUACUAGUAUACAUAUCUUUUAAAAGAACAAAAUUGUGUGUGUAUCUUUGAAGAUGGUCUAUUUGUUUACCACAUGCUGUCCAAACAGUGUUUGUUGGAAAGUGUGUCACAUAGAAAAAGAAUACCUCUUUAUGCUUUAUUCAAGGUAAUUUAAUUGCAUCACACAAACCAAGGAUCCAUCACAUUCAUGUUAAAGAACAGAACACAGAAUUCGGACAUAAGAAAAUAAGAAAACUACCUGCGUGAACUAGUUGAUAACAAAAGCAUAAUUUCCACAAGAGAACUAUUAUAUGAACAUGGUGCAUUGAUACCCAUUUUUCUUCUACACCCACUUUAUAAUUUUUUAUAAUUUUCAAAUUUAAUUCUUUGAAUUUUCAAAUUUUACUCUUUGAAUUUUCAAAGUAUACUUUUCCUGGUGUAUUCCACAGACAAAUUAUUCUUUCACACUACCAUUUUUUUCUCACAUUCACAUUUAUAACUCCGUUUAAUAAUAAAAUAUUUUAUUUAACUAAUAAAACAAAUAUAAACAAAAUUUUAAACUAAAAUAAUAAUAUCUUUAGAAAGAAAAAAAAAUGAUAGUAUCAAAGUAUCUGUAAGUAUUCCAUAUACCUGCAUUAUUGAAUCAGCUCUUAUAACAGAAUAAGCUAAUUCUCACCACACAGUCAUUUUCAUUUAUUUAUCCCACUAAACUAACAUAUAUGAAUAAAGUGGGUAGAUAUGAAAGGGAAAGAUUACAUUUUUCUGAGAGCAAUGAAGCUUGAAACUUAAAGAGAAUCAAGUCCUUGAACAAAAAGGGUACUAAAAUCUUCCAUCUCAGCUUUACUUAACACCAGUCCAAUCUCAAUUCCUCCACUGAUAUCCCUACUUUCACUGAGAGAAAAUGCUCCAGUUUUGUCUGUGGAUAUCAUAUCCACCUUCUUUGGCCUUCCCCACCCAAAAUCAAUACCAUAAACCUCAAACAAUGGAGAUCCAGCAGUAGAAAAGAAUCUAGUCUCCCUGGGUUUAUUCAUACCCGCACCAAAUCUUUCUGCUCCCUUCAACACUCCCUCUUCCUUCACCCUGUUCAAAGUCUCAACUAUCCCCUCCAAAGCACAAAUGAACCCAUCUUUUUCAACCAACUCCUUAGUCAGGACCACAAAGCUCCCUCCUGCAACGCAAUUUCCAAAAUAUGUGGCAGGAAUUGGAGGGUCCAACCGCGAUCUACAGUCAAUACUAAAUAUGAAAAACACAUUUUCUUCCUUCACUUGUUUCACUUUGACCAAACACGCCAACACAUAAGCACACGUAACACAAAAGGUUGACAGAUGAACAUUCCCUUUCAUCUUAGAGUUUCCAUGUUGUUUGAGCUUUAGAAUCUGUGAAGGGGUCAAUUCAAACAAACCUUUGAGUCCAUCGCUUGGUGCUUCCGUAAGAGACUCCCACACCUUGAGACUUCGGUUAUUGGAACCAUUCUUAUUCUUCCACGACUCCGCGUACAGUUCACCGAUUCCAGAAGGGUCUCUUAUCAAUGAUCUGUCAAAGAAAGGUGUAAGAUGCUGAGGUAAGGAUGGUGUAGUAGGGUUUUGAAGGUUAGAGCAUAUGUAGGCCCAUGAUUUGAGGAACAUGGUAGAAGAUUUUCCGUCGAAAGCUGCAUGGUGUGUGGUGAUUCCAAUGCAAAAGCCAGCAUUUGGGAACAAAGUGACUUGAACUGCCAACAGAGAUGACUUAUCAUGGGAAUUGGCCAAGUUGGGUGCUAAGUUGUGUCGUUGUGAUGCUUCACAGAGAUGGGAGGAAAGAUGGUUGAAGUUUUGGUGGGACUCAGCAACAGUGAAGGAAACAGUGUCACCGGGGAGAUAGUUGAUGAUGGGUUGGGGAGAGUGAGAAGGCCAUGUGAGGGUGCCGGCGAAAGGGAGAAAGUGUUGGAGAGUGAGGGAAAAAGAGUGUUUGAGAGAGGGAAGAAGAGAGUGAAGGAAUGAAGAGGUUGGGUGUGGGAAGGGAUAGAAGAAGAGACGUUGAACAGGUGGAAAUCGAAGCCAUAAGAGGUCGAAGAAGGUUAGUGGAAGGGAGGUGGGAAGAAGGGUUGGUUCAUGAAGUGGUGCCACUGAACAAACUUGGAUAACUUUGAGAGGUUCUGGGGAUGCUGCUUGUUCAGCCAUGGUUCAAAGGAAUGGAGAUGUGAGGCUCUUCAAAAGGAAGCCAAGGGAUGAGUUUUAUAGGAUGGGGGACCUUCAUAACCUAGUAGAACUACUUUUUUAGCGGUGAAACUACCGGUGAAACUAAAGGGAUUUAUUUUUAAAAUAUAACAUAUUUAUUAUAUAAAUUUAGUUUGAUAAAAAUAAAAUAAUAUAAAAAUAAGUAAUGUUGCUAUUUGAUAAACAUAUCAUAUCUAUAUGUUUAGAUUAAUUAGUUGAGAGUGUUUUGAUUUAGGAUAAUUUUGAUAAUUCAUAUUUUUUAUACAAGUUACAAUUUUUAAUAUUAUUAUUUUAAUAUUUUUUUUAUAUUAUUUAAUUAUAAAUUUAUUUUUAUUAUAUAUAUUUAUAUUUAAAUCUAUAUUAAAAGUUGUAUAGGUUAUAAGUAUAUUUUUCUUUUAUUUAUUUUUAAUAGUGUAAAUUGUAAGAUUAAAAAUUUAUCAUUGUGUAUAAAAAAAGAAAAAAGAAUUAAUAAUUAAUUUUAUACACAUUUUAGUUAAUUAAAAUAAUAUAAAAUUUCAAUUAUAAAUAAAAAUAAAAUAAUAUAAAAUUAAAAUAAAUAAAUACAAUUUAAAUAUAAUUAUAUUAUUUUUUAUUUUAUUAAUUUAAAUUAUUUUUUUAGAUAAAUUAAUGUAUUUAGAUAAUUUUAAUAUUAUUUAGGAUUAUUUAAUUUAUAUUAUAUUACGUUAUAUAUAUAUAUAUUUAUAUAAAAAAAUUUAAUAUUAAUCAUGGUUUUUAUUAUUAUUAUAAAGAAAUUAAUAUAUUUUAAACACAAUAAAUGAGUAUUUAAAACAUAGGAUGAACAUUAAAUAGUCAUUCAUUGAAAGGAAAAAUAUAUAAAGUCAUUGAAAGGAAAAAUAUAUAAAGUCAUUACAUUUAAUUCAGAGAGAGAUAAAGACAUGUUAAUUUCUUCGUAAUUUUGAAAUUAUGACAAAAUUAAGAACAUACUAUUAGAAAAAGAAAACACAUCCCUAACAACAUUUGAAUCUUUAUUGUGGAGACCUUCAAACGUUUUUUCUAAAGACAUAUAUUAUUUCUUUGUCGGACAAUAAUUGCAUAUCUUUCAUCGCUAAAAUCUUCAAUGCACCAUUUGAACAAAUUACAUGCUAGAACUAUUCCACUUCUAAUAUGUUUUGAAGAGAAGAAUAAAAUUAAACAAUGAAUAACUUAAAAAUAACAUUCUUAAGUUUGCAUGAAACCUAGUUGAAUAAAUUUUACCUUGUACUUAGGACAAUCCCAAAAUCGUUUUUCGACAUUUUUUUUCAGUUGUUAUUGUUCUCAAAACAGAACAAUCUCCACAACCACAAAUAGGUGCAAUAACCCACCAACAUGGGUAAAAGUAUAACGUUUUUGCACAACACUACCGGUACAAUUAGACGGUGAUAAGGUGUGAUACGCAGACAUUGAAGGCCACUAAAGCAAUACUCUCAAUUCUCCAGUAGAAGUAAUGGAGCCUAAAUUUGAUUUAUGCAUAAUAUAAAUAAAAUGUUACAAAAGUUGCAUUCAAAGAAAUAUCAUUCGCUAAAUGAGUACCAUGAAAACUUGAAUAUUAAUUAACAAUUUAUCAAUGUUCAACAUGAAAAAUAAAAAUAAAAAUUACAAUAAUAAUAACAUAAUGAUAAUACAAUCGUUGGCUAAGUGACUUCUUGCUUGGGCGUUAUUGGACUUGCCUGGGUGAGUUUCACGAAAAAAGACCCAACGUCACUGGAGUAACUUCGCUUGGGUGAGCUUUGGUGAAUGUUGGUGUGUUCCAACUUUCUCUUUUUAACUUUGUAUAUUCCCAUUUUGCCCAAUCAUCUCUAUUUUUCCACAGAAUCCUUAAAUUAACAUAAAUUUGAGAGUAAAUCGUUCUUAUUCAAAUUAAAAUCACAAAAUAUGUAAAAAGGUAUAACUUCAUAAAUUAGAGAUUAUUUUAUCAAAUAAUAUCCAUAAGUGUCUGUAUUUUAAUAUGAAUUAUUAUAGAAAUUUGGGACUUAUCAAUAGUUGAGGCAACUUUGCUGGGCAAUAAGGAGGCCCUUGCCAUUAAGAACAAAGAUACAAAAAAAAAAAUAUGGAGGUUGAGAUGGACUUAUUGAAGAUGGAGUUGGAAGCCAUGAGCAAGGUGAAGAAGGAGGCUGAGGAGAUCAUCGGGCGACUUUAAAGGGUACUUCAACAAUCACAGUGUCGCAAUCGGAAUCGUGACGGGUGGACGACAAACCAAAAUGAUUUUGGAAAUAUAGAGAAUGGAGUUGCUAUCAUAGUUUAUUGCAGAAAACUACAGAAAAAAUGGAAAGUUAGUAUGCGAACUAGAUUCGGGGUUCGGGAGUUGGUUACGUGUAGGGAAGGUAUUAACACCCGUACUGUCCGAAGAUAGUGCCUUUAAUUAAAUUCGCAAAAUGAGUGUGGUUCUUUAAGAAUGAUUGCUUCUUUUUUUUUUAAAAAAAGAGAAACAAAAAUGUUGUUUAAAAAUAAAGAAAAAAAAUCAAAUUUUUUUAUUUGGGGUCGACAAGGAUUGUCCUUGGCCCUACCUAUGUCUGUUUGUAAUGAAAAAUUAGGGUUUACAUAGUUCUAAAGGUUUUAAUCAAUUUGGAAAGAAUUUUUCCUGGUGUGAGCUGGACUUUUGCAAAAGUGAAAUGAAAUUUUGAGAAAAUUAAUCCCAAUAAGGAUUGACCUUGUUCCUACGUAUUUCUAUUAAGAACAGAAAAUCAAGGAUUACGUAGGACAAUUGCUUCUUGUACCAUAUUAAUGCACCCAAUUUCAGUAUGAAAAGACAAAAAUGUCCUUAAAUAAAAUAGGAUAUAUAUAAAAAUACAUUUCGGAUCCCCUUUUUCAUAAUAUGUUUCUGGAUUUUUUUUUUGUAUUGUGGAUUUUCUUAUCCGAAUGAGAUUUUGAUUUUUGUUUCCGGAUUUUAAUUUUCAGAUCAUAAUAAUCUCUUUCGGAUCUAGUUUUCCAAAAUAUGUUAUUUUCAAUUCUAGAUUUUCAUUUCUGAAAUGAAAGGUAUUUCCAGAAAUUUAAAAUUGUGUUGGGUGCAGGUUUAAAAAGAUUGGGUGUAGGAAGAAUUUGCCAUUACGUAGUUCUACCAAUAAGAACUGGACAUUUUUUCUUAGAAAAAAAAUUGUUUGUUUGUUGAUAUUUUUAAUUUUGAAUUUUUUCUAUUUUUUGGAUUUUAUGUUUUUAUUAUUUAUUAUAUUUUUAUCAAAAGAAGAGUAUUGAGUAAAAUGUGAUGCGUACGAUCAUACAGUUACUCAAAUACUUAUUUUAGGAAAAAGUAAAAUAUUUAUUAUAUUUUUUUUAAAGGAAACUAUAAGCUAAUGGUGUAUCACAUAAAAAGAGUGACAAAUAGUAAAAGUGUUGGGCCAACUAAAUAGACACAGGCUUAUUUAGGUAAGAGUGGUUUGGAUAUUGAAAGCGUUGUUGGCGAAUAGCUAAAUGUGGCAGUAGAAUGCGUCCAAGCUUUUGAAAGCGUGGUGCAUAUAGUAAAGUUAUGGAACACUAAAAAAUAUCAUUAAAUAUAAAUUAAUUUUAGAGACAAAAUAGUUAGUUAGUAUGUUUACUAAAUUAGAAAUCAUUUUAUAAACUAAAAAAUAUUGGUUUGUAAAAUAAUUUUUACUAUUAAUAAAAAAAUUAUAAAAUAUUUUUUAAUUGUUUUAUUAUGAUAAUCGGAGUUCCGUUUAAUAAAUAUGUUGUUCCAUGUAUAAACGUAUGAUUUUUUAUUUAUAUAAUAUUAUUUAACUAUGAGUUAUAAUAUAUUAUAAUAUAUAAUAGGAUAUAUAUUAUAACUCACGUAUUUCGGUGGAGAAUAGGUAAAUUUAGCAAGAAACCUUGGACGUGUCGUAAUUGGGAAGAGAUAGAAGCAGGUUGAGUUUUAUACAGAAAAACUUUCACGUUAUCACGAAACUAAACACAUAAAUUUGGAGUUUGGGUUAGCAUUAUUGAGUUAGUUCAACGUGGCUUUGGGUCGAGAAUCUCGGAAAACAACUCAAACAUCAACUUAUCAUUGUCCUUGGAAUCCCUAUGAAACACAUCUUCACGAACUUCUUCUUCGCUUUCGUCGGCACUCUCUUGCAGUUUCAAUGCAGACUCCAGCAUCAAAACGACAUCGUUCAUGGACGGCCUCUGCAUCCCUUCUUGUGACAAACAACUGAUUCCAAUCUCGCAAAACAUGGCGAAACACUGUGGAGCGAUCUUCCCCUUUAAUAUGGGAUCCGCAAUCUCCGCCACUGUCCCGUUUUGGUAGCAAUAUCUUGCCCAAUUAGCUAGUGACACCUGUUCGGUUUCUCCCGUAUGGAUAAGAGGAGAACGAGCACAGAGUACCUCAAACAACACCACCCCAAAAGAAUACACGUCAGACUUCUCCGUCAGCCGCUGCCGAAUAAAAUACUCCGGAUCCAAAUACCCAAAGCUGCCUUUCACGGCGGUGCUCACAUGGGCCUUCGACAUCUCAUUUGGCCCUAUUUUGGAUAGCCCGAAGUCCGAAACUUUCGCCACCCACUUCUCAUCCAACAAAGAUGUUCGUCGUUUUCACGUCCCGAUGGAUGAUCACGUGCUUCGCGCCACUGUGAAGAUAGCGUAGACCGCGCGCGGCGCCAAUGCAAAUCUUCAAGCGCUGCUUCCACGAGAGGGAUUGUCGGUGCCGUAGAGAUGGUCGCGGAGGUUUCCGCGUCCCAUGAAGUCGUAAACGAGGAUCAUCUCUUUGUUAUCGCAGCAGUAACCGAUGAGUGAGACCAGAUGGCGAUGGCGGAGCUGCGAGAGGAUUUGGAUCUCGUUCAUGAACUCGCAAGCCCCCUGCUGGGAACCCUGUCUAAGGCGCUUGAUGGCGACCGGGAUUGAACCGUUGUCGAUGUAGCCCUUGUACACGUGGCCAAAUCCCCCUUCGCCGACGAUGAAGACGCUGUCGAAGUUUUUGGUGGCGGCUUUGAUCUGGACGAGGGAAAACCGAUGGCAUUGAUCAGACGGCAGAGAAAAAUUGUAGUCGUUGGUUGACUUGGUCGUUGAGAACAACAGCGGAGUCCACUUGGAAGUGGUGGAGAACAGGACAAAGAAAACGACAAGCGAGAUGAAAACGAAACCUGAUACUACCCCUGCCGUGAUUACAAUCAUCCGCCUUCUGUUAUUAAUCGGGUCCGGGAUAGGUCCGGCGAGGCCGUUAGUCUGAACCGGGUCUGGGUUGGGUCCGGCUAGGUUGUUUGAUUGGGCUUCGCUGAUUUUAAAGAUCUCGAGACCGUUCAGGAAGGCAUCGCUGUAAGUCGUAUCCACACCGCUUUCGUAAGGGUGCAUUUGAAGCGAGAGAUUAAACUUUUUCUGAUUACCAUUCUUGGGAAUCAAAACGGCGUAGUUUCUGUGCACAGCUACACCUUUUUGUUUCUCACUCCAUUUCAUUACAUCUGCACGGUCUUCAGCCAACUGGCUCGCUAUGUAAAUGAAGAAUCUCCUAUCACUCAUGUCAUUGAUAAGAGGAUCAAGCUCGCAAAAGUGGAGCCUGAGAACGUAAGUGAAGCCACAAUCAACGGGGAACACCCAAGUCAGGUUGCUCAUUUUGUUCAGAGUGCCGUUUGUGCCCUGGUUACGCGCUGUUCUGAACAGUUCCUUCGGUGCCACGUAAUCAGGAUUCACGGUUAUGCUCAUCUUCCCAUCGAUGUCAGCUGGUAGAUCAUUAUUCUUUGGAUUUUCUUUAAUAAAAUAAGCUUUUUCGUCAGCCCAAUCCCUGAACAAACCGGUGUCGUUUUCUGGCCGGAUUUUAUUGCCUCCAGAGUUGAUUCUAUACUCAGUCUGGAGCGCAUAGCUGGUUCCAACGCUGUAGAGCGUGCUGGUUCCGACUUGAGUGAAGCCUAUAUCAUUUGGUUGGGUGUAAUAUAAAUCGGUUGGCAUGGAAAGCACCUCGAUUCCAUUGAUGAAAGCGUAGGAGUUUGGAUUGGAGGGAGUGAAGGUGAGGAUAAGCUUCUCACCGUCGUUGACGUUGACCACGUAUUCUCUAAAGAUAGUAGUGGUGGCUUGAUCAUCGGCGUGAAGAGAGGCGUUGAAAGCGUUGAGGAGAGUGAAUUGGUUGCAUUGAAGGGUGAAAGAAGCUUGGUUGCGGGGAAAGGAAGGGUAGUCGGAAGGGUAGAAGAAGAGGCGAAGGAAUUUGGGGCC